UAAUAGGUCGGCCAUUAAUCGAUAGAUUAUAUAGUAACCUGCCAGCUCAAGCAGCUAGCUAUUGAUGUGUAAGUCUAGGAUUGCAGUUAGGGAUGAAAAUCAAAAUAAAAAGUGAAUGUAACAGUGACAAGCAAUGCUAGCAAACAAGAACUUUGUUUGUCUUUUAUUCCCAAGCUUGAACUAGCACUGGUCGGGGUCACACAUGAUGGCGUACGCCACUUUAUUUGUCAUCGCUACAACGAUUGGUGCAUCAGCUAAGCAACGAUGAUCCAUCUACCUAUUAGCAUAACUCUUGCAUUUUUCAUUGGCCACCAAUGCCGACGACUAUGCUGGCAAAUGGUGCGUUGAUGGUGGAGCAGUCAGGUGAGACAUACACGUUGCACAUGGUUGGAAGAGUUCUCAAUACCAAUGACCUGAUCACCUCCAAUUGAGCUGGUUGUUGAGGUUGGAUGAUGCCCUGACCCUGAACGAGCUGAAACAGUGGCCGCCGGAUCUGCACGCCUUGUCGUUGUUCUUGCUGCAUGAUGAUGGAAUGCACGACACUAUGGAUGGCUGCACACUGGAGCUGCUGAGGAAUCUGUGCCAGUUGUUGGCAACAUUGUUGCUGCAUCACCUGGCAAUCACUUCGUGGCAAGAUCAUUGAUAUGAGGGAUGACACCAAUGACACAGGGUUGCAUUGCUGCAAGAGAAAAUUCUUGCAGGGGUUCAUCUGUUGUUGUAGAGAUAGCUGAAUCAACGGUUGUUGUUGCUGGGGGAAUGAUUGUUGCGGUUGUUGGGGCUGCAGGAAUUGUUGUUGGGGCUGGGGAAAAGGUUGUUGUGGUUGCUGUGACUGGGGAAAUUGUUGUUGGGGUUGUUGAGGCUGGGGGAAUGGUUGUUGGGGUUGUUGGGGAAAUGNNNNNNNNNNNNNNNNNNNNNNNNNNNNNNNNNNNNNNNNNNNNNNNNNNNNNNNNNNNNNNNNNNNNNNNNNNNNNNNNNNNNNNNNNNNNNNNNNNNNNNNNNNNNNNNNNNNNNNNNNNNNNNNNNNNNNNNNNNNNNNNNNNNNNNNNNNNNNNNNNNNNNNNNNNNNNNNNNNNNNNNNNNNNNNNNNNNNNNNNNNNNNNNNNNNNNNNNNNNNNNNNNNNNNNNNNNNNNNNNNNNNNNNNNNNNNNNNNNNNNNNNNNNNNNNNNNNNNNNNNNNNNNNNNNNNNNNNNNNNNNNNNNNNNNNNNNNNNNNNNNNNNNNNNNNNNNNNNNNNNNNNNNNNNNNAAUGUUUGUUGGGGCUGGGGAAAUGGUUGUUGUGGUUGCUGGGUCUGGGGAAAUUGUUGUUGUGGUUGAUGGGGGUAUGUUUGUUGGGGUUGGGGAAAUGUUUGUUGUGGUUGAUGGUGGAACGUUUGAUGGGGUUGGGGAAUAGUUUGUUGUGGUUGCUGGCAGAAUGGUUGUUGGGGCUGGGGGAAUGGUUGUUGUUGUGGCCAAUGUACUUGGUAGCCGGGGUCGACUUGCAUAUUGGCGGUGGCGAUGGUUGUUGCCAUCGCAAGGAUUGUUACGAUGAGUAAGGUCUUCAUGGUGGAUUUGCGUUAGGUACUACUUACUUGGAUUUGAUUCUUGUGCUCUAGUUAUGUGAAGGAUGGAUGAUGGUAUGGAGUGUACAUAUUACAGGCUUUUAUAGCUAUCAUGGUUAGGUUUCUUUUCAUUAUUGCUUUCACUUUUUAAAGUGAUUCGAUGCUUAUCAAACUAAUUAUUUGGUGUGUUCUGUUUGGUGGCACUACAUACAAACGUACUUUUGGAGUGGUCAGUAAAGUUGCCUUUUUAUUGUACAUAUCAUCUAAGAGUGGCGAAAACUAUAUAAUUGGCACUGACUCAUCUUAUCGACUUUACAAGUCAAACAAUUAUCUGGAUUGCAUUCCUUUUGGAUCUAAGUUUAUCAUGUUGUACAAGUUGUUAGGCAUAAACCAAAUCUUCAUAGCUUGCGGGGGACUAAAUUUGUAUCCUUGUGCAUGUUGUUAAAGAUAGAUCAGGCUAUUCUAAUGUUCAUUCUGGACUUUUAUUCUUUUUUAAACUAGCUUGCAGUGUUGUAUAGUAUGAUGGUAAGAUGAACAAGCUAAUAAGACUCGUCAGAUUCUUCUUUUAUGUCAAGGGUAGUAAUGUUGUACACGAAUCAAUACAUGACCCAUCAUAUUUCCUUUUUAUGUCAAUGGUUGUAAUUAUGUGCAAGUUAUUAAUUAAUAUUGGACAAGUACUAGCUUUACAUGUCUUAAUUGAUUCACUCUUUAGUACAUUUGAAGGUUUGUUCUCGCUUUAAUUGAUUAAUUUAUUGAACUAAGUUUGCAUGUAUUAUUUGUAACAUUUGAUGCAUUUAGUCGAAGUUGUCCAUGACAACCGUGAUUACUAAGAUUUCUGAGAAUGAUUUCAAGCAUUUAAAAAAUAAAUAGUGGCAUAUUUGUAUCCUUAGGGCAUUUCUAACCGAUCCUUUUAAAAUAACAUAGGAUUCGGCAGAGUAAACCUUUAGUGGAGUAUUUUUACUCCAUUAACUUUUGGUCGGACCUAGCCGAACUCUGAAAUCUAAUAGGGUAACAACCAAAUUUGCAUAAGUUAAAACUACAUUCAAUUGAAACAACUAAAGUUUUACACAUUUGUCUUGACAUCCCACGGGACGACCGAAAUUCAAUUUAAACAACCUAAACCUAAACCUAAACUUAUAAUUAAAACUAAACUUGAAAUUAAGCUAAACUACUCUUCAUCAUCAUCACAUGGUAGAGGUCGAGCCAAUCUUGGCUUGACAUUCUAGCGACCAUUGGGUCCGGGUUAGUGCCGUCGUCAUCAGAGUUGGGUAAGAUGCCUCUCCAUUCGUCGGCAUUGAACUCGUUCUCGUCCUUUCCACCUUCAUCGCCGCCUUCCACCUCGUCGUCGGAGAUGACGAUGACCUCCCCGUUGAUUGCCUGCUCCGCCUCCACGAGCUUGGGGCACUGGCGAUGGAGGUCUACCAUGUACUCCUCAUCGGUGGGCUCCACCGCGAUGUGCAACCUCGCCUCCCAGUCCUCCCAAGCCGUCGCCGCAUCCACCACCCGCGGUGGCAGUGAGUCGAGGUGGGAGGGUGCCGUCCCCCACGGGAAGUUGAGUUGCGUGUCCGCCACCCCCGAUGGGUCCCCAAUGGGAAGUUGAGCUGCGCGUCCGCACCGUGGAACCAGGCCUGCCACCGGUCAUAUUCCAGGGCGGCGAGCUUCGUCAUGUGUAACGACUCGAUCCACUUCUUCUUUUGGGUCUCCUGGUCGGUGAUCUCUGCCACCCAUGUCCCCCACGUUCGCUGGCGGACGCCGAGGUAUUUCCUCUCCGGCUGUUGCGGCGGAUUGAGGUCCGGUAAGUCGGAGAUGCAGGCGGGGGCCGCAUCGGCGGGGCAGCGGCGGUUCGAAGACGCGCGGCAGGCAUGGCAGCGUGGAUCCGCGCUACGGAUUGGCAGCGGGGAGCGCCGGCCAUGCAAUCCCGUCAUUGGGAGCAGGGCCUGCCCUGGCGUAUGGCCAGAGGGGCGACCGCCCAGGGCCCAGGCCUGGGGAGCGCCCCUAAUCUGGUCUGCGUGUAUACUUAGUAUUGUCCAGCAGAAAAAUAUAUAGGGAAAAAAUUAGGAGGGAAACGAAUAGAUGGGCUAUGGCCAAUUGACGUGGCUGGUUACGGCCGCACAUAGAGAUCAAUUACCUGAGGCUGGCCAUAGUAGGGGUAACAUAAGUAGUAUCAUGCACUUGAGACUCGCAAACUUGCUUAUGUGGCAGGCAAUUAAAGAAGAGAGAUGGUUAUAGUAACAUGGGUAGAUACCGUAACAUAAUAAAUGUGAUGUUACUAUGUGUCAUGCAUGGCAAUAAAUGAGAUCAUCUAUGAUACUAAUCUAUGAUAGUAUGCACUAUGAAUACAUGAUACUAGUGUAUGAUACUCCCCAUUAUGACCAGCCCGAUCGUUUGGAUAGACUUAAAAAAAACUAAUCAUUUGGAUUAGGCUAAAAAACACCCGAUCGCUUGGUUUACCCCUCAUAUAAAAAACUUGAUAGCUCAACUAAAAAAAAACCUGAUAGCUUCGUCUCUUCCUCGACCACGAACCACUCGGGCAUGCUUUCUCUUGCUGCCGCCGCGCGCGGCAGCCUAGUCGCUGGUGUUGCGCCGUGCGCCGUGCGCCCAUGUCGGCGACCCGGCUGCCGCAGUUGUGCGCCACCCGUGGCCGGUUGGCCCUCACGCCCAACCAUCCACGAGACCAUUAUCCAGUCUUUCGUAAAUACCUAACGAGAUUAGGGUUUAGAUGUACAAAUUUCUAGUUCUUCCUAUUCUCGUUUCUUCAUAAAUUUAGGACAUAGCAUGCCUUACAAUGUUAAAUAAAAAGAAGUAUUUGCUGGGUACUUUACAUCUUCAAGCAAUGUCUAUGUAUCACACAUACACACACACAACCUAGGGGCCAUGUCGUCAGGUUCGCCCUAGGGCCUUCCAAAACAUAGGGCCGGCCCUGAUUGGGAGGAGGGGGAGUCGGCGGCGAGGAUGGGGGAGGAGGAGAGGUAGAGGAGGCGGCUAGAGGGCUGAGGAAGUUUAACUCCACUAGCACCGAUUGGGGAUCGGCAAGGUCCCGAUUAGAGGAGUAAAACUUGGUUUUUAGUUCUCCAACUGGUUAUAGUGGAUUCGUUAGAAAUGCCCUUAGAUCGUUAAAAGCAUCUAUUUAUUACACUAUCUACUAACAUACCUUUAAUCUACGCAGACUUGUCAAGAAGUCCUUUGUUGGCGUGUUUAUCCACCUGAACGGAAGCCCGUCAAGUUCUAGUGUUGCAAAAGGAAGCAAGAAGAGGUGGCAAAAUUGCUCAACAAGUCAAUCUUGUUCUUUGUUUAUUAAUACCCUAGAACUAACGGUUGACUCCUGAUCUCUUGUGAGCAUAUAUAGUUUUCCAAAAUAAAAAAGUAAAGUGCAUUCUAGUUUUAAUAUGUUACAAAUGGUUCACAUUUUUAUCCACNNNNNNNNNNNNNNNNNNNNNNNNNNNNNNNNNNNNNNNNNNNNNNNNNNNNNNNNNNNNNNNNNNNNNNNNNNNNNNNNNNNNNNNNNNNNNNNNNNNNNNNNNNNNNNNNNNNNNNNNNNNNNNNNNNNNNNNNNNNNNNNNNNNNNNNNNNNNNNNNNNNNNNNNNNNNNNNNNNNNNNNNNNNNNNNNNNNNNNNNNNNNNAACCUGCAUGCUGCCGGGUCUUGCUGUGUCUUCAGCCGUUUCUCUUGCAUGUCCUCCUUAGGUAGGUCUUGCCACGGGAGCACGUGGUAGCAGCACUUAUCUGCUAGUGUCAGCAUCAUGGCCCUUGCUGCUGGAUUCCGUGCCAGCGCUCAGUCCACUAUGGCUGAUGGCGUCGACAUCACCCCUUGCCACCCCGAUCUGCGCCCGCGCCUACCGGAUCUCACUUCUUAGCUCAACAGUUGCAUACUUCGGCUACAUUUCUCUUAUUAUGUACUGUAAAUUUCAAAAAAUUGGUAUUUCAAAAUUUCAAAAAAGAAUAUAUUUCAAAAUCAGAAAUAUUUUUUGAAUCCACAAACACUUUAUGAUUUAUUAAAAAAAAAUUCAGAAUUCUCGUUUUUAAAAUUUCAGAACUUUUUUGAAGUCUCAAAUUUUUUAAAGUAGAAAAAAACGUAAAAUAAAAAGAACAAUUAAAAUAAUAUAUAAAACGCUGGCCACCCGGAUAUGGGCCGGCCCAAAGAGUUAUGCUGCAUCUUCUCCCAAAGAGCAGAGCGCGGUAUAGGAAGUCGCUACUGCAUAGGCCGGCCCUGGCGGGGGAUUUCCCUGUGUAAAAUGUUUUUUAUCACUUAUAGGUGCCAUUGGUGGGGCAUUUACGAAAUGUUGAAAACAAAUGUUCAGGAAAUCAAAAAAUGUUUAUGAUUUUUAAAAAGUUUGUAUAUUAAAAAAUGUAAAUUAAGAAAAAAAAAAUUCCAAGUCAAACAAUGUUCACGAAUGAAAAAAUAUCAUAAAAUUUCAAAAAUUAUCUGUGACUUAAAAACUAGCUUAUUCAUUCAUAAAAUGUAUGCUGAUUCAAAAAUUGAUCAUGCAUUUCAAAACAUGUUCUUUAAAUCAAAAAAAAUUCUUGAAUUUUAAAAAUUGUUCCACCUAUUUCGAAAAAAAUCUUCAUCGAUUCUAGAAAUUUUCACCGAUUCAAGAAAAUAGUUUCAAAAAUAUUUACAACUUUUAAAAAAUGUUUGAAAUAGUGUAAAGUGUUCAUGAAUUCAAAGUAUGUUCUUGAUUUUAGAAAAUGUUCAAAAUUUAUAAAAGUAUUCAUGAUUUUGAAAAAUGUUCAUGAUUUGAAAUAUGUUCACAACAAAGUAGACUAAAUAAACGCAUGAAGAGGACUAUAUGAAGCCUACUCGUCAACCUCCUAGUAUAAGAUGGCACGCAUGAAGAGGACUAGGUUAGCAUCCUGCCCCAUUUGGACAACGGUGAUGAAUUUUUUGUCAAACAUAAAUAUACAAAAUAUGAUUUUUUUAAUCUAAAAAAUCAUAAUUUGUAUAUUUAUAUUUGGCCAAAAAAUCUGAAAGAUUUAUCCUAGAUUCUAGAUAGAAAACUUUGCCACUCUGCAAAGGUUUGAACUUCAAAACAUGUUUUAUGCGAGAGAAACAAAAAAGAGAAAUGUGUUAAGUUGUUUGGUGUGCAUCACUAGACAAGGUUGUGCAUCAUCUGACCCAGAUUCACCUCUCUGAACUUUUUGUUGCCUUGACCUUUACUGCAAUGAUUUUCCUUUAUGACAGUCUAAUGAUGAUCUUUCGACGACAUCUUGUGAAUGAAACUUUAAUACUGCAGUAGGCACCACUUGUGUAUUAAUAUCAACCGUACGUAAUUCUGGUUGCUUAAUUUCUACUCUCUGUAGCCGUUUCUAAACCGGCAUAAGUAGGCCCCAAGGUUCCCUAUUUUUGUUGUGGAGGCACUAUAUGACUGUUUGGUGUUAUUUGUAUUAUUUAAGCAAAUGUCAUGGACCCUUUUUCAUCGUGCAAGUGAUUUUGAAGACAUAUAUCUCUGCCUGCUAUGUUCGCGUGGCAAUUUUGGUAUGGUCGUUAGUAAUAAUAUUAUGUCCAGGUUUUGAUGGACAUGUACGCAUGCUUGUUUUGUUGAUAUCAACUCUACCGGAGGAUGUCUUUGAUUGCUUCUCAAAAGUAUAGUGCUAGUUACCAGUAGCAUAAUUGUAGAUGUUUAGAUUCUAAAAUGGCCUGAAGUUGAGGAACAACUGAAACUACUGAAGGCCUAUAACAUAGAUGUGUGCUAAUUACAUUACAGGUAGGUAGUCACAUCAUGUCUUUGCUCUGGACAUCCAGCACUCAACAGCAUUUUCUUCUUACCUUUUUCAGGGGGUCGCAUCUCUUUUUCUACCUAUCAUGUGUUCCCUUGGUACAAAGAUUCAUCUCUUUUCGAGGGGUUCAGAUUUCUGAAUCAUUUUAUUUUAGCUCAAGUAACAAGACAUCUCGUUGCGUCAGUUCAGCUCGUAGGAACAACAUUUGCCUUGUAUUUGUACCUCAUCAAGAUGCCAACUUUGCUUUGCUGGCCAUGUACUUUAUACUGGCGCUAAAAUGAAAAAUGCGCCUUUCCCUUGCUGAAAAAAGGGAGAAUGAUUUAUUUAUUUACAUUAGCUCCUGCACGCCCUGAUCGUGGAAUAUUUACUAGUACAAAACAAACAAUGGGAAGAGUGAAACGACGGCUGAGCCGAUGAGCAGGAUGAAAGAGAGGAAGUAAGAAAUUAAUGCCUUGUCAUGUUCAGGGUUUUUCGUAGCAACUUUUCUUCAGCUGUUUGUGUGGCCAAGAUGCUGCUUGCUUCUAGAUGCCUUGAAUUCAACAAGGUGCAGCCAAACACACAAUUCGAUCAUGACUAGCUUUAUUGAAUUAAAGAACAAUUACAUUGUUCACUAGUUGGUGAAGUAAAAAACCUGGAGGUUCAUUAAUCUAACUAUCCUCACACUUAUUACAAAAACUGAAUUUCGCUAAGCUACAGAGUUUGCAUGACUGUCUAGGAAAUAUUUCACAGGAGAAAACUAAUCUGUCAUAUUUUUCCACAGGAGAAAAUAGAGGAUAGAUGGCGACACUGAAGAAGAAAAUUUUGGCAUGUCGGAUGUUACACGGCAACCAACACAUACGCGGGCUGGUAGACGUAAAGAAAGCGCCGGUAACCCACUUGUGUUUGUAUUUUCUUCAGUUUGUGUGGUCAAGAUGCUGCUUGGCUGCACGGGCUUUGAGUUCCAGAAGUUGCAGCCAUGGCCUCAUAUUCCCUCGGACACACGACUUCCAACAAGACUUAAGGUCCAGGAUUUGUAUUAAACAGAAUUCAACACUGAAACCUUUACUUCUACCACAGCCGGUGGAUAGAAUUCAAGCACGGAAUUUCCCCGCAAUUUGUAGUUGCGUUGCAUUGCGCCACCAGUCAUGAGUCCUUGAUCUAAAUAUUUGUUCUAUGUACCAGCUGAAAAGCGUAAAGAGAAACAUUUUUUAGGAUAGCUUAAGACAUAUAUACUAAAGCUGUUUUACAGUAUCAAAUAAACAAGGAAAUACUGCCAAAAAAUCACAGGUGAUACCAUCAAAGAGGUUGGAACUUCCAGUAGGGAUACCAUCAAUUGUUGAGUUCAGAGAACAGCUCCCUUUAUCCCUUUCUAAUAGAGAAGCAAAUAAGAGAAGUGGAUUUAUACCAGUUCAGAGUUCAGAGUUUAGAAACCAUUUCUAACAAGUUCAGAGUUCGGAGAACAACUUCCAACAUAAGACAACCAUGUACGUACUGAUAAGAGAGCGGAUACCAAUUCAACCUCGAAAAUCCAUCAUAGUUCAACUCAGCUAGUGAGGAUGUACAACUAACUACCGUAUGGCGAGCAGCUCCCAUUAUCACUCACCAUUAUUCUAAAACAAGUCUUCUUCUACAAGUGCCUUCUCAGAUUUUCGACUGGAAUAUCAGAGGUAGACAAGUGGAUUUAAUUUGCACUCAUUUGGUUACUCAUAAAUUAUGAAGGGGCAUACCUGGGAAUAUCGCCGUGUUAGAUGUUGCAAGCUAUCGACAACGUACGUGGGCCGGCAGGCGUCGACCAAGUUGAGCUUGGAUUUUUGCUUCAGUUUGUGUGGUGAAGAUACUGCUUGCUGUACAAGCUAUGAAUUCCACAUGACUUCCAACAAGACUCGUGUGGUUGUACAGUGCCACUUCAUCGUUUUCCUCGGACACAUGACUUCCAACAAGACUUGAGGUCCAGCAUUUGCAUUAACCACAAUUUAACACUGAAACCUUAGUUUUACCAGCAGGCAACAGCACGGGAUUUCCCCACAAUUUGUCCUUACGCUGCGCCGCCAGCCGAGUCCUUGAGCUAAAUAUUUUGUUCUAUGUACUGAAAAGGGAAACAUUUAGAGGAUAGCUCAAGACAAGCUGCUCCAAUUUAUUUACGGAAUUGCCAUAACUGAAGCAGUAACAGGUUACAUGAUCAAAUAUAAACAAGGAAAUAUUGUCAAAUCAAUCAGCAUCAAAUAAAAACUCCACUGCGAGUGUUAACUCAAGCCCAUUUUGCGCAUUAGAAGAAAGCGAGCUGCGGCACUGAAGACAGAGGAGAAUCGGGAAAGAUCUUGUGUCAUCUUUCUGCAUGGAUGAGAAAAGAAAAUAGAGGAAGAGAUGGCGACACUGAAGCUUGGAAAUUCCAGUAGAGAGAGACGGCGACACUGAAGAAUAGUCAUCCAGCGGCAGCUUAAGACACUGAAUACUUUAUUUUUACCAUCGGUAGAAUUCCACCACUGAAUAUUUCCAACGUUUAAUCAUUGUGUUGCACCACCGGUCACAGUUCUGAAAAGCGAAUAAGGGAAACAUUAGUACUGUACAGAACAGCUUAAGACAAGCUGCUUCAAUUUCUUUAGUGGAAUUGCCAUAACUGAAGUAGUUUCAAGUCACAUGUCUAAAUAAACAAGAAAUACUUUCAAACCAGGGUGGAGGACUAGAAUCUUGCAGAUAGAGCAACCGAGGGUCUUCUUCCCGGCAAGCCUCAUUCGCAGGGCUCUUGAUUUUAUCUUUUAAGAAUUCGUCCAGACAAUGUUGAGGUCUGAGACACCCGAAAUGCCCGGACGAAGGGCAAGUUCGCUGUAGUGCCGAGAACGCAGGUUGAGCAUGACAAAAAGAAAGGGUUUAGAGGUGAGGGGAUUUGGUAAUUCUCUGGACUUAAAUCAAGAAUGGAGAUGCAGAAUUUUGGGCAUCUACCAGGUUUAAUUAUUUUCAUCACUGCUGCGCACACAUUGGGAGGAAGCAGCUACCUGGCAUUGAUGUGGUUGUGCUUAUAUUUUUCCUUUUUCGCCUCAUCUCCAAACUUGUGCUUGCUUCAUGUAUGAACCCUGGUUUGUCCUUAAUCUGUAAAGCCGAGGGAGAGCCUAUUUCGAGAGAUUGGAUAGUUUGUACGUAAACUGAAUUUUGGCAUGGAGGUACCUAAGUGAAAUAGUUCGGUUCUACUGAUUAUUCUUCUCUAAAGUAUGCAAGAAAUAGUAACAAUUUCCACCCUUUUGAUUACUGAUAAAUUACAAAGGGCAUACCUGGGAAUAUUGGUGUGUCGGAUGUUACACGGCAACCAACACGUACGUGGGCCGGCAGAGCUGCAGAAAGCGCCAGUAACCCUCUUGAGCUUGGAUUUUUGCUUCAGAUUGUGUGGUCAUGAUACUGCUUUGCUGUACCACCUUUGAAUUCAACACAAAUUGCAGCCACAAUUCAACAAGACUUGGGGUCCAGGAUUUGUGUGAACCACAAUUUAACACUGAAACCUUUAUUUCACCACUGCCGGUGAAUAGAAUUCCAGCACCUAAUUUGUCAUUGGGCUGCGCAACCAGUCACGAGUCCUAGAGCAAAAUAUUCUCUUCUUUUUUCGUUGCAAUCAACAUACAUGGGCCAACAGACGUACAGAAAGCGCUAGUAACCCACUUGAGCUUAGAUUUUUGCUUCAGCUUGUGUGGUGAAGAUGUUGCGUGGUUGCACAGGCUUUGAGAAUCCACGAGUUACAACCACUACCUCAUUUCCCCUCGACACAUGACUUCCAUCAAGACUUGGGGUCCAGGAUUUGUUUUAAACAAAAUUCAGCACAGAAGCCUUUAUUUUUACCAUCGACAUAAUUCUAGCACGGAAUUUCCCCUCAAAUAAUAGUUGUGUUGCGCCACCGGUCACGAGUCAUUGAGCUAAAUCUUUUGCUCUAUGUACCAGCUGAACAGCGAAAAGGGAAGCAUUUUAGAAAAUAUAACACAAGCUGCUUCAAUUUCUUCAUAUUUGAAGCAGUUACCAAAGAAAUACUAUCAAACAAAUCACAGGAGAAACCAUCGAAUAAACAAAGAAAUACUAUAAAAAAAUUGACAGGAGAUACCAUCAAAUGAAAACUCUACUGCAUUAUUGUUGUUAACUCAAGUCCAUUCAGUGCAUAAGUUGUCGACGGAGAAUUGGGAAAGAUAUGUGUAGGCGUACCCAUAGGUAUUGCUUUCUAAGAACAAUUCAUGUGUGUGUUCUCCACAGGAAUGACGAAAGAAAAUAAAGGAAGAGAUGGCAACAUUGAAGAAGGAAAACAGGCGGCCCGGUAGCAGCUUCCAAAAGGGUGUGCUAGUUUCCAAACAAGAGCUUGGAACUUCCAGCAGGGAGAGAUGGCGACACUGAAGAAUGGUCAUCAAGCAGCAGCUUCCACUCAACUGUCUGUCUGUGUGUUCACGGAGGACCUCAUAACACUAUUUAAAUAUCAGUAGAGUUGCAAUUUAUAUUGAAUCUCAUCACCCAGCCAAACACACCAUGCAAACACUAGGCAGCAAGCCAUCUUGCUCAGCAGCUUUGUUCUACCUCUACUGCCUACUGUUAGUGUCAAGCCUUCAUCUCUUGGAAGAAGCACAUGCAGCACGGCAUGGAGGGAUCUCGCUGAGGUCUCAGCACAUGGCCCUCCUCCACUGGAAAGCUACACUUGUGAGUCCACCGCUGCAGAUGAGUUCCUGGCAGGAAAACACCAGCCCGUGCAACUGGACGGGCAUCAUGUGCACGGCUAUUCGCCAUGGUCGUCGCAUGCCCUGGGUGGUGACCAGCAUCUCCCUGCCGGAUGCUGCCAUCCGUGGCCAGCUCGGUGAGCUCAACUUCUCGGCACUUCCAUUCCUUACAAAUAUCGACCUUCAUAACAACAGUCUCCAUGGUACACUGCCCGCUAAUAUCAGCUCUCUGUCAGCACUUUCUGAUCUUAACCUUAAGCAGAACCAGCUCACAGGGGAAAUUCCUUAUGAGAUUGGUGGCCUGCAAAGUCUCAGGCAGCUUUCUCUCUCAUUUAACAACCUCACAGGAAAUAUCCCUGCAUCUCUGGGCAACCUAACAAUGUUAACUUUUCUUGCCAUUCACCAAACCAUGGUAUCAGGUCCAAUUCCAGAGGAGAUUGGACGGCUUGUAAACCUACAAAAUCUACAGCUAAGCAACAGCACCUUAAGCGGCAUCAUACCAAAAACCCUUGGAAAUCUGACCCAGCUAAUUGGUUUGUACCUGUUUGGUAAUCAACUCUCAGGGCCUAUACCCCAAGAACUAGGACGGCUAGUCCAUCUGCAAAUUCUUGAGCUUGAUUCAAAUUAUUUUUCAGGUCCAAUUCCAAUCUCUAUAACUAAUCUCACUAAGAUUAACGCAAUUUUUCUCUUUGAAAAUCAAAUCACGGGUCCAAUACCUUCAGAGUUGGGCAACUUGCUAAAUCUCCAGUCUUUAGUCUUAUUCGACAACCAAAUAUCUGGCUCUAUUCCUGACAGCCUAGGAAAUAUAACCAAGCUAGUAGUACUACACCUCUAUGAAAAUCAGAUAAGUGGUUCCAUCCCCCAGCAAAUUGGCAAUCUGAUAAACCUCAAAUCCUUAGCCUUGCACCAGAACCAAAUUUCCGGAUCAAUACCAAAAACUUUUGGGAAGUUGCAAAGCGUCCGAACACUGCAAAUGUAUGAUAACAAAUUAUCAGGUUCUCUUCCUCACGAAUUCGGAGAUCUCAUAAGCCUUGACAAUCUUGGGUUAGCUAACAACUCACUCUUAGGACCUUUACCCGCAAAUAUAUGUUCAGGUGGCAGACUUCAAAUUCUCACUGUCCAAUCUAAUAUGUUCACUGGCCCCAUUCCAAGAAGUUUAAAGACAUGUACUAGUCUGCUUAAAAUUAACAUUGAAAAGAACCAACUAACAGGAGAUAUAACUAGGCAUUUUGGUGUGUAUCCACAACUCACACUGAUGCGCUUGGCAUCAAAUAGACUCACCGGGCAGAUCUCACCAAAUCUAGGUGCAUGUACCCAGCUAACUGCCCUAACUCUAAGCAAAAAUAUGAUCACGGGUUCCAUACCUCCAAUCCUUUCUAAAUUGUCUAACCUAGGAGUACUAAAACUUGAUUAUAAUCAUCUCAACGGUAAAAUUCCACAAGAAUUAUACACUUUAACUAAUCUGUACAUGCUGAACUUAUCAUCGAACCACUUAUCUGGAUCCCUACCUACACAGAUAGAAAAACUAAGCAAUCUAGGAUAUUUAGAUAUUUCUGGGAAUAGACUGGGUGGAUUAAUACCUGAGGAACUAGGGGCCUGCAUACACCUACAAUCCUUGAAGAUCAACAACAACUUUUUCACUGGGAGUUUGCCUGGUACGAUUGGAAAGUUAGCGGGUCUGCAGAUCAUGUUAGAUGUGAGCAACAAUAACCUCAGUGGCAUAUUGCCGCAGCAACUUGGGAAGUUGGGAAUGCUAGAAUUUCUGAAUUUAUCCCAUAAUCAGUUCAGUGGCAGCAUUCCAUCCUCCUUUGCAAGCAUGUUGAGCCUUUCAACACUCGAUGUGUCCUACAAUGCCUUGGAAGGACCAAUCCCAAUAACACGACUACUCCAAAAUGCUUCAGCAAGUUGGUUUCUUCCCAACAAAGGUCUGUGUGGUAAUCUCUCUGGCCUGCCACCUUGUUAUUCAACUCCAGUAGAUGGUCACCAUAAACGAAAGACAUUAAAUGUGCUUUUUCCAAUUGUUCUUGUGGUGGGUUUCGGCAUUAUUGGUGCAAUUGUUGUCGUAAUAAUGCUUAGCCGAAACAAGAAUAAACCUGAAGAAAGUGUUACUCCUGAAGCAAGGGAACUAUUCUCUGUUUGGAAUUUUGAUGGAAGAUUAGCAUUUGACGAUAUUGUAAGGGCAACAGAAGACUUCGAUGAUAAGUACAUCAUUGGAACAGGAGGAUACGGCAAAGUCUAUAAGGCAGAGCUUCAAGACGGGCAGCUAGUUGCUGUGAAGAAGCUUCAUCAAACUGAAGAAGAGUUGGAUGAUGAAAGAAGAUUUCGUAGUGAAAUGGAAAUCUUAACACAGAUCCGACAACGAUGCAUUGUCAAAAUGUAUGCAUUCUGCUCCCAUCCAGCGUAUAAAUUUCUAGUCUAUGACUACAUUCAGCAGGGAAGCCUACGCAGGAUAUUGGAAGAUGAGGAGCUAGCAAAGGAAUUGGAUUGGCACAAGAGAAUUUCUCUUGCAAAUGAUGUGGCUCAAGCAAUAUCUUAUUUGCACCAUGAAUGCAGUCCACCUAUAAUCCAUCGAGAUAUCACGAGCAGCAACAUCUUACUUGAUACAACCUUCAAGGCUUUUGUCUCGGAUUUCGGCACAGCAAGGAUUCUUAAGCCCGAUUCAUCAAACUGGAGUGCACUAGCAGGAACAUAUGGCUACAUAGCUCCUGGUAUGUACUAGAAACCUUUCUUCUCACACUAGAAGCAUUCAUCUCAAUCCAUUUAUUCCUAAUUCUAAUGUUUUGAUUUUGUGCAGAGCUAUCAUACACAUCUGUUGUGACGGAGAAAUGUGACAUCUAUAGCUUUGGCGUGGUUGUGCUAGAGCUAGUCAUGGGGAAGCAUCCAAGGGAUCUAUUAGACGGUAGUUUACCAAGCAAGGAACAAGCUAUACUGGUAAAUGAUAUUCUGGACCAACGGCCGACAACACCAACCAUGUGGGAGGCAUACCACACACUCAUCCAGCGACCCUCUUCUAAUCCAUAUCCCGUGCCUUUCAGCGCACUUGCAUUAUGGCAAGUAAUGAAUGCAUGCUGAUAUAUGAUCCGAGUUCUAGUGAGAAGCCUGUGUCUAUUGUAGCGGAAGCCGUUUUAGGUUUUGGUUUUGCCUUGAGUCAUUCAUGCCAACUAUAUAUGUUGAAGUCUGUAAUCCUAUCAUGACAUCUCGUAGGUUUUAUUUCUAGCAAAAAUAAUGACCGAUCCAUGCAGUGUGAGCCUGUUACGGCCAUAGCGGCUUAGAACUGAGGCAUGGUCAAGGGACGUGGGAUGGCACGUUCGUGAAGCUUGGCCAUGGCGCAAGAUUAGUAUCUUUCUGUUAGUUAGUUAGUUGAGCUAAUGAGCUGUUUAAAUAAAGAAGAGAACAAAGCAGAAAAGCUACAAAGUUUUACACGACGCAAAUAUCCUAAGUGUUCACUAAUUCUUCUCCCACCCAUUUCCUCCAACAAUAUAUACCUCGGGAUGAGUUGGUGACUCAAUGUAAUUCUAUGUGUUGUAGACACUCUCCUAUUGUGUGCUCGUAGUUUUCCCCGCAAGGGUUUUCCACGUAAAAAAUAGUGCCCCAUGUUCUUGAUAUUUCUCCAUUUGUUUAGUUCCUGAUUUCUAACAAGGCAUAAAUAUAAUUUUUUUUUCGCUGGUUGCUUGUAAAAUGUAAUGUGUCUAUGCUUAUAUUUGUCAUUUUCUUUUGGCUGUUGUCUGCAAGGGUACUUGGAAUGGUGUACAAAUAUUUGUCUCUUUUUAUCUACUUCUGCUCCCAUGAACCUGAAGACGAAUUUGGAGUCCAAAACUGACGCGAUAUCAGGCGGUCACAAUGAUCAGGAUAAAAUACCUUGGACCAAGCAGGAAUGAUCACAAUGAUCAAGCGGUCGAUGCAUAAACAGGAACAAAUAAUGUUAGCACGCAGAGCUAGGUGCAUACAAAAAGGAAAAUUACCACAGUACUGAGUAAAAGAACUUAGAGAGGGUUGUAGGGCAUAAAAAGGGAAAAUUACCACUGUACUAAGUAUGAAGUUUUGAUCGGUUGAUGCAUAAACAUAAACAAAUGAAUGUAAACUUACGGAUCCAGGUGCAUAAAAGGGAAAAAUUACUACUGUACUAAGUAAAAGGACUUACAGAGGAUUGCAGUCCUUUUCCUUGGAGUCCUUGUCCUUAGGAUGGAGCAACAAAUGAUUUACUACUACAAUUAAUUUCAAACAUUAGUUAGCAAGAUUGACAUGGAACAAAGAUACAACCUUCUUUCUUCUUCAUGCCUAAUAAAAACUUAAGAAAGGAUGAGAUGAGAUGAUAUGAAAAGCCCCAGGUGACAGACAACAGUAAGAGCUAAGCUAGUGCAGUCAUAGACAAGAAGAGUCUGGUAUGAAAAUAUCCCAUAAUCUUUUUAACAGAAAAGUAGGUACGAUUCACCUCAAAUUCAACCAAGCUAGUGUAAUCACAGACAUACUAAGAACAAGAUGCACAGCCAAAUAGAGAACGGCUCCAUUUACCAUUGUUAAGCAACUUGUAGUGGUAUAUGUGAAAAGAUACAAAAAUUUGUCCAUGCACAAACAAAGCGCCGACCAUUUACAUCAAGAUCAAACCUACACCAUAGUUUUUUUUGGUUAGUUUCAGGUACGAAUUGACGUGUGCGGCACUGUAGGCAGUCCUAGUUCAUCCUCGAUCCUGCACAAGCAGAGGAAAUCAAGCAUAGAAAAUUAGUCUACUGGUUUAGACACAAGCAUAGGCAUUCAUUGAAACUGAAAUGAAGCAAAGUAUGUGCUGGCAUGAAAGGACCGAGAUGGUCAACCGGUAAUUGUUUCAAAAGCGCAGGAUCAAAUCCAUCUUAUUUUGCUAGUAAGAUCAAGCUGGAUAAGCUCAAUUGUUCACACCAACAAUAUAGGUAUGUACCAUGAAAUUAAGCACAAAACACACAAUUUAAGAGUUAAGAAAUACUUUCAUAAUGAUCUCAAGUAUCUAGGCCAUCAAUUAUAUCAUGUGACGAGAUAAAGAAACCCAUUUACAGCUUCAAGCAUGGUGACUGCAUGGAAAAUGACAAGAGUGGUCGAUUUCUUCCUAGGGACAUCAGCACCAGUAUGAGGAAAACUAGUUGAUUCAGUAUCUUUGAGGUGAUUAUAUUUGGCAUUUGAAUUAGCUGAGAAUAGCCAAGUAUGGAAUGAGAGCCAAGCCCCCCGUAAGUUCUUCCUCAUCGAAGUCAGCUGGGACAUUUUAGCUUCUACCAAGAUUUUCUUGUAUCUCAUUGCUCACAUCCAUAAGAUCCAUCAUCUCAUCUUGCACGCUCUGCAGAUUAUAAAAUCAGGCAUGGAUUCAGAUGCAAUCAAAACAAAAGUAGACCAGAAAGAUAUAUUUAAGUUGAAAAUCUUGAAAACAUGAAGAAUCUGGUAAACAACAGAGUGCUGCAUACAUCUAUAUCUUCAACCCUGACAGUCUUCAUCAUCCCUUUCAGCUCUUUAUUGGCAGCCUUCAUUGCAAUCAUCUGUUAAAUGAAAGACACUUCAACACAAGUCUAGGAGCUAGAAUCAGAAUGUACAUUGAACUAGAUAGAAACUAAGGCAACAUACAGUGUGUUGAGCGUCUUUAAUUCCCUCUGAUGCGUAAGCAACUUGGUCAAGAUUAUAAGUUUGGUUGUACAGCAUGUCACGCUGCCCUUCAUACCUGUAGAAAAAGCAUGCGCAGUAUAAAGGUUGGAGACUAGAACUAGAUUAAUAGGUUGCUGCCACAAAAAGAACAAUUAAAUCUUACAGGAUAAUCAGGUCCAUAUUUAACUAAGGGCAGGAGCAUGGAGAACUUGGUCUUGUCCAUGUGAAGAACUUGCUAGCGUUCGAAAUCAGCACUUUCUAUUAUAGCAAGUAACUGAAACUACACAAAAAUUACCUAUUAUUGUAAAGAAGCAAAAAAAUCUAAAGGUGUAUGAGAGUACAUCAAUCAGAUUCGGGAUUCAGCUAUACCUUCUCGGACAGCCUUUUAGACGGUGACUUGUCAACAUGGAUGGGUGGCAGCGUGGUCCUGCGAGCGCCCGUGAAGAGAGGGGAAGAAGACGUCGCUGCAGCGCGUUGUGGGCAUUUCAUCGAACAUGUGGUGUGCGGGAGCUGAUUUUUAUGGCCUCGCUCACCUUCUCCUCCUCUGAAUCCUCUUCCUGCCCCUGAAAUCGAAAAUCGACUCUGAAACCACGAAAAUCAGCAUCAACAACCCGAUUGCCUUCAUGCUGUUGAGUAAAUAGGCAAUUUCUCGAUUAAACUAAUCCACAAGUAAAUCACUAGCAUGGCAUUGAUACAUAUAAUCGCAUACUGAUAUUCAGUCAAACUAGCACAUACUACGCUAAUUGCAGAAAGAUCUACGUAUAACGCUAGCAUGGGUAAAACAGAAAACAGUAGGAGCGGGAUAAACGAGUUAUACCCUCCAGUAGGCCAUGCAGAGGCCGCGGCUUUGGUGACAGCAGCGGCGUCCUCGGCGGCCUUCUUGUCAGCUUCAGCUUUCUCGGCAGCGGCACGUUCGGCGUCGGUGGACAUGGUGAUGAUGAAGGCAACGCGGACAUAGAGGAAGUAGACGAUCGGAAGUGAGCAGUCGCGUAAUCGCUGCCCAAAAACCUAUUCGCCCCUCACACCGUACAGGAACCAGAAUGGCGUGGUUUCGGAGACCUGCUCUCCCAUCGACCAUGUACGCGGCGGACGGGAUGGAGUCACCGGCGGCAGCAGCAGCAAGGGAAUGACGGUGGGCGUGCGCUUGGAGCAGAUGUGAUAUGUUCGUGGCGGCUAGGGUUAGGAGACACCGCACACUUAUAUAGGCGCAGCCGCGUGGAGAGACAUGGGCUCGACCCACGUCCGAGUCCGUGACAGCCCACGAUCCGACGUCUCAGAUCGUGGCCUAGCUGUCAGAGAACUCUCCGUUAGUGACUGGCAAAAAUAAGCGUGUAGGUGUGAGCUCGGCUCGGCUCAAUCCCGCAACCCGUGGCGCGGCGGGCGGCGGAGGAGGAGUGCGCGAGGGCCUCUUCUCUUCUCAAGCUCCAAUAGCAUGCAGAAGAGAAACCUUAUAAGGAGGUCCAACUCCUCUUUCACUUCCGGGGUGGGACUAAACUUCCCACUACACCUAGUGCCAUAUAACCCACAUGGGCCCUUAGAGAUUUUUCAGAAAUUACUAUAUGGGCCUAGAGCCCAUCUCAAAUUUCAGCAAUCCCCCACCAGAUCUCGAGGGCCCAUUGUGUCCUCUGUUCCAAUUACUAUUUCGAUAUACCAGUGUUUUAGUGAAGACCUGUUAAGGUUGAGCUUCACCUAGAGCAAGUAGCUACACUCCUUCACAACUGAACAAUGGACUAUGCCUUGAAUUGUCAGUUUGGCGUAAAGAAGUUUCACCACAUUUCUCACUAGUACUGGGCUGCCGAAGGCUGACCCCUCGGGUGGAGCAUAUAAGUCACACUCCUGGCCUAUUCAUGAGCUUACUAGAGAUCACCCCAAUCUCAUAGACUGUGACCAGCAGUCGGGCUCAUAUAGGUGUGUUCCUCCAAAGAUCGCUCUGUAGGAUAGCAUCUUGCUUAUAUAAGCUUCGGAACACAUUAAGACAGUAGUCAUCCUACCAUACAGUAUCGAGAGUAUUGCAUCUCCAACGGAGUGGGUUAGUAUAGUUACUCUCCUCAGUUCACCACUGGCUUGUUUUCCCAAGUCCUAAUUCACGGGAUCUCCGAUCACAUAGGUUGGGUUACUACCAUGGCAACUCAUGUGGGUCUCAUACCCAUCUCCCUCAAUGCAUUAUCUAUCAAAACACGUGAUAGCCCUUUCGUAAAGGGAUCUGCCAGAUUCUUAGCCGUAUGGACAUAGUCCAACACUAUCACUCCGGAGUUUCUUAAUUUUCUGACAGCUUUUAAUCUCAUUCUUAUGUGUUUGCUGGACUUCAUGUUGUCCUUUGAACUCUUCACCUUGGUGAUGACAGUCUGAUUGUCACAGUUCAUAAGGAUAGCCGGAACCGGUUUAUCAACCAAUGGCAAGUCCAUCAAAAGAUCUCGAAGCCAUCUCGCUUCAACACCAGAUGUGUCUAAUGCCGUUAAUUCUGCUUCCAUUGUCGAUCUCGUUAAGAUCGUUUGCUUGCAAGACUUUCAGGAAACAGCGCCACCUCCAAGAGUAAACAUAUACCCAGUUAUGGCCUUCAUCUCAUCAGCAUCAGAGAUCCAAUUUGCAUCACUAUACCCUUCAAGUACCGACAGGUCUCUGGUAUAGUGAAGUCCAUAGUUCAUAGUACCUUUCAGAUAGCGCAUAACUCGCUCAACAGCAUGCCAAUGUACAUCACCCGGUUUGGAAACAAACCGGCUCAGUUUGCUCACAGCAAACGCGAUGUCGGGCCUCGUUGCGCUCGCUAGGUACAUCAGUGAACCAAUGAUUUGAGAGUAUCUCAACUAAUCUAUAGCCGUGCCUUUGGACUUUCGAAUCAACACGCUAGGAUCAUAUGGUGUUUGAGAUGGUGUGCAAUCUGAAUAUCCAAAACGAGUCAACACCUUCUCAACAUAGUGGGAUUGCAGAAGUGUAAUCCCACCCUCAUUAUCUCUCAGUAGCUUGAUGUUCAAGAUAACAUCAGCCACACCAAGGUCUUUCAUCUCAAAGUUCUGAGACAGAAACGACUUGACCUCCUCAAUGACUUUGAGGUUGGUUCCGAAUAUCAGUAUGUCAUCAACAUACAAGCACAGUAUAACUCCUUCGCCCCCCACCAUGGCGAUGGUAUACACAUUUGUCAGCCUCAUUAACAACGAAACCAACAGAUGUCAGAGUUGUAUUAAACUUAUCAUGCCAUUGCUUAGGUGCUUGCUUCAGGCCAUAUAAAGAUUUCAGCAACCUACACACCUUUCUUUCCUGACCAUCUAUCAUAAAGCCAUCUGGCUGUUGCAUGUAGAUUUGCUCGUUUAGCUCUCCAUUCAGAAAAGCCGUCUUAACAUCCAUCUGGUGGACGAGAAGACCAUGCGAGGCUGCCAACGAGAGUAAUACUCGAAUGGUGGUCAGUCUAGCCACAGGUGAAUAAGUGUCGAAUAAAUCUUCCUCUUCUUUCUGGUCAUAGCCCUUGGCCACAAGCCUAGCCUUGUACUUUUUAAUUGUACCAUCGGGCCUAAGCUUCUUCUUGAACACCCACUUACAUCCUAAUGGUUUGCAACCAUAGGGACGUUCAGUGAUCUCCCAUGUCCCGUUAGCCAUGAUGGAAUCCAUCUCAUUACGGACCGCAUCCUUCCACUAGUCAGCUUCUGGAGAGGCAUACGCUUCUGAAAUAGAAGUGGGAGUAUCAUCCACGAGGUACACGAAGAAAUCAUCACCAAAGGUCUUUGCAGUCAUUUGUCUCUUGCCCCUACCAAGGGUUUCCUCGUCAUCCUCCUCAGGAUUUUCAUCAUGUGUUUGUUCGUAAUAUUCCAUAGGGAUGGCAGGUUCAGGAGUCUCUUCAGAUUCCUGUCUAGAAGUGCUUUGCAUAUCUCUCAUAGGAAAAAUAUCCUCGAAGAAUGUAGCAUCCUUAGACUCCAUAAUUGUACCGACCUUCUGGUCAGGUACCUCAGAUUUCACUACUAGAAAUCUAUAGCCAACGCAGUUCUUAGCGUAGCCCAAAUUAACGCAGUCCACAGUCUUGGGUCCAAGCUUACGCUUUUUGGGGAUCGGCACAUUGACUUUCGCCAGACAGCCCCAAGUGCGCAAGUACGAGAGUGUUGUCCUUCUCUUUGCCCAUUUCUCAUAGGGAGUGAUCUCAUUAUCCUUUGUCGAAACUUUAUUCAGGACAUGACAUGCCGUCAAUAUAGCCUCCCCCACCAUGCCUUGGAUAAACCCGAUGUAUCUAACAUGGCGUUAACCAAAUCAGUUAGAGUACGGUUUUCCGUUCGGCAACCCCGUUUGACUGGGGUGAAUAGGGAGGCAUCCUCUUAUGAAUAAUGUCGUGUUCCGCACAGAAGGAAUCAAACUCACUCGAGAAGUACUCUCCACCACGAUCUGACCGGACUCGUUUAAUUUUCUUUUCAAGUUGAUUCUCAACUUCUGCCUUAUAGAUUUUAAAGUAGUGUAGAGCCUCAUCUUUAGUAUUUAACAUAUACACAUAGCAAUAUCUAGUGGAAUCAUCUAUCAAUGUCAUGAAGUAUUUCUUUCCACCUUUAGUCAAUACACCAUUCAUCUCACAAAGAUCAGAAUGUAUGAGUUCUAAUGGUGCCAAGAGUCUCUCCUCCGCGGCCUUGUGAGGCUUGCGAGGUUGCUUAGCUUGCACACAUGAAAGGCACUUAGAACCUUUGGCUAAAGUAAAACUCGGGAUUAAAUCCAACUUGGCUAGCCGCGUCAUAACACCGAAACUAAUGUGACAAAGACGUGAAUGCCAAACUUCAGAUUCAUUAACAUUCGAAUGAACAUGGUUCACGACUUAUUACAAAAAUCUGCGAGGGAAAGGCGGAACAUCCCUCCGCUCUCAUAACCUUUUCCAACAAAGAGUCCAUAUUUCGUAACAACUAAUUUAUUAGACUCAAAAACCAACUUAAACCCUUCUCUACAUAGAAGGGAGCCACUAACGAGGUUCUUCUUGAUGGCGGGGACAUGCUGCACGUUCUUCAGCUGCACGAUCCUUCCCGAAGUAAACUUCAGAUCGACCGUGCCAACACCAUGAACAGAAGCACUCGCGCCAUUCCCCAUCAAUACGGACCCGUGGCCUGUGACCUGGUAAGAAGUGAACAAUGACAUGUCAACACACACAUGUACACCUGCACCUGUGUCCACCCACCAAUCGGUGGGCUGAAACACUGAAAAAAACAGUAAAUAAAUUACCAUACCCAGGUGCACCAUUCUCAUUGUUGUCCAUAAUCAUGUUGACGGACUUGGAGUCCUGUCCUGACUUCUUGUACUUGUUUGGGCACUUGUUGGCCCAAUGUUCAACCGAACCAUAAGUAAAGCAGCCCUCGUCCUUCUUGUUUUUCUUGAAGGUCUUCUUACCCUUUUUCUUAAAGUCGGUAUUGUGUUGGACACCGUUCUUUCCCUUGGGCUUGUGGGAGUGGAAGUUCUUCUAGUUCACCAUGUUGGCGACAGAAGUCCCUUCGACCCCUUUCCCGUGCGAGUCCUUUGCCCUUGAAUUCUGCUCAACACUCAGAUGGCUAAUGACAUCCUCCACAGAGAAUUCACGCCUCUGAUGUUUCAGAGUGGUGGCAAAGUUCCUCCAGGAAUUAGGGAGCUUAGCGAUUAUGCAGCCCGCGACAAACUUGCCCGGUAACUCGCACUUAAGAAGUUCAAGCUCCUUAACAAUGCAUAUUAUCUCAUGAGCCUGCUCCAAUACAGGACGGUUUUCAACCAUCUUGUAAUCGAGGAACUGCUCUAUAAUAUACAUCUCGCUUCCGGCAUCGGCUGCCCCGAACUUAGAUUCGAGCGCCUCCCACAAGUCCUUGGCGACAUGCACAUGUAAAUAUGCGUCGACCAGUUUAUCUCCGAUCACGCUAAGAACUGCUCCGAGAAACACAACGGUAGCCUCCUUGAACGCCUUCUCCUGUUCAGGAGCAAUCGUUCCCGUGGAGACACCGGUGUCCCAGAACACGUUCAUAGCCGUGAGCCAUAACGUGGUCUUAGUCUGCCAACGCUUAAAGUAUGUACCGGUAAACUUAUCUGGUUUCAGUGCAGCGGCAAAGCCACUUGCCGAAAAAUUCCCUCCACAUAAUAGGUUUUUGGAUUGUUGAGUAAAUAGGCAAUUUCUCGAUUAAUUUAAUCCACGAGUAAAUCACUAGCAUGGCAUUGACACAUAUAAUCGCAUACUGAUAUUCAGUCAAACUAGCACAUACUACGCUAAUUGCAGAAAGAUCUACGUAUAACGCUAGCAUGGGUAAAACAGAAAACAGUAGGAGUGGGAUAAACGAGUUAUACUCUCCAGUAGGCCAUGCAGAGGCCGCGGCUUUGGUGGCAGCAGCGGCGUCCUCGGCGGCCUUCUUGUCAGCUUCAGCUUUCUCGGCGGCGGCACAUUCGGCGGCGGUGGACAUGGUGAUGAUGAAGGCAACGCGGACGUAGAGGAAGUAGACGAUCGGAAGUGAGCAGUCGCGUAAUCGUUGCCCAAAAACCUAUUCGCCCCUCACCCCGUACAGGAACUAGAAGAGCGUGGUUUCGGAGACCUGCUCUCCCGUCGACCGUGUACGCGGCGGACGGGAUGGAGUCACCGGCGUCAGCAGCAGCAAGGGAACGACGGUGGGCGUGCGCGUGGAGCAGAUGUGAUAUGUUCAUACCGCACACUUAUAUAGGCGCAACCGCGUGGAGAGACGUGGGCUCGACCCACGUCGUGGCCCAGCUGUCAGAGAACUCUCCGUUAGUGACCGGCAAAAAUAAGAGCGUAGGUGUGAGCUCGGCUCGGCUCAAUCCCGUAACCCGCGGCACGGCGUGACGAGGCGGGCGGCGGAGGAGGAGUGCGUGAGGGCCUCUUCUCCUCUUAAGCUCCAAUAGCAUGUAGAAGAGAAACCCUUAUAAGGAGGUCCAACUCCUCUUCCACUUCCGGGGUGGGACUAAACUUCCCACUACACCUAGUGCCAUAUAACCCACAUGAGCCCUUAGAGAUUUUUCAGAAAUUGCUAUAUGGGCCUAGAGCCCAUCUCAAAUUUCAGCACAUGCAUCGCAUAAAUCACAAGAAGUUGAGAAGAGCACCCAGCUUGUCAUAGCAGAGGUCGCAGGCGUGGUCGGUGGCGUUGUCGUGCAGCUAGCCGGCGAGCAGGCACGACAGUCGCUGCAAUCGGCGGGGGCGCGGCCCGAAGCUCGGUGGUGGGGGGUCGUGGCGCCUGGCGCGGCUCGGGGUCGACCGCCGGGAGCUCGGCCAGCGCCGCUUGGAGGACGGACGACGGCGAUGGGGCGGGCUGCCAGGGGCGAACCAACCCAAAGAAAAGGACGUGUGGCCCAAGUGAGUGAGAGGGGCCAGUUCUUGUUUUCCGCUCACUGCUAUGGGCUGGGCCCAUUGCCAGUUUCCCCUGUUUUUAUUUGGUUUUUAUAAGUUUUUAUUAUGUUGAUUACUUUUGGUUCAGGGUGGCUUUUUUGUUUUUGUUUUUUGUUGUUCUCGAAAUUAUCCUUUUCUUCGAUUUUUAUUUGUUUAUACUAUACGUGCAAUGCACGUUAAUUUGGAAGUAUAUUAAGUGCAUGCGGAUAUUAAAUACGAUAUUAUUUACGUGUUAUUAUGUGAUUAGCACUAUUUUUGAUAUGAAAUUAAUUGCACGCUAAACGUGUUGAGCGCUCGACAUUGAAGCAGUCUAGAUUGUUGGAUUGAUAUGAUUUGAUGGCCGAGAUUAAUUGGAUCUGCCCAUUUGGAUCUUUUUAUAUUGGUAUAGAUAUAGAUAUAGAUGUUUGUCUUCAUUUAUAAUUAUAACGCUGGUGUAUAUGUGAACAUUUUUAAAAAUAGCUUUUGUAAUACUCCCUCCGUUCCUUUAUAUAAAGUGUAUUUGUUUUUGAUAAUAUUUCAAAAUGUAAGGUGCAUUUCUUAUAAUUCCUCAUAAUUUCAUUGUUAGCCCUUUAGAAAAAGAAAAAUAUCUCUCUCAUGAUUGUCUGUAUAUCUUCUUGUAGCAAAAGAAGGAAAGUAUCUUUCUGUCGAUCGCAUGUAUCUCAUACUUUUCUGGACUAACUGAUUUAUUUGAUACUAACCAAUAAAUUUUUCAAGGGUAAUUUCUUCCUAACAAGUCGAUAAUUUGAUGCCUUGAUCACCGUGCCGAAAAUAAUACACGUUACAUAAAGGAAUGAAGGGAGUAAAUUUUUAAUAUAUAUUAACUUGUUUUAACAAUAUUUUAAAGACAUGUCUUUGAAAUGUAUAUUUUAAGAAAAUCCGCAUUCGCCUCUUGUAACUCCUAACUAGGGGUUAAAUAGGUUAUCCGCACGUUGCUACCUCGAUCUCUCCCUUCUAGAGGUAUCGUCGGCGGCCAGAGGUGCGGGGAGUUAAUUUUCAAUGGACAUGUUGUGUGAUGGUGUCUUUUUAUACUGAAAAAGUCUUUUGCCCCGCUUUAUAUAUCAAGCACCGACCAACAAGCAUCCAGUACAAACACACGUCACCGUAACACACGCACACACCCAAGACAAGAUACAUAGGCGCUGAGCGCAACAACACCACUCCUAGCAAUACUACAACGAAGAGAUGAAGUUACAUAUGACGAACCAUGGGCUCCAAGACGGCGCCUUCAGGAAGGGUAUGACACCGGAGCGCUGCCACCGCCCGAUCCAAGGAUCAGAGUUUCCCCUGGAGCCGCAUGACGGGCAAUGAGAGCCGCGACGACGCCUUCAAGAAGGGAACGAUCUUCGCCGCCGCCGGUCCGUCCAAAGAUAGAACAGGUUUUCACCUCGGCCACCACUCACCGCCACUGAACGGCACAUCCCGGCAACCACGCCGCCCACACGGCCAUGGUGACCGGGCAGCGCCAUAGCACGGGCUCUGUCCAAAAGCACCGUGCUACCACCACCAGGGCCGCGGCCCCGGCAUCCAAGACCUUUACACCACCUCACACGAGACCCGCCUCCACCCCAACGAAAGAGACGAGCGGAAAGGUCCCCCCCUUUCGCACCCCUGGGCGACCCCCAGCGUCGAGACCCGAUUGGCUGGCCAGAACUGGCAUCCACCGACCCGUCCUGCUGACCCGAGCGCGAGAUGAGCGCGGUCCUGCAGCACCAAGAGGGGGACGAGGUCAGUCCUGCUGCAACGUGCGCGAGACGAGCUCGAUCCCGCUGCACCGUGCGCGAGACGAGCGGUGGACCGCAGCUGGGUGAGGACCAGCCCUUUGAUGGGAGUAGCGCCCAGAUGACGAGGAGAUGGGGCGAAGGUCGAGAUGGUCUGACCGCAGACGAGCCGACGCGGGAGAAGCCGGCCGCUGCCGCGGGCAGAACCGCAACCACCGCCACUGCGCCGCCACCCCGACCACCCGAGAUGGCCCCGGUCGAGGCAGCCGCCCGCAGCCCUAGCCGAACGCGGCCCGCGCCGCCGAGAGGUCAGAUCUGGCCGGGCCACUUGCCGCCAUCCCCGACCCCUGGCUCGCACCACUACCACCCUCCUUGACCCGCGCCGACCAUGGCCCGCCCCGCAGGAGGUCAGAUCUGGCCGAGCUACGCCUUGCCAGCCGCCGUCCCCGACUCCAGCAGGCACAUCCACCGCGCCACCGCCCGCCACGAGCAGGAUCCGGCCAGGGCCGAGCCGGAUCUCGCCACUGCGGCCGCGACGGGGCAUACCACCGCCCAGCAGCCCACCAGCGACGCCAACAGCACCCGCCGUCGCCGGGACGGCCGUCACCGCCGCGCCGCCGCNNNNNNNNNNNNNNNNNNNNNNNNNNNNNNNNNNNNNNNNNNNNNNNNNNNNNNNNNNNNNNNNNNNNNNNNNNNNNNNNNNNNNNNNNNNNNNNNNNNNNNNNNNNNNNNNNNNNNNNNNNNNNNNNNNNNNNNNNNNNNNNNNNNNNNNNNNNNNNNNNNNNNNNNNNNNNNNNNNNNNNNNNNNNNNNNNNNNNNNNNNNNNNNNNNNNNNNNNNNNNNNNNNNNNNNNNNNNNNNNNNNNNNNNNNNNNNNNNNNNNNNNNNNNNNNNNNNNNNNNNNNNNNNNNNNNNNNNNNNNNNNNNNNNNNNNNNNNNNNNNNNNNNNNNNNNNNNNNNNNNNNNNNNNNNNNNNNNNNNNNNNNNNNNNNNNNNNNNNNNNNNNNNNNNNCCGGUCGAUGGUGUCUUUUUUCUUUGUGCCGGCUACUGUUUUCCUGGAUCAAUCUUACUUAGACACCACCGGCAAGAAAAAAACUGUUUUCCUUGAUGAAUACCAAAUAUGAUACACCUUUGGGUGUCAGCAUUGAGUUUGAAAGCUGGAAAAAUAGAAAUUGACUAGGAGCAUAGGCCCCACUCUGCCUAAUGUAGGUUUGCCAUGGUACCUGAUCAAGUCCUUACCGCCGCGGCUUGCACGAGGGUUAGGGAGUCAGGGGUGCGCAUGGGAGGUUGUGUUGGAACCAAGGAAAAAAACGCAUGGUAGCGGUUACCUGCCCCCAAGACGCUGCAUCCAGGGCCAUAUGGUCAACCACUCAUCACUAAAAGAUGCACGUAAAAAGGGUAAAUCCGAAGCAGUCAAAACGAACGGCCGAGGUGAAAAACAAAAUACUCUCUGUUUUCAUUCACUAUGCAUAUUUGCUUUGGUCUAAGUCAAACUUUAAAAAACUUGAUCAAGUUUAUAGAAAAUAAUAUAAACAUUUAUACGAACAAAUAUAUAUGAUGUGGAAAUAUAUUCGAUGAUCAAUCCAACAGUAUUAGUUGGUAUUGAAGAUGUUAACCUUUUUUUUCUAAAAAUUUUGUCAGAAUUUACAAAGUUUGACUUUAAAAAAAGAAGCUAAUAUGCCGAGUAAAUACAGACAUAGGCAGUACUUACUGCACAUGAAUCUUGCCAUUUGCAGCAGGUGAGCAGCAAGAUGUUCUUUCACUUUUAAGAGAAUGUAUAUAUACUUACUUAAGUUUUCCGAGAUUUUUAGUCCAACUGAAUGCAUAUGACAAGAUUGCAGCGUAGUAGACAGACAGAUGUCUACACAAAACAGAGCACAAGCAGAGCAGUCUUCCUUCCUGCACCACUCUGCUGCCUCUCUCGUCUCAGCCAGCCUUGGCAUGCAAUACAGUGCUUGCUUUCACCACUAUGUCAUGUGUAUAUACUGAUAAGAGAUUUUGAUAUCAAUUCAACCUAUAAACUCCAUCGUAUUCAACUCAGCAUGUGCCAUCAUAGUAGACAUGCUAACAACAGGAUGUACUGACAAGAGCUUCAUCGUUCAGAGGAUCAUAGAACGAAUCUCUCCAUGCACAAACCAAGGCGCCUACUAUUUACUCGAGAUCAAACCAACACCUAUAGAUUUGAAUCCAUGCGUUUGCUACUGUACUCUCCGUAGUCCCAGUUCAUCCUCCUGUCCUGCACAGGCAGAAAAAAAAAACAAGCACCAGGUCAGACAAAAGCAAUUAGCUGAGCACAUCAUUCUACUGGUGGAGAGCCAAGCUAGAUGUUUCAAAGCUCAAGAUAAUGUCUGUCCAUGCAUUAGAGGCUAGGUGCAUCGUAGCCUGUUUCUAUUUUCGCUGGCGGUGGCAUAUUUUCUUUUUCUUUUUGUCAAGCUCCGUUUGUGUGCCAGAUUUGGACCUCACACUAUGUUCCACACUUUAUUUAAUAAUAUAGUUGCAUUCAUCAUUCUGAUGCAGAGGCCUGGGAUCAUCCCCCUUUUGUAUAUUGCUCCUGGUAAGUGAAUAAAACAAGAUGAUAGGCAACAGAUGCUCAACAAAAGGCAAUUGUUUACAUUGCUCCUGGUAUGUACUAGUAUAACCUUGUUUCUCACAUCAGGAGCAUUCGUGUCUAUCCAUUUAUUCCCGAUUCUAAUAUUUUCGACGGUUUUGUGCAGAACUGUCGUACACAUCUGUUGCAAGAAGAGCUAGCACGGUUUCAACCAAGUGAUGGUGUUUCCGUUCAGCGAUCCCGUUUUGUUGGGAUGUGUAUGGACAGGAUAUGCGAUGAGAAAUACCAAUGCGCCGAAAAAAUGUAUGCAAGCAAUGCUUUUCGCCCACNNNNNNNNNNNNNNNNNNNNNNNNNNNNNNNNNNNNNNNNNNNNNNNNNNNNNNNNNNNNNNNNNNNNNNNNNNNNNNNNNNNNNNNNNNNNNNNNNNNNNNNNNNNNNNNNNNNNNNNNNNNNNNNNNNNNNNNNNNNNNNNNNNNNNNNNNNNNNNNNNNNNNNNNNNNNNNNNNNNNNNNNNNNNNNNNNNNNNNNNNNNNNNNNNNNNNNNNNNNNNNNNNNNNNNNNNNNNNNNNNNNNNNNNNNNNNNNNNNNNNNNNNNNNNNNNNNNNNNNNNNNNNNNNNNNNNNNNNNNNNNNNNNNNNNNNNNNNNNNNNNNNNNNNNNNNNNNNNNNNNNNNNNNNNNNNNNNNNNNNNNNNNNNNNNNNNNNNNNNNAUUUUUGCGUUGAGGAGUCGUUCAACAUGUGCUUGAAAAUUAUGGAAAAUUUGUUCGACAUCAGAUUUAUUCCUAAGAAGAUAAAUCAAAGUAAAACGACUAAAGUCAUUAACGAAGCUGACAUAAAAUUUAAAACAUCCAGAGGAGGCGAGGGCAGCCCCCUGGCCCACACAUCGGUAUGAAUAAGCUCUAGCAGUUUUGAAGAAACACGGGAAUAAUUAUUGUAAGGUAAUUGAUGACUUUUGGUGCGUUGACACGCAUCACAAACGAAAGUAUCAUGACCCGACGAACAAGGAAGUUUAUUUGACCGGGCGACAUAAUCAACUACAUUAUUUGAAGGGUCAUACACAUUAUUUGAAGGGUGAUGCAUUAACAGAGAGCAUCAUAUAUACACUCAGUGGAGGUCUCUACCAUGUCAUAAAGAUUUUGGGGAAGAUAACCCAUACUUUAUUCGACCGAACACACUUUGGCAUAAAUUCCAUGCACACACCUACUUGCGAAUAACACAUGUGUGUAUAUUUUUACAUGACAAAGUAAGAAAUGUGAAUUUUUAUUACGCACUCUAAAUAUUUUGACAACAUGCAUGGUUGUAUUGUCAUCAUUUUCCUGAAAUGCUCUAUGACUUGUUCCCUAAUCAUGAUUACAAUGAGAAGUAUAUAUGAGAAGUAAGAAAUGUAUAAUCCUUCACAUCUGAUUAUAUUAAGACAUAGACCCGUAAAAAGAAGAUUAGGUUAGACAUAGAUAAUUGAGACAUUUACAUUUGUGCCCCUCGAACUCACUACUCAGAUUUACUUCCAAUUUUGAAGCAUGCUCAAAUUUGUCCAUCUGCCAUUAAUUGCACUUAUAGAAAUGGCCUUAUGUGCCGUUUCCGUCCAAUCAAAGCUCUUUGACCAGUAUCUCACCGUUUCUUUGACAAUUUUACCUCUGUCUCCAUGUGUCACUUACUGGUGGGACCCACUCCCAUUUUUUUAAACACCCUUUCUCUCGCACACACUUACAUGUGGGUCCUAGCUAGGAAAACUAAAAUGAAAAGUAUAUCCAUGUGUUACUUACGGGUGGGCCACCAUCCAUAGAAAAAAGAAGCAAAAUUCUCGCUCUCCUCUCUUUCUUUCAAUUACAAGUGGGCCAAAGAAAAAAGGAAAAAUAAAAACUAUUCUCUUUCUCUCACCUCUCUCUCCCCCGAGGAAUAAUGGGCCGACGACACUCUCUCUCAACUCCGGCGAGAGUGCCGAAAGUGCCGCUUCCGGCGCUAGCCUCCCCUGACGCCGCAGCCCUCUUGCCCUCGUUCUCUCUCUCUGUCGCUCGCCCGAUUUCUCUAUCCCUCCCUCUAGCCCUCUCCCGCAAGCACGUCGGAGAGUGCCCAGUCGCCAUCGUCUGUCAAGAACAUAGCCAACAGCAACCCCAUGCCCCGCCACUUCGCCAGGAAGCUCUUACGACAUGAACUCAUCCUAAAAUCCUAUGAAUUCAACCAAAGAUGUCAAGGACUGAGCGCCAGGACGCAUCUUCCCCACCUCUGGCCUCGGACCGCCGCAUUCGAUUCGACGCCAUUGAGGCACACCGGCCGAUUCCUGCCGCUCAUCGGGCAUCGGGAUGUAUCAAAGAAUACAUGGGCGUCCUCCAUAGCAAGCCCCAUGACGUCGAGUUGUAUUCCCCGCGAGCUCCGAGCUUUGCCAUGGCCACCAUCGUCGANNNNNNNNNNNNNNNNNNNNNNNNNNNNNNNNNNNNNNNNNNNNNNNNNNNNNNNNNNNNNNNNNNNNNNNNNNNNNNNNNNNNNNNNNNNNNNNNNNNNNNNNNNNNNNNNNNNNNNNNNNNNNNNNNNNNNNNNNNNNNNNNNNNNNNNNNNNNNNNNNNNNNNNNNNNNNNNNNNNNNNNNNNNNNNNNNNNNNNNNNNNNNNNNNNNNNNNNNNNNNNNNNNNNNNNNNNNNNNNNNNNNNNNNNNNNNNNNNNNNNNNNNNNNNNNNNNNNNNNNNNNNNNNNNNNNNNNNNNNNNNNNNNNNNNNNNNNNNNNNNNNNNNNNNNNNNNNNNNNNNNNNNNNNNNNNNNNNNNNNNNNNNNNNNNNNNNNNNNNNNNNNNNUUUUCCCUCUCCCUCCCCUCGCAUGGAAGCUCACCUCCUUGCACCACCUAGAGCCGCCGCGGGAAUGGUUGCCGCCGUUUGCUCAUGGUCCUACGAGGAUAUCCCUGGACGCGGUAGAUCUAGGGCUAUCGUCUGGUUGCCUCUGCUGGCCUCCUUGCGGCCUCCCUGCGUGCCUCCGCCGCGGGAAUUUCUUGCCACGGGCAACCGUCAGCAUAAGCCACGAUUUUCUAAUUGAGCCAGCCUAACCCAACGUUAACUAAAACAAAAUAUUUGAGAAAAUAUGAUAAGUUUGACAUGUGGGCCUGAUAUUUUGUUUGACUAGUCCUUUUGUAUUUUCAUUUUAUUUCUUGUAGCUAGGACCCACCUAUAAGUGUGUGUGAGAGAGAGGGGGGUGAGAGAAAGGGUUUUUUCAAUAAAAAAAGUAGUAGGUCCCACCGGUAAGUGACACAUGGAGACUGGGGCAAAAUUGUCAAGAAAGGGUGAGAUACUAGUCAAACAACUUUGACUGGACGGAAACUGCACGAAAGGGCAUUUGUAUGAGUGCAACUAAUGGUAGAGGGGCAAAUUUGAGUAUGCUUCGAAAUUAGGGGUAAAUCUGAGUAGUGAGUUCAAGUUAGGGGCACAAAUGUAAAUGUCCCUACAUAAUUCAGAUUGGGGUUUGAUUAUUUUCACAUUUCUUGAUUAUUCUAUUUUUGAUACCAUGAAUGUUUUAGCGUCAUUAUCUCAAAAAUAUUCUAUGACUUGUAAUUAAUAUCCUUAAUCAUGAUUAUAAUUUAAGAAAAGUCCACUUUAGAACAUUAAACUUCUCACUUGGUUUAAAAUGCAACCCCUAACUUCAAAAUUGGUCAUCCCGCACCCUGAACUAACAAUCCAGCUUAGGAAUAAACCCCUCGUCCGGUUUUGACUCACUCGAAUGGCUUUGACCUUGUUGACUGUUGAGUCAGCACGACAUCGUCAGUUUUUGAACCUUUUUUCGACAUGUUUUUACCACCUCCCCCUUCUCUCCCGGCCGCUCAAGCAUCCAGCCGCCACCAGGCCAGCCCAUGAGCGCCUAUCUAUCCAGCAUGUUCUGGAAGCGGCCAUAUUCCUGAAAUGUAGAUACGGCGGCGGCGGGCUCCUGCUCGUCGGGCAAGAGGCCACGACGGCUGGUCCAUGGACCCGUGUGGCUGCUCCCUUCGCCCAUUUGACUCCACCCCCGGCAGUGCCCUCUUGCCGCUGGAGAAAGCCCAAGGUGGAUCUCGCUGGAAUAUGUCGGCUCGUAGGUGCAGGACGCGGCACUACACAAAUUCAUUGGCGGUGGCGGCGCGCAUCGUCGCUGGGAGCGGAGGCGCUGAGAUCUCCGCGUACUCCAGAGGCCAUGUAGAUGUGCGGCGAGAAGAGUAGCAUUCGUGGUGGUGUGGGUCAUGUGUUGUCGCGGCUCGAGUAAGAAGGUGUUGGCAGGUGAUAGGCGCCAGGGAGGGCAGGAGCGAUGCGGGGUGGGGUGUCGUAGCGGGGUGACAUGCCAGGGUGGUCCAGGGCACAUGUGCGGCGGUGCCUCAGGUCAAUGGGAAGGUAAGGUUCAAGCCGGAACGAUGUGAGAGGGGUGGUUCUGGUGAGAAGUGGAGGCGUAGGAUCCGGGGUUAGGUGGGUGCCACAUGUAAGGAGUUGACAUGGUGGGUCGACUCAGUAGCCAACACGGUCCAAGCCGUCAAAGCAGGGUUCAUUCCUAACUAAGAGUAGUUAUGAUCUAUUAGUUCUUAGGUCUCGAAACUGGAAUUAAGGUUGCGGCAACCCAUAUGAAUCUAUAAUACAUAAAUAGCUUAUCCCCACUAUCUUAUUUUUCUUUGACAUGCAGCCUAUUCACGUCAGCAAAUGUAUCAUGAAAUCACCUCAGUGUGUUGCAAGUUCUCGUAAAAGCGUGCAACCCAAAAACAGUCCACACAUCCAUGGCCGUGGCCACUGAUAUUUUACUUAUUGUAUUUUUCCUCUGCUUCUAUUAUUUCUUGUACUCAAAAGAUGCUCACAUGCUACGCAUUGUUUGCAACACGCAUCAAAUUAUGAGAGCAUCAUCAUACAUACAAUCAGUGGAGGUCUCUUUCAUAUCACAAAGAAUUCGGAGAAGAUAAUCCUUACUUUAUUCGACUGAACACACUUUGGCAUAGAUUCCAUGCACGCACCUACUUAUGAAUAAGAAUAACACAUGUGUAUAGGACGCAGAGUUUCUUAGCUCGGGUGAACAGUAAAAUCAAAACAAAACAAAAUCCAAAUUUUUUUUGGAACAAACAUUGACAAAAGUUUUAAGUGCUUGCGAAAAUUCAUCACGAAAUCACAUUCCUAGAAGGCGUGGUGAAAUUAAAAAACAAAAUCGAUACUCUGAAAAUGCUACUUCCGAAAGCAUUUUGGAGCAUUGAAUUUGUUUUUUUGCGCCACGCCUUACAGAAAUGUGAUUCCAUGAUGAAUUUUUGCAAGCACUUAGAACUUUUGUCAAUGUUUCUCCCAAAAAGAAUUUGGCUUUAAAAAAAAAUUCGAUUUUACUGUUCACCAGGCUCAAAUGAGCUCGGGAGCAGAAAGACACUUUCGCAUGUGUAUAUAUGUUUAUAUGAGAAAGUAAGAAAUGUGGAUUUAUAUUACGUACUCGAAAUACUUUGACACAGCUCGUAUUUUCAUCAUUUUUGUGAAAUGCUCUAUGACUUUAACUUGUAAAUAACAUCCCUAAUCAUGAUUAUAACUGAAUACUACUAGUAGUUUUCGCAUAUUGCAUUGCAUAUAUGGGUCAUUUAUGUUUGACAAGGUAAAUCUUAAUUACCAGGAGAAGUUAAACAAGUGAGGAUCAAGAGUUGCACAGCAAGCCGGCCAUGACCUUGUCGACCUAGCCAGCUAGCAAGCUCUCGCUUGGCUAUUUAAUGCCUGCCUUGGCUACCAGCGUUCCACAGCACAUACACGAAGAGCUAACAAUGGCAGAACGUGGCGGACUGCUUACGUUUCUCCUCCUGGGGCUCUUUCUCGGCCUCGCUGGAUCCAGUCCGCCGCCGGAGCCGGUAGAGUGCGCGCAUGGCACGUCCGACUGCACCGUCACCAACGUGUAUGGUUCCUUCCCGGACCGCACCGUCUGCCGCGCGGCCAACGCCACGUUCCCGCGCACCGAGGAGGAGCUCGUGGCAGCCGUGGCUGCCGCCGCCGCAGCCAAGCGCAAGGUGAAGGUGGCCACGAGGCACUCCCACAGCUUCACCAAGCUGGCCUGCCCCGGCGGCCGUGACGGCACGAUCAUCAGCACCAAGCGGCUCAACAAGACGGUGAGCCUCGACGCUGCCAAGGGGCUGAUGACGGUGGAGAGUGGCAUGGUGCUCAAGGACCUGAUCCAGGCGGCCGCGGAGGCGGGGCUGGCGCUACCGCACUCGCCCUACUGGUACGGAGUCACCAUCGGGGGCCUCCUUGCCACGGGUGCCCACGGCAGCUCGCUGUGGGGCAAGGGCAGCGCCGUCCACGAGUACAUCGUCGGGAUGAGGAUCGUAACGCCGGCGCUGGCCAGCCAGGGAUUCGCCGUGGUCAGGGAGCUCAGCGUGGGAGACCCUGACCUCGACGCGGUCAAGGUAUCUCUGGGCGUCCUCGGCGUCGUCUCGCAGGUAAUACCUGCUCCUCCGUGACUUUGCACAAAUCACAAAUGCAAGAUGAAAGUUCUUUCUCUUCUUUUUUUACGAGAAAGAUGAAACUUCUUUCGACUAAACGAUCGAUAGAUUUACAUUAAUCACUACUCAUCAUUCAUGGAAUGAAAACUAAGUAUAUAUUGGAGUACGAUUAAUUAACUACUCAUUGUUCACAAAUAUAACAUGUCUUGAAUAUUUCAAUAUGAACCACAUACGGACAGAAAUAAGUGAACAAACACUAAAACUUGUAUAUGUAUAUUUGUGAACCGAGGGAGAACUAAUUUUUGGUCCACCCAACCAGAAAAAGAAAAAACAAAAAAAGGAAGGCACUAACAAAAUUUGGGCUUCGAUAACUGCCACACGUGUGGCAUGUAGUAACACCGUCAUACGUCUUUUACACUAAAGUUGCCAUCUAGAAAAAAAAUCUCUAAAAAAUCGAAACUUGCCAUCCAAAUAGAAAGUCGCCAUGCUUCACAUUUAAAGUUGCCAUCCCCUUGUAAUUAAAGUUGCCAUCAAAUAACAUGUGGCCGUUAUCAUUUGGGUAAAAAAAUUGGACAUGCGCAGGUCACGCUAGCCUUGCAGCCAAUGUUCAAGCGGUCAGUGACGUUCGAGACACGUGACGACAUGGACUUACCGGCGCAGGCCGCCGUGUGGGGCAGGCUGCACGAGUUCGGCGACAUGGCAUGGCUGCCAUGGCAAGGCAAGGUGAUCUACCGCAAGGACAACCGUGUACCCGUCUCGACCAAGGGCCACGGCCUCAAUGACUACCUCGGCUAUCGCUCGAACCCGACCCUAGCACUCAUCACGGACAGAGCCACCGAGGAGCGCCUGGAGGAGGACAAUAGUGACAUCGCCCGUUGCCUGGCGGCGCGGGUGCCAUCGGCGCUAUUCGAGCUGCAGGGCUACGGCUUCACCAAUGAUGGCUCCUUCUUCACAGGGUGGCCUGUGAUCGGGUUCCAGAACCGUAUCCAGGCGUCUGGCACGUGCAUCAGCAGCCCAGAGGACGGACUCCUCUCCACAUGCACAUGGGACCCGCGCAUCCGGAGCCCCUUCUUCUAUAGCUCCAGCUUCAGCAUAGCGCUUUCCAAGGCGCCGUCAUUCAUCGCCGAGAUGCAGAAGCUCCGCGACCUCAAGCCUUGCGCCUUCUGCGGUCUCGAUGCCACGCUGGGUGUGCUCCUCCGCUACGUCAAGGCCUCCUCCGCUUACCUUGGCAAAUCAGAGGACUCGAUCGACUUCGAUUUCACCUACUACCGGAGCUACACCCAAGGCGAGCCACGUGCCAACUCUGAUGUGGUCGAUGAGCUCGAGCAGUUGGCACUGUGCAAGUACGACGCCGUACCUCACUGGGGCAAAAAUCGCAACUUUGCCUUUGACGGCGUCAUUGCCAAGUACCCCAAAGCCGCUGAGUUCCUCAAGGUGAAGGCCAGGUACGACCCUGAUGGGAUCUUUUCCAGCGAGUGGAGUGACCAAGUGCUCGGCGCCAAAGGCAGCUCCAAUAUGGCUGAGAAAAGUUGCGGCAUCGAAGGGAUCUGCAUCUGCUCUGAUGACUCGCACUGCGCUCCAGAGAAGGGAUACUUCUGCCACCCGGGGAAGGUGUUCACGGAUGCCAGGGUUUGCUCAACCCGACGCACAUUCGGCGACGACCUUCUGAAGGAACAGUGAUUGGUAAUGCAUGUAUGCAUGUGUCGGCUCAAGCAGCACCGCGAUCAAAGCGAUAUGCUGACUUUAAUAUUGUUUGUAUCGUGGUGUGUUAGCAUUUUCCAGAGAUUUCAUCCAUCUCGGUGGAAGAUUUAAAUAACGACGCUAUAGCACCGCUAUAACGUUUGAAGGGGCACCACGCCGCAGCUACGCUUGCUUUGCUAUGCUAUGCUUUGUUAUGGCUGGAUGCCAAGUAUAUGUGAUAUAUGUAUGCAUGUCAACUAUCAAAAAGUGUGUGUGUGUGUGUGUGAUAUUGAUUGUAUGUUUGUUGAAAAUAUAUCCUAGAGACAAUAAUAAAGUCGUUAUUAUUCUAUAUUUAUGUUCAUGUUUAAGUAUAUUCUUCUAUGCUACUCCCUCAGUUCCUUUUAGAUAUUCCAAUAAGGACUACAUAUGAAGCAAAAUGAGUGAAUCUACAUUCUAAAAUAUGUCUAUAUACAUCGAUAUGUAGUCCGUAUUGAAAUUUUUAAAAGGUUUAUAUUUAGAAACAGAAGGAGUAGAUCACAAACCCACGGGUAUAGCAAGUGAUUCCAUGGUUGGUGCAUCCUGGGCAUGCUUCCUAUAUUCACAUAAGGCAGCUAUGAAACUGCCACUAGAGUCUCGAAAGAUGGCCGCCACCGCUCCCGAAUCUGAAUCGUUGUGUUACGAUAUGAAGCAUCAACAUUCAGUUUUAUACACCCUGCAGGAGGUCUUGCCCAUUUUAUUUCUCAGUGUGGAGGCUGGAUUUUUCCCACCAAAAAAUUAGCUGCAAUCCCUCUAAUAUUCUUUCCUUUGCCGGUCCCCUCUAAUAAUGUUCAUUGCUGCACGUGUCAGGGAACCCACCUUCUCCACAUGGGCUACCUUUUGCGUUCCCCACCAAAUAAACCAGCAUGCGACCAUGAUAAUUUCCAAUAUAUUCCCUCCAGGAAUAGAUGCACCACCAGGAGCAUUAGCGCAUAGAAGCAUCUCUAGAGUAGUCGCUCCAGAUCUGUGUCACCCUGUCACUCUUGUAAUAUCUCCGAGACCCAGCUCACUCCAAAUACCCACCGCACGAUCACAUAGAAAUAAAUAGGACGGACCUAGGGAGCGCCGCUGCACUCGUUUGUUGUUUGGAGUGCAACGUUGUAUAUAGUAAGUGCAUGUCUUUGUGUUCACCUAUCUACGUUAGAAAAGAAAAUUGUUUGGUCAUAUCCUUAGCGCACAUGGUUGCUGACUGAAUCAGCCUAAAUUCUACCCCCACGUGCAUUUAUUUAGGGAUUAAAACGUUCUAAAAGCCAUAACAUUUGGUUCAAACAUCGAAAUCCAGUCCGUUUUCACCGCCGGGUUUCUAUCGACGAGUUCUUCAAAACUAGACUCAUAUGAGUACAUUUCGUCAAACUUUUUUUUCAAGGGAACUUUGGGUGCAAUGGAGGCAACUAUAAUGCUAUAGUGAAGCAACUUAUUCUUUUUGGCCUAGUUGGACUGACUAUUAGGUUGAUUUGCAUACAAACGAGAAAAAUCACACAAAAUAUAACGCAUCUUUGGUGCUACAGACAAAGUAACUUCACUGUAGUUUGUGUAUCUGCGAGUUUUGCAAACAUUAUCCCAACUUGCCUGUCAUGGCUGCUCAAUUGCCUAUUGUCGAUGCUUAGUUACCUACGGUUGAUGUUCAAUUGCCUAUAAAUGCUACAAAUUGCCUAUAUUGAUGCCUAGUUGCCCGCUAUUCAUAAUUAGUUGCCUACAAUCUAUAUCUAUACCUAAUCUUUACCUAAUAAUAAAGGACGGAGGCUUACAUAGUUCUUCAUACGUCACCACUUUAUAUCCGUUGAUUUUAUGCUAAUCACGGAGAUUGACGGCUAAGAUUUGUGCCUGUUUUAAAUAAAAAAAUUAGCGAAAACGUUUUGACCGCAGACAUAAGAAUUGCACGAGUUCUACUGGGCCUCGGUCUUUCCUGGGCCGUCCAUGUUUAGUAUAAGGAAAAAUAACGUUUCACGAUAGAAAAAAGGAAUCCAAAUCUUCUUCAGCUCAGCAAUUGCUUCCACCACAUCAAAUCAAACGUGACUCAAACUGUCUCCUUCCGUAAAAAGACAGGACCGGCAGCCGCAGGCCGCAGCCUCGGGCUACACGCCCCCCUCUAAUCGACCGGCUCUCUUCCUCACGAACAAAACGAAAGCUACUGGUGCUGGCAAUUGGGGAUCAUGGCAGUGCGGGGCGGCUGAGAUUAGUAUUCCCUCCGAUCCAAAUUACUCGUCGCAGAAAUGGAUGUAUCUAGAACUAAAAUACAUCUAGAUACAUCCAUACCUGCGACAAGUAAUUCGGAACGGAGGGAGUACUUUGGAGAGAGAUUUAAGGGAAGAAGACGACCCCAAAACACUGGAUGUAGAUCCCACGUUUCUAGAAACGGAAGAAUUAAUUCCUGGAGAUGUUAACGUAGGGGGACUCCAUGGAGUCUGCCUUCCUCCCGCGCGUGAACAUGGUGCCCGGCGGCCUGCAGUCCUGCCUCCCGUUGCCAUUGUGUCGCAUGGUGCUGGUGGCCUGGCGGUCAAGCGACCAGGAGCGGCGAGCCACCGCGGGCGGCGACUACGUGCGGACGUGACGCCGAAGUGCGGAACCGGCGUCUCUCUUUGGUUCAUGUUGCCCCCGGGCUGCUGUGAACUUUCUGAAUGAUUUUUGGCCAAUACAAGAUGACAUGUACUGUAUGACUAAUAACGUAGAUAAAAGGGCUGAUCUGUUGUACCUAUAAUUAAGCCAUGCAAUUAGCGAUAUGCUGUCUCUGUACAAUGGAAUCAAUCAAUUGUGUCCUUAUUUGACUCUCGCGGUGACACAGUGAACUUCAAAUUUUGAAUUGGCAAGGGUUGUGUUCCUUGAUCUGCCUUAUUGUUCCGGGGUUCCCAAAAUAUUUGAAACACGUCCUGCCUAUCGGUCCCUCAUUCGGAAGAGUUAUACCCCGGUCGCUACAUUUUAUUGGCCACAUGGCGGUGUUGAUGAGCGACGGUUUUACGGCCAUGGAGCAGUACAAGAGUGCCGUCUCCUUGAAAGUCAACAGCAAAACCUGAGGAAGAUUGUGUUUUUCUUCUUCAAAGCGUGUACAGCAUUGAGUUGAUAACGUUUUUUUAGGGUUUUUGUUUCUUUUUCUGAAUUGAGGCCAUCUACCUACGCGAGUCGAGUCGCUGACCAUGCCACUGCCGCCGACCACCUGCUCAUGUUCGUCUCGCGGUGCAGUUUGUGUUCUUUUCAUCUGAAAUGCAGCUAUGAAUUGCAGAGUUGCCAAUCAUUGUUCUCAGGUAAGCAGGGCUGCUUCCCACAUUAGAUUUUGAAGUAUUUUACUUCUACUGUAUAUGCAGGCAUACUGCCUUGAUUAAGGUAGCCACCAUUUGCCCAGUAGUAUCUAUAUUGGCACAUUGAUGGACUAUUUAUAUGAUGCAUGCAAAUCUGCAAUAAUUUAAUACAUAUCGCACACAUGAUUGGCCAAUACUGCUUUAUUUUCCAUUCUCUCGCUAGCCUUUACAUGUUACUUUGCCCAUUUAAAGCUACAUAUACGCUUUUCUCUAUGCAGACCAUGGGUUGCACUUGCUUCUCAGGACAAGCAAUGGCUUGUUUCCUUGACGAACAAAUUGUUUGGCAGAUUUGGUUAUUAUGGAUACUGGAAGUACUACUCCUUUGUUGAUUAUAGGGCCGUCUCCAGAAAUUUGGGGGCCCGGGACAAAAAUCGAAAGAGGGCCCUAAUUUUUUUAAAACCAUAUAGAUUAAGAACUAAUUUUGCUAAAAAAAGAGCUGAAGAACUAAUAUAAGUAAAUAAUAGUCUCACUUAAUUAUUUAACAUCAAAUAAGUCUGCUUUGGUACAAUAUUUAGAAAAUAUAUCAAAUACUAAGGUAAAAUAGUAAACAUGGUACUAAAGCAAUAAACUUCUAAACUGACCUCAUUUUGUACCAAAAAGCAAUAUUCUUCUAGUAUUUCUUGAAAUGAAAUCUUCGAUCAAAUAUUCAUAAUUAAUCUUCUCCAAGACAUCAUUCUCAAGUGCUAUUGUUGCCAAUCCAUUGAGUCUUUCUUGUGUCAUCAUGUUCAUCAGAUUCUGCAAUGUAAGCCUCAACCUCUACUGGAUCACCACCAUGUGCAUCAUCAAUAUUAGCAUCUGGAGUUUGGUUUUCAGAAUUGCUUUGAGGUUCUCUCACAACAAAUUUAUCGAGAGCGCCCUUUUGGGAUCGAGAAUCUUCUUCUAGUUUUUGUUUCUUCCUACACUUUGAACACCGGAAUCAUACUUCCUCCCGGGAUGCAUGAAUAUUUCUGUUUAAUGGAACAAAAAGUAAUCUGAAUCAACUCAAACUCUAUGAAUUAUAGGACUGUAUAGCUAAGAAAAAAGAUAAAGACUCCACCUAGAUGUAAGAUUUUGACAAUUGCAUUUAACAAAAAUUAGUUUACUGCCUAGUGCCUACGCUGGAAAAAUAAAAUAGGGCUUUGUCUACAAGGACUUACGCCGGAAAGGGACGAUGCACCGUGGGGCGCGCCGGUCUGAACUGACCUCUUAGCUUUGCCGCCGUCGCCCUGCGAGACCUCUGUAUCUGUCGCCGUCGCCCUGUUGCCGCUAACUUCGGGUGCUAAUCGAUUGAGAUUCGCCGUGCUAAAGUGCUAAUCGAUGCGGAGUGAGAGAAACGAACAGACGGGCUGCAAGGGCUACAUGCGUACGUGUAUUUGGGCUGCCUGGGAGUGCAUUUUUUACUGGGCCUUAUAUAUUACUGGACUGGGGGGCCCCAAAAUUUUGGGCCCUGUGCGGUCGGCCAAUUUGGACUUGCUCAUCGAUGGGCCUGGUUGAUUAGUACAUCUACCAAGGAGAGAAAUAAGUCCGUUGAAUGUUAUUAGUACUUGACUUGGAGUGUGUUAUCGGCGGGGGUACAUACUUUUUUCUAUUAAUUCAUGAAGAGGGAAAGAUAAUUUAAUUUUCUUUGACUUGAUAUAUUAAGAGUUUUCAAUAUAAUUCUAAAUCAUGUAAGUAUUCUAUUUGCUUGCCAUUGGCUUCACGUGUUUUCCCUUUUGCUUUUACUAUGACAAGUGCACAGCGACUUUCUGUAGAAAGUCAAAAGAAUUUGAGUAUGCGAGGAUUUUUUUAUGCAUAUUGCCCCAUUUUGUUGUGUUGCAUGAUCUGUUCGCUAUAUCUUAUCAUGGACAGCCGAGAUGACAAUUGUCGUUGUAUGUUAGCGUGGUAGCAGUUGUGCAUCCCUUUAACGGCUCUCCAAGAGUUGUCGUGCUUUUCAAUUCAGCCGGCUUGGUGGUGACAAGCAUCAAGAUCCUCAACAUACAUGAGUGGCAGUCAAAUGGCUUCGGCUUGACCAUGUUCGAAUAUUUUGUGAUCAUUGGGGACAUCACGUGUUAUUUUUAUCUCCCGUUGCAACGCACGGGCAUGUUUGCUAGUAAUAUUAAAAGGAGGAAGCUUUCAUGGUUCUUCAUAAAUCACCCUUUUAUAUCCGUUGAUUUUGUGUUAACAUAUGAUCGAUGGCUGAGAUUUCUCUUCUACUUUUUUUCUCCUAUAUAUUUUCAUCAAUUAAAAAGAAUGGUUAACUUCUCCUGAUCCGUUCCUUUCGUCGAGCCCCCUAGCGAUCGAAGCGAUCGAUCUCAUCUGAGUCCAUGCGAUCGAUCAGAGUCCAAGCACGGUCUCAAUUUUUUUUCUAAAUUUGUGAUUGAUCGCUGACCAGAGGAGAGAAGCCCAACUAGCCUGCAUGAUCUCAGAGAAGCCCAGCCAGCCUUGCGGGAUUGCAUCAAGAAGUCGAUCGGAUCGAUCGGACAGUCUAGCGAUUGGUAGCGCACGAGAUCGUAUGUUUUAAGGCUUUUGCUACACCAGCGCGCCGUCUCCUGCUCGUAUAGUAUUCAGUUUUUGUUACAUGAACAAUUCCAUCUGAUGAAUCGCUCAGAUCGAUUGCUAGCUGAUGGAAAAUUCGCCGGAAAAACAAAACGGAAACGCUGCAACGCACGAAGCCAGCAGGAGCGUACAUGCCGAUCCAGUUGACAGCUUUAUCCAUCCACGCACACGCGACGCAUGGCACCAAUGGAAUCCUAGCGGCUAGCAGGGCAAGAGGGAGGCUGGCGGAGCUGGCGGAAACGGUGAGUAGCCGGGCAAGAGGGAGGCUGGAGUGUCCUGGAUGACAACGUCAACGCCGGCGGUGCUGCUCCGUAUGUGAUUCUAUUCUUUCUGUUCGAGAUUGUGGUAGAAUUCAUGCUUCUAGUAUGUGCUUUAGAUGUGAUCUGUUCAUCUACUAUACUAGUUCGCAUCAUUAGUUUAAUCUCUACUAUUGCUGUCAUAUGAUCUAUUUCCUAUUUAUUCGGAUUAAAUCUCAUAGUAAUUUGCUCAUAUUUCCAACUGGUUUCUCUCACAAAACCAUUCACCGGGGCUGUAAAGAGAUCAAUUAGACUGAUUCAAGAUGAAAAAUUGAUGGCAACGAACGGAUGAGGGCAAGAGGAAGACGCCGCUGCUAUAUUUGUCAUGUACGAAGGUCAUGAGAAAGAGUGAAAGAAAGAUACUAUACGUAACUAAGUUUACUUUACUAGGUAAUUGCCCGUGCGUUGCAACGGGAGAACAAUAGUCAUUUAUGCAUUGGUGAUGUAUUUUAGGUCAUGCUUUCAAAAAUAAAUCAACCAAGAGCUCUUUACCUUCCUAUUGGUACAAUACAAAACAUGUGCAAUACAUGUAUUAGUUGAUGAAAUAGACAUAUAUAGAUUGUAUAUCGUUAAACCCACAUGCAUUGCUAUGGAGAGAAAGAAAUAGGAUCACCAAAAUGCAACUUUCUCAUUUCCUAAUUAAUCUGGGGCACCUUGUUCCACCAUCUACUAUCUUUUCACUCAAGAACCAACAAAACCUAGUUUAGUGUUCCAAUCAAAUGGCAUAAAAUAGUCCUUCAUAUCUACUUUCGUAUGCAUUGUCGGUGGACAGAUUAUGAUAAAAAAAACCAGCACCUAUUCAAUUCCUUGCGCAUAUCUGAGUCAAAAGAUGAAACCACGGUAAUUAUCCAAUUCAAGGGCGAAGAAGAUACAUAAUUUAGUUCAUAGCAUAUCUGAAUGAAAAGAAUAGUCAUGGUUAAACUGAAUAAAACAUUGAAUCGCUGCUUCUGCAGUUGUUUCCACUGUGAUCUUUUCUCUAACCAAAAAAACAUUAAAUAGCAACUUUUCAGUAAAGUCUAUGUAGGGGCACCAUUCGCUCUCCAAGGUCACUGCUAAUCAAAGUAUAUUCCAUCGGCUUCCUUUCAUCUUCACACAACUCAUCAAAUUCAUCUCCAUAGCUUACAAAAAGAAUGAGCUUACCAAUAUUCUGACUUCGGUCUAUAGUACAUUUAGAAUAGUUAUUAAAAGAACAUUUAGAAUAGUUAUUUUUAAACUACCAAAAUAAAAAAAUAUAGAUGUGGUGUGUGACAUGAUUUAUGACUAACAAAAUAUCAUGCAAAAUUUAGAAGUACUUUUGCAUGCUCAAGGCGGCAUGAAAUGUUCAGCAAACAACUUACGGAAAGAACAAGAACUUGCUAAAUUACAAUAGUACUAACAAAAUAUGCAUAUAAUGGAUAUGGGCCUGCCCUGAUUACUGACAUAAGUGCAGCACAUCUCUCCCCUUGCAAUCACUACAAACAAAUGUCACAAAUUAGGAUUCGGCUAUGGUACUGUACAAGAUCACUUAUGAACAUAAAUUACGAAUAUAGUUUACCACCUGUGAACUUGCUCUUGCGCGGCCAAUAUAGUGUGUUACCCAUGGGUACGCGCACAGGUAUGUGAAGCUCGCCAUCCGACCAGUCGCAAAUCAGCCGGCCGUGCUGUCACCGAUGACCGAGCUCUGCUUCGACACAGCCACCGACGCCCGAGCUCUCCACACAGAAGUAUUUUGAUUGGGAAAAAGGGCAGCAUGUCCAUGUUGUUUCCUAUAUAACAAAAAUUAGCAUGAUCAAUGGUAGAUUGAAUUAGCUAAACAGACAGCUCCCAUCUUUCCGAAUCAACAAAGAUUGCAUGGCGGGGAACGAAGUGCUCAUGGAACCAGACUAAAUUCGCACCAUUAGACAUGGAUGUUCACCUUGGCCUAUGGAAAAUAGCCUCUACCGGCGGCGGCAGGGACAAGGCAGGGCUAUUUCGUCCCGACGAGAUAAAGCGCAACCGCGGCUGGAUCGUCAUCUGCGCAUCUAGAGUAGCUAUUUUGCUGAUAAGAGAGCCCCUGUGAUGAGCCAGGCUACAGAUUCUGAUGAUACAACAUCAAUUUACUUAAGCUCUUUCACGGGCAGUGAAGGUCAAGGUGAACCUAAGGAAAUAUCAUAGUCACCAAAAAUAAGAUGGAAGAAGACGAUCAAAUUAAAAUCAUGUAACUAAAUACACAGAUGAAUUUUCUUAUAAAUAAAUCAGGCAACAAAUAUUUUGUCGGAUAUUGAAAGAGCUUUGUUUGAUUGACUCUUCUAUAUUAUAUGAUGCUCUAAGGCAACAGAUAAAUGAGAGCCAAAAGAGUAUUAUUAAAAUUGCAUGCAUGCCUUAUAUAUACCAAGGGUCAUUCUUGAGAAAAUUUGUGGCUCAUGCCUCAUGACAUUUAGAAGAAAAAUUUGGAUAAUAUGUAGGUGCUAGCACUUUGCAUAAGGUACAAGCCUUACAGGUUCACUCAAGCAAAUACCACAAAUCAUAUAAUCGCACAACAAUGGUUCACAGAAUUACAGAAAAAAUUGAGAGAGAGAAGCAGCAACAACGCUAGGAGAGAUGGGACAGCCGCAGGUUGGAGUUCAGAGAAGAACUUAAGCAACGGGCUUGAGAAGAGCUUCAGAAGAAGUGCAGCAGCAGCGCUAGGAGAGAUGGGACAGCCGCAGGCAGCAAGGAGCAGAGAGGAGAGGCAGCAGUUUGUCGUAUUAUUAGGCUGGGUCAGAUUAGUAAAUUUGUCACAUAUACACAGUUUGUCGAACCAAUUCCAAUAAUAAUCAAUAGACGCCAAACAGUGGAAGUGUCUCGAGGGCCAAAGUUUGCUGGAAACUAUCAUAGCAGAAAUCACCAAAUUUGUUUCAGAGGUAGAGGGUAGAACAAUUAGAAAGUGUACAAAGUGCUAGAUGAAUCUGAUUGGAGAACAAAAGACAACAGAAUAUCUUGUGCAUAAUUUCCCAAUUAUAUGUCCAAUUAGUACUGUCCAGUUAAAGGUCGAAGCUAGAAUCAAAGAUCUUACAACUGUACUUCAGAAAAGAACCAUCCAAUGUCAGAGUUUUAUCAUUGCUAAACGUCCUGAUCUCAUAUCAUACAGUGAUAAUCCUCCUAGGUUAGGAUUAUACCAAAUUAGUGAAUGAAUAAAAUAACUACAAUUUGGAGCUUCAAGUAAAUCAAACAGUUAACUUAAUUCUCUAGUCGACGACUAUGUUGGUACCUGAAGAAUCAUUCUGCCCGUGCCGUUAGUUCAUCACCUUGGUCCCUUGUUAUUGGCGCAUCCGAUCCCAAAUCUCCAACCUGGUAGCGAAUUAGCAUGGUUCAGUUUACCCAUUAUCUAUACACUUGAAUCAAAUAAACAUGCAAACAUGGCAUUCAAGCUUGCCGCUGCAGGCAAUGGCAUAUCUGAUAGCAAUAUGCAGUAUGAACACCAUUGAAUAACUGAAAGCAAUAGUCUUGGGUCACCUUACCUGGCACCUAGUGUCCUGAAAAAAAGCAAAGAAACGCAAAGGCCCACUUGCGGGAGAGGCAGGGAAGCGACCAUGCCACGUCGUUCUGGAGGGAGGCGACCAUGGCAUGGGAUGGCGUCGGCUGAGCGCAGCGCCGGCGCUCGGGAAGACGGCGGACCAUGGAGGCGCGCGGAGCGAGGCGGAGACGCACGGAUCUGGUCGCGUGGCGCCGGUGCUCGGGAAGACGGCGGACCAUGGAGGCACGCGGAGUGAGGCGGAGACGCACGGAUCUGGUCGCUCCCAGGUCAGAUCGGGCUGCAGUGGAGCUCCACAUCAGGAUCCAUGGUGCUGUUGUUUCUGAAACAGAGAGAGACAAGAUUUGUGAGAGAGAGAAAAGGAAGGGAGAAGGGAGAAGAAGCGAGAUAGGGCGCGCGGGAGAGGUUACUGGACGAUGGCUGGAGGUUGGUAGCGGUGGCGCCGGACGCCGGCAUGAGGAGCAUGCCAGAGGGGGAAAGAAAAUCGAGUGGGUCGUACGAGAGGUGGGACUGGGACGGGGGAAAUAAAAUCGGGGGGUGAGGGGGUCGUACGAGAGGCUUGACGAAGCGGGGAAUGUAAGAGGGGAAACGGAACGCUAAGUUUCUUUUAGAUAGUAGAGAUUUAUUGUGUCAACCUACUACUUUAGGUAUUUUUAACAUCCUCUACUAUUUACUGGUAUUAAGUUCAUUGUAACUAUUUGUGUCGUCUUACAAGUAUCAUUGUAAAUUUAUAACCAAACUGAAAGGACUGAAGGAGUUGCUCGUAAAACAAAUAAAUGGAUUAAAGUAUUUUGUCAAAAUAUAUUUAAUUGUUUACUCCAUAUACUUACUUUGAUAAAAGGAGAUUAUUUCAAAAAUAAAACAAGUUUCUCUUAGAGCAUUAUUUUCAUUUAAUAAUUAAUAUUGAACAUGGUAUGAUUAAGACGGCCUUUACUGGAAUUUUUGGCUGGCUUUGUAAUGAAGUUCUGGCGAUCGACGUAAGUUAGAUUGUCAUUGUAAUCUUUUACUAGAAGCAUAUUUCAAGAUUGCACUGAAAUGAUUAUUUGUUGAGCGUUGAUCAAUCGACAGGUUUGUUAUUUUUAGUUGCUCUGCCGAUUCGAGUAUUUUUUUCCCUUAUAGUUCUAAUGGUACAUGUCAAGAUUUUUGACCUAUUUUCUUUCUCACUAAAAGUUUAGUUUCAAUGCACAAAAUUAGAUAAACAAGAUGACUGUUAAAGUAUUUUUGCUAAUUAGUUAUUUUUACUAGUGAAGUUGCUUCUGUUUAGCAGUAAAGUUGGCUCAUCUAGCAUCAAAGUUGCUUUUGGAAAAAUCAAAUAAAACAUAUCCAUAUGAGGUUCAGAGCAUCUCCACUUGUUUGCCCCCCCCCCACCCCCCAUGCGGCAUUUUUCGCCGCUUGGGGGGCUGCCGGCGAAAAUUUUGGCCUGGAGGGAGGGUGAAAUUUUCCACUUCUUGCGCCCCCCCCACGAGCAUCUUGAGCGCGGCGGCGCCGACGACCUCCUCGGCGCGCGCCCAGUGGUGGAGCGCGAGCGUCAACGGGGAAGCAAAGCUCGUGGAGACGGGCAGUGGUGGAGACACGGGGUGUUGCACUGCCGCGGUGGCGUCCCUCGGUGAGCACGGCGGCGAGGAUGAGGCGGUGUCGCGGUCGUGUGCGAAGCCGCCGGGGCGGCACGCCACCCAGCAGAGGAACUCCCACGCCGUCUCCGGCUUCCUGAAUGCGCGCGGGAACUUGCACACGAGUCGCGGCGUCCAGACGAUCCGGGCGGCCUCCAGCUCCGCCACGUCCUUGGGGUCCCAGCCUUCCAGCGCCCUGGCGAGCUCCCGCGGGUCUAGCCAUGGCUUGAGCGGCGUCUCUUUAGCACUGGGCGUGUCCUUGUCACCAUCCUCUUCCUCCUCGAUGUCUCCCUCGCCAUCUGCAUCGUCCACGGCGCACGGCAUCCUAGCAUCCAGCGAAAGCUCCUGGACAAAGUCCUCGGUGCCCUCCGUGUGGCCGGCCUCGCUCAUGAUGGCGAUGGCAGACCGCAUCUGCGGCCCGGGCAUUACACUGUCGAUGGCCACCAUCUCGCGGACCAGCCACUGGAGCUGGUCGAACCUCCCGGCCUCCGCGAGCGCCUUGGCGAGCCCUUUGUACAGCCGGGUGGUCCUACACGUGCACAACGACGGCAGGAGCCGGAACACCUCGAGCGCAAGGGCCAUUUUCUGGGAAAUUAAUAUCCCGAAAACCGGUCCUGACAUAACAUUGCAGUAGAGUUUUUGUUUGAUGGUAUCUUCUGUGAUUGGUUUGAUAGCAUUUCUUGUUUAUUUGAUCGUGCAACUUGUAACUGUUUCAGUUAUGGAAAUUCCAUAAAGAAAUUGAACCAGCUUGUCUUAAUCUGUUCUCUAAAAUGUUUCCCUUUUCGCUUUUCAGCUGGUGCAUAGAAGAAAAGAUUUAGCUCAAGGAAUUAUGUGAAAAAUUCGGUGCUGGAAUUCCAUCGAUGUUUCGGAAUGAAGGUCUCGGUGUUGAGUUGUGGUCAUUACAAAUCCUCUGGACCACAGGUCUUGCUGGAAGUCAUGUGUCCAAGGAAAAACGAAGCAAGAGUUGCAGCUUUUGUGGAAUUCAAAGCAUGUACUCCAAUGGGUCCACUCUCCUGGACUUAAGGGUUUUGUAGGGAGGACUAUAAGCAGGAAAAAGAAUCAUGGGCAACAGAGCAAAAUAAAAUGGGGUUGCAGUAGAAAAUAUCAAACUGGGCCAGAGAGCAAAAGAGGAUGAUUUGCUCAAAAUUUUCAAAGAACAUCAGUGGUUUUUUGCAUAAAGUUGAAUAAUAUACUCCUACUAACAUCCCCUAAUUAUGGUGGAAGUUUUAAAGAAAUAUUUAAAUAGGUUGUAGUGCAAAAGUGCAAACUGGAUCAGAUUUGAAAACCUGGGGAAAAGCUCAAAAUCUCCAAAUGACUAAAGGGGUAUUUUUGCACAAAAGUGAUCUAGGAACAUCACAUGUCAUCCCCAAAUUUUGGUGGGAUUUUUACAUGAAUUUAUCAAAGGGUUGCAGUGCAAAUGGGACCCUAAAACUUAUGAAAACCCAUUUUAGAGAAAUAAAGCUCAGGGAAAAAUAAUUAUAAAUAAUCCCACUGAUAAAAGAAUUGUUUUAUUAGAGAGGGUAAACAAGUCCAAUAAUAAUUGGAAAGUUUUCACUUGGGGUGAAAACUCCACAACUUAGGAGAAAAGAGAGGUUCUGAGAUCAAAAAUAAAUCCAGAAAAAGGAAAAUUUAAUUUCUUAGCAAAAUUUUAAUAAACAAAAUAUGGUUAAAUUUUUGGGGUGUUACAACACUACCCCCCUUAAGAAAAAUCUCGUCCUCGAGAUUUGCUAAGGACAUAUUUUGCAAAAAGAUUGCCCGUACCAUGCGAUAAUCGUAACAUGGAAAGCGGUUACUCCACACACGUGAUAGGACGGGGUCACAGUAGAAUCGCUAACUAACACUACAGGAAACAGCUACUUUGUCGUCUGCCACGGCGGACGGCAAAGGCUCGAAAGGCGGACGGCAAAGACCUUUGCCGUCAGCCGCGGACGGCAAAAGGCUCCGGCAAAGAAGGCUACGGCAAAGACCUACUUUGCCGUCUGCUUCCAGGCGGCGGACGGCAAAGGCUCUUUGCCAUCUGCGGCGGACGGCAAAGAAGCGGACGGCAAAAUGAGUAGUGUUAGUGUCCGUUAGGUGGCUAACGGCAGCCUUUGCCGUCCGCCAGCUGACGGCAAAGGCUGCAGGCUCUUUGCCAUCUGUUGGCAGAUGGCAAAGAGACCAAAUAGGCAUUAAUUCUGUUUCUUCUUAUAUCAAUUCAUUUUCACAGAAAAUCAAACACACACACACANNNNNNNNNNNNNNNNNNNNNNNNNNNNNNNNNNNNNNNNNNNNNNNNNNNNNNNNNNNNNNNNNNNNNNNNNNNNNNNNNNNNNNNNNNNNNNNNNNNNNNNNNNNNNNNNNNNNNNNNNNNNNNNNNNNNNNNNNNNNNNNNNNNNNNNNNNNNNNNNNNNNNNNNNNNNNNNNNNNNNNNNNNNNNNNNNNNNNNNNNNNNNNNNNNNNNNNNNNNNNNNNNNNNNNNNNNNNNNNNNNNNNNNNNNNNNNNNNNNNNNNNNNNNNNNNNNNNNNNNNNNNNNNNNNNNNNNNNNNNNNNNNNNNNNNNNNNNNNNNNNNNNNNNNNNNNNNNNNNNNNNNNNNNNNNNNNNNNNNNNNNNNNNNNNNNNNNNNNNNNNNNNNNNNNNNNNNNNNNNNNNNNNNNNNNNNNNNNNNNNNNNNNNNNNNNNNNNNNACACAUAUAUAUCCAACACAUAUCCAUGAACACAUAUCCAACAAAUAUUACAAGGAAUGAUCUAAAACUAAAUAUCUAUUUUCCUAAAAGACUAUCUUAUUACUAAGAUCUUCUCUGGAUCUUCUUCUUUUCUUCCAACCUGCAUAACAAAAACACUAAGAAAGAGAGAAUGGGUUAGGAGUAGAAAUGUAGCAUUUCACUUGGUGAAAUGCAAUGCCCUAGGAGCCAGUACUUGAGAUCAAGAUAAUCAGCCAACCAGACCAAGUCCCAACACAUCCAACCACCAACACAUCCAACCAGCUGACGGCAAAGAACUGACUAAUGGCAAAGGCCUGUUUUGCUGUCUGCCAUUUUCUUUGCCGUCUGCUUUUGGGUAGCUGAUGGCAAAGACUUUCUUUGCCAUCCGCUAGCAGACGGCAAAGAGCUGGCAGAUGGCAAAUUAGCUGAUUCCAGUAGUGUAAGGUGCAGUUGUGGUGUACUAGCAAGGUAAUCGAUUAGGUGAUAGAAGAACGCGCGGUCGUGUAUUUAGUGUAUGCGUCUCGCGAGUCGUAUAACGCGAGGGCAUGCAAAUUAAUUAUUUUUAUUGAGAAAAACAUUUUUUUCAUCGCAGUGGUCUUUUAAGAAAAACCUUACUAUGAAGUUUGCUAUAAUUAAAAACAAUCGAUUGUAUUUUAUCACGAGAAACAACUUCAACCAAUGCAAUAUACUAAUACAGAAAAUUUUAAAGCACAACACAGUUAUCACAACAAGCAGUCAAACGAUACGCAAACGGAUAUAACCGCGGUGCUGACGGUUCAGGAAAUAAGCUAUAUGUUACGAGGAAAAAUAUUCCUUGCAAUGGGAUAUAUCUCUCGUCUACUUGGAGCGGAUGGGGGACUCACAAAGGCGUCUCUCUUAGUCUGGCCCUCAGGGGUCUGCUAAUGGCGACUAGGGUCUUACACAGCAAGGGUCUGGAGAAAAAUCCAUCACUUGUUGGGUCAAGUGCUCUCGAGCGAUGACAUAGUGCACCAGCUCAAUUAGCGUCGAACUUUUCUCUACUCAGGUGUAGGGAAAGGAUGUGGUUUCUCUGGCUGCUGCACUAUUCGAAAAACAAAAUAGCCACAUUCACUGGCAUAGGGUACCAUGAUUUGAAGAUGGGUAACCGUUCCAUAAGCAGCAAUCUUAAUUGCCAUUGUUGGAGUGGGUAUGGAUCUUCCCGAUGAAGGGAACUUCCGCAGGCUCUUGGUUUGGGUCUACCUACGGGGUGUGCCUGGCUGUACAAUAUUUCGAGGGGGUGAGCGUGACCCUCGAUUUGAACAGAUUGUACCAGGAUGGCUGGGGAAAACCCAUGGUACUGUGGUCAAAAUCCCACAAUUAUUUUGAUAAAAUCCCCCCCCCCUCGGGGUGGCAUCUGGGGUCUUUAUAUGAAUCCCAAGGUGCGACCUGAAAAAAACAAAUGGCUAUGAAGGCAGUGCACAAGGUGAGGGAUGUUUGGUAAGAUCACGGAGUGGCCUCAUGUAUAGUAUCUGGGUUUGGAUGACAUAUCGUGUUGUGGGGGCAAUAUUAAUUGUCGGUUGGGGCAAACGUUCCCUUUAUAUAAAGAAAACGGAGUCUUCCUUCGCACGCUUGCGAAUGGGGCAACUCAGGUGUCGAUCACGGGCGUGUAGCUUACUGGGCUAGUCUGAUAGGUUGGGCACCGACUGCCAAAAGCUGUCGGGGUCACUGUGGGGGCUAUCGGGUAGGAUAAGCUUGGUUGUGGUGAGGUUAAGGUCUGGUGGGUGGGUUAACCUAGGUUUUUUGACCUGGCUAAGAUAGGAUUAGCCAAUGGUCAGCCUGGCUCUGAUACCAAGUUUGUCAGGACCGGUUUUCGGGAUAUUAAUUUCCCAGAAAAUGGCCCUUGUGCUCACCAGCCCCAGGAUUACUGUUAGCUGAUGAGGCACCAACUUGAUACAGAAAUUCCAAGCAAAGUACAAAAUAUGUAGUACAAGACCAUUGUGGCCUAUGAGUACAACAAUUUGUUUCUAGUGGUUGAUGGCGGAAGCGGUUUGUGGUUCAUCUGCGUCUAUGGGACUCCAUUUCCCACAGGAACAGCUGACCUAGAUAACUCCUAUCUUCGCGAGGCUGCUAUCACCGUUGCUUAGGUUCCGGGGCUGUCAUCGCAACGCUCCUCUCCAAGCAGGUAAUCUGGCCAAGACAAUAGCCAGGGACAAGCCAGUGAGUACUUUUGAAUGUACUCGCAAACAUUAUGAACACGGGUAUAAUAUAACAAUUGAUAAUCACGCUCUGAAAUAUUCUAUGAUCGCAAUGUCAGUCACGAAAUAAACAAAAUCCAUGAUGCACGCAUGCAGGUUGUUCGUAUAAAACAUGAAUAUGCAAUCCUGAGAAUAGAAAUAAAAAAAUGCACCGAUCGGGUGUCUGAAGCGACGCCUCGAAAGGACGACAACAGAAAGCGUGCCUCAGUCGGGCGUCUGAGCGACACCACAUAAAGGGCUUAUAAAGUAAACAAAUAACUAGCAUGCCACAGUCGGGCGUCUGAGCGACACCACAUAAAGGGCUUAUAAAGUAAACAAAUAACAAGCAUGCCACAGUCGGGCGUCUGAGCGGCACCACAUAAAGGGCUUAUAAGAAAAUAAUCACAAUGAAUAUCCAGGAGGUAGAACCGUCCCAGGGAUACUCAAUAAUUCAAGUAAUAAAAAGGGUUAGUCCAAUAUAAGAAUAAUCAUAAUCAUCAUAAGUCACAAGUCAUGAUCCAUGUUCCGGUUUAGUAGUUUCUCCUCCGAAGACCGACACUAAGACCGACACUAGACCCAUCUCAGACUGUAGUUCCUUACCCAUGGACACGGCUAUUCGAAUAGAGUUAACCUCUGCAGAGGGUGUACUCUUUACCCACGAGUAACGGAUUUCUUUAGUCCAUCGGGACUAAUUCCAUCUACGGUCUUUUAAUUGAAAACACAACUGACCGCACACACCAGCCUAACUUACCGGUGUCUGGAAUCACCCACAACACCUGUUAAGCAAAACUCUAAGUGGGGAGGCUACAACCUCGCGUAGCAUGGGAUCAAAUUUAUAUCGCGCGCUCUAAGGGGUGCCCCCCUCUCGGUCCCAACCGGAAACACCCAUGCCCCCGGACCAGGUGGCAUGCCUACCGGAUGCAGCCGGUAUCACUAGUAGAAAAAGAGGCUUCCAUAUGCCCCCAUUAGUCCCUAAAAUAAUCGAACCGCGACCAAAGGGGUCUUUAGUCGCGGUUCGGGAGGAGACCCGCGACCAACUAUCUGGGCCUAGCGCGCUCGGUCGACAGCUGGCGGACGGGAGGGGCUUUAGUCCCCGUUGGCCUGGCCAACCGGGACUAAAGGUCCUCAGGCUGGCCCGAUGGCCUUUAGUCGCGGUUGGCCAGGCCAACCGGGACUAAAGGCCCAUCCCUAUAUAUAGGACUCAGCUCACUUCACUUCACUCAGCUCACUUCACAAUAUUCAGAAGGGGGGUGGUGGGUUUGCUUUUGGUUCCUCCUAUGCACACAAGGUGUUCGAUGAAAUGCCCGAGAGCAUGAAACAAACAUGAUAUGAAGUGUCCGAGCCACAAUUGAGCUUUCUCAUUUAUUUUUCCUCCGCGGUCGCCGUUAGCAACUUGAACCUUUCAUGUGUCAUUGAUAAAAUAUGCAUGUGUGUAGUUCAUUGUUUAAUUUGUAUUAUUUCUAGCUAGUUAGUUUAACAAAUGCAUGAUGGUUAAUUAUAUACUUUAUAUAAUAAUAAUGCAGAUGAAUCGGCAAUGGAUGUACGGUCCCCGACUCUCCGGCGAGUUCACUACGGGUUUGAAAGAUUUCCUCGUAGUGGCAUAUGCGAACAAGCAGCGAGGUUUUAUUAUCUGUCCAUGUGCUGUCUGUAAGAAUCAGAAGGGUUACUCCUCCUCAAGAGACGUUCACAUGCACCUGCUUCGGCACGGUUUCAUGCGAAGCUAUAAUUGUUGGACCGAGCAUGGAGAAAGAGGGGUUAGAAUGGAAGAAGAUGAAGAAGGGGAUGAUAUCGAUGACAACUAUCAUGAUCAUUUCGGUGAUACUUUCAUGGAGGAUGAUGCUGAAGGUGGGGAAGGGUUAGGUGAAGGUGAAGAAGAGGCACAUGAUGAGCCCGCUGAUGAUCUUGGUCGGACCAUUGUUGAUGCACGGAGACGCUGCGAAACUGACAAGGAGAGGGAGAAUUUGGAUCGCAUGUUAGAGGAUCACAAAAAGUCGCUGUACCCAGGAUGCGAUAAUAGUCUAAAAAAGCUGGGCUGCACACUGGAUUUGCUAAAAUGGAAGGCACGGGAAGGUGUAGGUGACUCAUCAUUUGAAAAUUUGCUGAAAAUGUUGAAGAAUAUGUUUCCGAAGAAUAACGAGUUGCCCGCCAGUACGUACGAAGCAAAGAAGGUUGUCUGCCCUCUAGGUUUAGAGGUUCUGAAGAUACAUCCAUGCAUUAACGACUGCAUCCUCUACCGCGGUGAAUACGAGAAUUUGAAUGAAUGCCCUGUAUGCACUGCAUUGCGUUAUAAGAUCAGAGGCGAUGACCCUGGUGACGAUGUUGAGGGCGAGAAACCCAGGAAGAGGGUUCCCGCCAAGGUGAUGUGGUAUGCUCCUAUAAUACCACGGUUGAAACGUCUGUUCAGGAACAAAAAGCAUGCCAAGUCGUUGCGAUGGCACAAAGAGGACCGUAAGUCCGACGGGGAGUUGAGACACCCCGCUGAUGGAACGCAAUGGAGAAAGAUCGACAGAGUGUUCAAAGAUUUUGCAGCUGACGCAAGGAACAUAAGAUUUGGUCUAAGUACUGAUGGCAUGAAUCCUUUUGGCGAGUAGAGCUCCAGCCAUAGCACCUGGCCCGUGACUCUAUGCAUCUACAACCUUCCUCCUUGGUUGUGCAUGAAGCGGAAGUUCAUUAUGAUGCCAGUGCUCAUCCAAGGUCCAAAGCAACCCGGCAACGACAUCCAUGUGUACCUAAGGCCAUUAGUUGAUGAACUUUUACAGUUGUGGGGCAGACCUGGUGUACGUGUCUGGGAUGAGCACAAAGGAGAGGAAUUUGACCUACGAGCAUUGCUUUUUGUAACCAUCAACGAUUGGCCUGCUCUCAGUAACCUUUCGGGACAGACAAAUAAGGGAUACAAUGCAUGCACGCACUGCUUACAUGAGACUGAAAGUGUACGUUUGGGUAAUUGUAAGAAGAACGUGUACCUGGGUCAUCGUCGAUUUCUUCCCCAAAAUCAUAACGUAAGAAAGAAAGGCAAGCAUUUCAACGGCAAGGAAGAUCACCGGCCGAAGCCUGCGGAACGUACUGGUGCUGAGAUAUUUGAUAUGGUCAAGGAUUUGAAAGUCAUCAUUGGAAAGGGUCCUGGCGGACAAUCAGUUCCGUGGGGAGUUGACGGGCACGCACCCAUGUGGAAGAAGAAAUCUAUAUUUUGGGAGCUACAAUAUUGGAAAGUCCUAGAUGUCCGCUCUGCAAUCGACGUGAUGCAUGUUACGAAGAAUAUUUGCGUGAACCUGCUAAGCUUCUUGGGCAUGUAUGGGAAGACAAAUGAUACAAAGGAAGCACGGCAGGACCAGCAACUUUUGAAAGACCCAGAUGACCGGCAUCCGGAAUGGUUUCAAGGUCGUGCCAGCUACGUAUACGCUCUUACCAAAGAAGAGAAGGUCAUUUUUUUUGAAUGCCUGAGCAGUAUGAAGGUCCCGUCUGGCUUCUCGUCGAAUAUAAAGGGAAUAAUAAACAUGGCGGAGAAAAAGUUCCAAAACCUGAAGUCUCAUGACUGCCACGUGAUUAUGACGCAAUUGCUUCCGAUUGCUUUGAGGGGGCUCCUACCGGAAAAUGUUCGAGUAGCCAUUGUGAAGCUAUGUGCAUUCCUCAAUGCAAUCUCUCAGAAGGUAAUCAAUCCAGAAGAUCUACCACGGUUACAGAACGAUGUGGUCCAAUGCCUUGUCAGUUUCGAGUUGGUGUUCCCACCAUCCUUCUUCGAUAUUAUGACGCACCUCCUGCUCCACCUAGUCGAAGAGAUUUCCAUUCUCGGUCCUGUAUUUCUACACAAUAUGUUCCCCUUUGAGAGGUUCAUGAGAGUAUUAAAGAAAUAUGUUUGUAACCGUGCUAGGCCAGAAGGAAGCAUCGUCAAGGGCUAUGGAAAUGAGGAGGUAAUUGAGUUCUGUAUUGACUAUGUUCCUGACCUUAAGCCGAUUGGUAUUCCUCAAUCGCGGCACGAGGGGAGACUAAGUGGAAAAGGCACGAUCGGAAGGAAAUCAACGAUAUGUAUGGACGGUCAUUCUAUGACUGAAGCACACCACACCGUUCUGCAAAAUUCCAGCUUGGUGGCUCCGUACUUCGAGCAACACAAGAAUAUUUUACGCUCGGACAACCCGGGGAAGCCUGAAUCCUGGAUUAGAAAGGCCCACAUGGAGACUUUCGGCAGUUGGUUGCGAAAACAUUUAAUGAAUGACAAUGAUGUUGGAGAUCAGCUGUACAUGUUGGCCAAGACACCAUCUUCGACUAUAACGACUUUCCAAGGGUACGAGAUAAAUGGGAAUACAUUUUACACCAUCGCCCAAGAUAAAAAGAGCACCAACCAAAACAGUGGUGUCCGCUUUGAUGCAGCAACCGAGAAUGGGCAAAAGGUCACAUAUUAUGGUUACAUAGAGGAGAUAUGGGAACUUGACUGUGGACCCUCCUUUAAGGUCCCUUUGUUCCGGUGCAAAUGGUUCAAGCUAACAGGAGGUGGGGUAAAGGUGGACGAGCAAUACGGAAUGACAAUGGUGGAUUUCAACAAUCUUGGUUACCUUGACGAACCAUUCGUCCUUGCCAAAGAUGUCGCUCAGGUUUUUUAUUUGAAGGACAUGAGUAGCAAACCGAGGAAACGGAAAGAUAAGAAAACGAUCAGUACAUCAUGCGAUGAUCCAAAGCGCCACAUUGUUCUUUCAGGGAAAAGAAACAUCGUGGGAGUGGAGGACAAGACAGACAUGUCAGAAGAUUAUAAUAUGUUUGGUGAAAUUCCGCCCUUCAAAGUGAACACUGACCCAAGCAUUAAGUUAAAUGAUGAGGAUGCUCCAUGGAUACGGCACAAUCGUAAGCAAGCAGGGACACAAGGGAAGAAUUGAUGUGUAAUAAUUUAUUGUACCAAACUUUGUUGAAUGGAUCAUGUGAAUUAAAACGUACGAUGGCGAAUCCGGAUGAUUUGUAUUUGGUCGAUGAACUGAAUGAUGUAUCAAACCUUUUGUCAAACCUUCAAGGGAUCGAGGAUGUAGAACAAAACAAUUGGUAUCGCCAUCAUACAGCCCUGCCGUGGCUACUGAGUGCAUAUAUGCAUACCAAAUGCACGGCAGGACGUAUGAUGACGAAUCCAGAUGAUUUGUAUUUGGUCGAUGAACUGAAUGAUGUAUCAAACCUUUUGUCAAACCUUCAAGGGAUCGAGGAUGUAGAACGAAACAAUCGGUCUGAAUUUUUAAAAUGAAUUAGUUUUAUUUUUCUGGAUUUUUUGAUAUAUUAUUUGUAUUUUUAAGAUUUUAAAAUGAAUUAGUUUUAUUUUUUUGAAUUUUUUAAUAUAUUAUUUGUAUUUUUAAGAUUUUCAAAUGAAUUAGUUUUAUUUUUUUGAAUUUUUGAUAUAUUAUUUCUAUUUUUAAGAUUUUAAAAUGAAUUAGUUUUAUUUUUCUGAAUUUUUUGAUAUAUUAUUUGUAUUUUUAAGAUUUUAAAAUGAAUUAGUUUUAUUUUUCUGAAUUUUUUGAUAUAUUUGUAUUUUUAAGAUUUUAAAAUGAAAAGUAUUUGAAAAAGGACCUUUAUUCGCGGUUCGUGACACGAACCGCGACUAAAGGCUCUUUCCGUGCGGGAACGAAAACGGCGCGAAAGAACCUUUAGUCGCGGGUCGUGACACCAACCGCGACUAAAGGUAUCCCUUUAGUCCUUUAGUCGCGGUUGGUGUCCCCAACCGGGACUAAAGGCUUGCCCUAUAUAUUCUCCGCGGCCCUCGUCUUCUCCGCGCUAACCACCAAACGCAUCCAGGACCUCGUCUUCUCCGCGGCGCCGCCCUCGUCUUCUCCGCGGCGCCGCCCUCGUCUUCUCCGCGCCGCCCUCGUCUCCGGUAGGUGCCCGCCGCCGCGUGCCGUCCUCCUCGCGUGCCUAGAAGAAGAGGGGACCGCCGCCGUCGUCUUCUCGCCCUCGUCUUUUCGCCCGCCUUCUCGCCCACCGCCGCCUGCCGUCCUCCUCGUCGCCGCGUACUGGAUGCGUGCCUUGCCAGCCUCGCGCGCGUGCGGAAACGGCGCCGCCGUGCGUGCCCGUGCUGGUGGUCAUAUGGCGGACGAGAAGAGUCCUCCUGACGGGCGAGACGCUGCUUUGUAGGCCGGCCCAUUUUGUCGCUUCUCCUCCAAAACAGACUAAAAUCAGAUGCUGCAGUAAUAAAAAAUAAUUUUUUGAAAACAAUUGUUAGUUUUAAAAGAGUUUGUGAAUUCUGAAAAAUGUUCGUGAGUUCACAAAAUGUUUGCUAUAUAUAAAAUGUUCACAGAUUUGGAAAAUAUAUAAUGUCCAUGAUUUCCUAAAAAUGCUCGUCCUUCAACACAAUGUUAAUUCAAAACAAAAAUAUGAAUUAAAAAAACUUGUGUGUUCAAAAAAUGUUCAUGACUUUAAAAAAAUGUUUGCGAAUACAAAAACUAUUCAUGAGUUCUUUUUUUCACUAAUUUCAGAAAAAUUCACGAAAUAAAAUAAAUCAUGAAUUUGAGAUAAUUUUCAUAAAUUUUAAAAGUGCUCACGACUUUCAAAAAACAAUGUUUACGAGUUUGAUAAAAUAUUCACGAAUUUCCAAAAUUGUUUUCAAAUUCAAAAAAAGGCUGAAAUGAAAGCAAAAAUUAAUAGCUCUUAAUCAUUCAACCGUCGCUGCUCCUCCUCUAUGUCCCCUUAAUCUUAUUUUUUAAUGCCUUUAAACUUAAUUAAUUUUUACUACAUGCAGGAGUGACAUAUGGCGGACGAUAGAGCCGAGCCGCUUAGGGAUCCGGAGGCUGAACGUUAUUUAAUGGGCAUCAUAAACAACGAGAUUCCUUAUGUGCCGGGCUCAGAAGAUGAGCAAGAAUAGGAUGUAGUCUCUUCUUUUCUGAACUUUGACGGUGGAACAGACAUUGUCGAUGAUCAAGAAGGUGAAGGAACGGACAUUGUUGACGGAGGUCAACCGUCAACAAACAACGAUCUCGAAUUGCAAGUAGCAACCACCUCCGGCGAGGUAUAUAUAUACAUUGAGCCUCUCGUGAUACAAACUUACUGAAAUGUGAAUACAUAUGUAUUAACGCACGCGACUCUUUCUUUUUUUAGCCCUCGGCCGGAUCGAGUACGACAAAGCGUGGCAAAUCCAAGGCGAUGAAAACAGGAGAAACAUAUACCAUUGAUUUUGUCAGUGAAACCGGCAAGCCCCUACAGCACACCUCAAAGUUUAUCAACCAAUGCGGAGUCGUUGUUAGAGACAACGUCCCGAUCACCGUCCAGGAAUGAAAGGAGCCAAAGAAGGCACGUCUUGGUUUCAGUUUUGUCGACAAGAGAACGAAAAAGGAUUGCUGGAGAAAGCUUAUGGAACAUUUCAUUCUACCUCCGGAAUACAACAAAGUCGAUGAAUUCGGUAACGAGGUUCCGGGUGGACGUGAGAGGAGGAGGCUAGUUAAAGAGUUCGCUCUUCAGAAGAUGGCCGAAGCAUUCCGGAACUUCAAGAAAAAUUUAACCUGUGACUAUGUCAACAAGGGCAAGACUCCGGAUUUCAAUGGACAACAUGAGAAACUGAAAGAUGAUUGGCCAGAAUUUGUGAGGCAAAAGAAAUCGGAGCAUUUCAAGGAAAUAUCGAAAAAAAUAAGGAUAAUGCGAGUAAGAAAAAGUACCAUCAUAUUAUGGGGCCAGGAGGAUACCGCCUUUCGGAGCCUAAGUGGCAGAAGAUGGAGGAGGACCUGAGGGUGCGAGGAAUCCCUCUAGGUACAGAGGGAUGGGACCCAAGGGCCAAAAGCUGGUGGUAUGGGCAUGGGGAAUCGCUAGACCCGGAGACAGGGGUGUGUGUUCACCGGAAGAAAAAGUUUGCUCCCACCCAAGCCCUUAUUGUCGCAAUGACCCAAGCUCAAGAGGGCUUCAUCAAGUUCAACAGAGAGAAAGACGCACUGACAACAGCCCUCGGGAAUGAUGAACACGGAGGACAUGUACGAGGCAAAGGCAGAAUUUCGUGGAAAGUAGGGUUUUCCUAGGACAAUGACCCGUACUGUUACAGAAGCCGUAAGAGAAAGACGGACCGGGAUGCAGAUCUUUUGGCGAAGUUUGCAUCGGAACUCCAUGAGUUGAAGCAGACCGUGGAUGAACUAGUAAAAGAAAAAUCGGCUGCAGGGCCGCAUGAAGAUCAUGAAGCGGAUCGCGGAAGCCAGCAGCGGAGAAGCAGCGUGGCUUCCACGGAUGCCCCGCCUGGUGCUAAUGCACCGACGAUCGAGAUUCGUUCACCGGAGCCUCACUACCCCAUGGAUGAUGUAAAGGAGAUGAAAGAAUGUGAUAUGCAUUAUCCCGUGGGGAACGUUUCCACGAAGGUAGCUACCGGCAGUGCUUUACCCUGUACACCUGGAGCACUCCACCACAACAACCCCAUUGCAUAUGGCUAUGCUCGUGUCAUGGUGGAAGACAUAGUCCAAGAGUUUGAGGACCUGGAGAUUGACAAAGCUACACCCGAAGGGGAGAGAAGACUUGGAGAUGUCAAGCGCCAGAUCAUUCUAUGGAAAAAGAAGUACAUAGUGUUUCCAGGCGAGGCGCCAAGGCUAACAAGUCCACCCCCCUCCGAUGGUGGUGGUGGUGGUCGUGGUGGCGGUGGUGGUGGUCGUGGUGGUUCACCUACACCUCCUUCACGCCAUUCGACGUCGUCCCCCGAUCCACAACAUCCGGCGGGUAAGCAGCCGCCGCCCCCCAAUCCUCCUCCGGCGGGUAUGACGCCCCCAAUCCACCUCCGGCAAACAAGCAGAAGCAGGCGGACAGCAAGGAAACCCGCUCCUGGACUAUUAACCCGGACCCUUAUGUACGUAAGACCACAAGGGUACCGGAGCCAUCACUGUAGCCUCUCCUCCCAAGGCCUUGGGAACUUAGUGAAGCUGAAACCAAAUUGGCCGCGUUUGCUCAUUAUGAGAAAUGGAAGGCGGAUACGAAGGCGAUAAAAGAGCCUGAGCCCAAGCAAGUAUUCACUGAGAAGCAAAAGAAGUGGGCUAAGGAUUUUUUGACGACACCGUCCUAAGCCGAGCUGAAUAUGCCUGACGACUAUGGACAUGAACUUCGUAGGCAAGCAAAAAUAUUGAAGGAGGAGAAAGAAGAAAGUAAAAAAAGCGGGAAACAAGUUGACCAGCUCGGGAUGCAGAAUAAACAAUCAAUCCCCCCGCUCAUAGUGAAAGCCGGUCCGGAAGAGGACCCCGAGAUCAUAGCAGCUGCGGCAGCACUUGGAUUGACUGUAGCGAGUGCCAUGAAACAAGCGUCCGAGAUGGGUUUGACUCUUCGUGCCUCGUUAGGCCUUGAGGAUGCGCCAGUAUGUGAGAUAGCAUUACAAUAUGUGCGGAAUGGGCCUCUCGUCGAGCCUGCGCGGGAAAAGAGUCUACCACCACAAAUGCGAAAUCUGCUACGUUGAUACAAGCAUUUCAUAACAUGGGCCGGCAAAGAAUAUGUUUAUGCGGAUGUUACAGAGGAGCAUCACACCAAACGGUACUCUGUAAAAGUUCUUAUGAGUGAAUUGUUCCGGCUGUUCAAUCUGCGCGAGCUCGACAAAUCUAUCCUGAGUUGCUACGUUCUGUAAGUGAUUUAUUUCUACCUCAUCUCGUUCUUCAUUGCCUGUACUAUAUAUAUAUAUAUUUUUUUUCCUAACUAUAUUGUUGCGUACGCUAUUAUGCAGAUUGAAGAUUUGGGAAUGCAAAAUAAGAAACAUCCAUGAUGUUGGGUUCAUUGACCCACAUAUCGUUAAUGGACAUGUGUUACAACAUCACCCCGAAGACGUGGAGAAAGACUUGUACAAGUUUCUUAGAAAGCAUCAACUCAAAAGUCAUAUUCUAUUUCCUUACCAUUUUGGGUGAGUGUUUCUCUCUUGUGCCCAUUCUCUUUUGUUUACUCCAUGCAUGGUAUGUCUAAUCGAUGAGUUAUGCAUGACUGUGCAUGUAACGUGUCCGCAGGUUCCACUGAAUUCUGCUAAAUAUUGAACUUCACACCUCCAGAGUUCUAAUCAUGGACUCUAUGGAUUCGGAUCCAAAGCGUUGGGCCGACAUGAGAAAAAUGCUGCAAAAGUAAUUAUUUUAAAUCAUUUGAGCUCUAUAUCGAUCGGUCUCUUUCGUUCAUUUCCUAAUAUCAAGUAACUAAUAACUCCCUUGUUCAUUUAAUUUUCUUUGCCCUGUAGGGUUUGGAGACGGUUCUCAGAAGAAAUUGUCGGUGAAUUCAAACAUGAGCUAGAUUUUAGAAGAUUAGUUAAUGUGGAUAAGCAGCCACCGGGGACCAAUCUAUGUUGAUACUAUGUUUGUGAGAACAUCCGGAGACACACCUCUGAGCGGAAGGCAUCGGAUAGCGUGCGGAAGGCGACGGAUAACUUGCGGAGGAGGCUUAGUCCAGAAGCUCGCUUCCGACCAAUUCAAGAUGAAUUAGCAGGAUUUUUCAUGAGGGAAGUGAUCAAUCCUAAAGGAGAACACUAUACCGAGGACGAAGAAAUUUAUAUGCAUACCCGAGAUUGAAACUUGUUCGAAGUUGUAUAUGGUCAUCCAUCCUAAUUGUGUAUGGAAACUUGUUCGAAGUUGUAUAUGGUCACCCGAGAUUGAAUAUAUAUUAUAUAUUCCUCUUGAAUUCUUCUUGUUUGAAAUUUCAUAUGCAUGUAUAUAGUAGCGUAGAAUAUGUGUACUGAAACUUCAUCAAAAUUAAAAUAAAACACAAAAUAAAAUAUAAAAGAAAUAAAACACUACAAAUUAAAAAGAAACCAGGUUUAGGGGGGCUAAAACCCUAAACCUGCGGAGGAGGCCUUUAGUCCCGGUUAGCCACGAGAACCGGGACUAAAGGUCCUCCGCCCCGACGGACUCCUGGCGCCCACGUGGACGGGCCUUUAGUCGCGGUUCGUAAGAGGCGCGACUAAAGGGGGGGCCUUUAGUCGCGCAUAUUUAGUCCCGGUUGCACAGCCGGGAUUAAUGGCCUUUGCGAACCGGGACUAAAGGCCUAUUUUCUACCGGUGUAUCUUCCACCAUGGCCUCUCUGUACGGUGUGUGCUUGGAAGGGGUUGACAACUUACUGAACCGUACCCUACCUGCGGCAGGGACAAGUGGUAGUACGAAACAAGUAUGGGGUUACUGGAACAAGACUCGAUCUACGGCCGACUCAGGAGGUUCAAGUAUUCCCUGUAUGAUUAGCAUAACAAAUAUAUUUCAAUUAACAGAUAGAAUCACCACUCAUCAUACCUCAUCAUGCCAUACCGGACACCCUCGUCUCGACGAGGAACUAGGGACAAGCUCGUGUCUACCCAAGACAGAGACUUUCCCGGCUUCCUUCCGGUAUGCAUGAAAAGCAUACGAGGAUGAUUACUAUCACCAGCAUAUCCAUUUCUAACAGCCAAGAAUCUUCAUUAUGCACUCAUGCGUAUGAUUGUAUCGUCACAUAAAAUAACGAAUGCUCCAUGUCAAGGUGGUGUUGUAACCGUAUCAAACAACACACAAAAAUAUUAUGCCAGGGUUCAGAAUGCUUGCCUUCAAGUUGUGGAGAGGCAGGGUGCAUUUCAAAACUUUUGAAAGUUUUCUUCACUUUUGAAAAUAUUCAAAUUAACACAUAGAUUCAAAACAGUGCAAAAAAGUUGUUUGAAUUUUUUUCAAAUAAAUAUGAAAAUAAACUAGACAAAAUUUGAGGAAGUUAGGAAAAAGAAUCAACUCAUUUGGAGUUAUAUUUAAAAAGUUAUAGCCAGUCAAAGUUUGGUCAAAAUUCUGUUUUUAAAUAAAACAGAAAAACGUUUUGAAAUAAAUACACGUCGAAGACGUACUCUGGGAUUACGCCUCCACUUACGCCAGCGUGGACCGACGCGGGGUCACUAACAGUGGGUCCAGGGGGGCCAUUGGUCAGGUUUGACCAGUCGUCCCCGCCUCCUUCCUCCUCUGGCCGAACAGAGGCGGGGCUCCGGCGAUCGUCGCCAGCGAUUUGCGGCUCCUCGCGGGGCUCCGAGGGCGGGGAUGGAUCCGCCAGUCCAGGGCGGUCCUCCCGGUGGUCGAGGGGUUGGUGGGGGUGGAGGGAGUCGCCGGCGGCGAGCUCUGCGGCGGACGGCGGCCUCGGGAGGAUUGGGGCUUCACGCUACGGUGGCGCCCCAUCGAAGCUGAGGGUUUGGGCGGCUCCGCAAGAUCGAGGGGAAGAGGACGGUGGCUCUAGAUGGGCUGGGGAGGCCUUGCUUGCGACGAAAUGGAUCGGAGGGCGGCGGCGGCCGAACUGGCCGGAGACGGGGAAGAAGGCUUCCCGCUGUCGCUGGCUGGCCGUGGGGGCUUUGGUGGAGCGGCUUGAGGUCGCCUGGGUGCCUGGUCGAGCUCGGGGUCCCUAUUUAUAGCGCAACUACGUCGGUUCCGCGGCCGUGGAUAAGGACGCCGGCGAACCGCCGUUCUGUAGCUGCAGGGCGACGUGGUGAGGGCUGGCGGGGUCUGGCAGGGCGAGGGGAUGAGCUCGAGCUGUUCAGGGCGAGCUGGCGCGCGGCUGUGGCUCGGGCGGCGCCGUCCAGGGCAGGAGCCCACUGUGGCCGACCGCUAGCCGCCGUGGCCAACCUGACGGCGGCGCUGUGGGGCUCCAGGGGCGGCUCUGCGGCGAGGGAAGGGGCGGGCGUGUUGGUUGCGGGUGGGGAAGGGCCAGAACGAGCGCGGGGCAACGGCAGUGGGACGCGGCGACUCGGUGCGCGCGCGUGCAAAACGUGCGCUCUGGGCGCGCCCAGCGCACGUACGCGAGGUGUUCGGCAAAAUGCCAAGGCAUGCCAGGAGGCUUGGGUGGGGCUGGGGAUUACCAGGUCUAGGCUAGGGUUUGCAAGGAGAUCAGUGGUCAAGCUUGUUAGGUCAGGGGAUCAAGUUCACAAUGCAAACUAAUAAUCAUGCCAAAUCUGUUCAUGCACUCAAGGUGUUCGACAGAAUGCUAAGUGCAUCUAGGCAACUCUUGGGGUGGCCAAAAGCUCCAGACCAGUGUCUCUUUACAUGUAGGUGGUGGUGGCAAGGUUAGUUUGGCAAAACUAGAAACUAGUUAGUGCAAGUUUUUAAGAAAACCAAUUCUGGGCAGAAACUAAAAGCUAUCAUUCCAUGGACCAAAAUUACUCCAAUGGGUCCACUCUCCUGGACUUAAGGGUUUUGUAGGGAGGACUAUAAGCAGGAAAAAGAAUCAUGGGCAACAGAGCAAAAUAAAAUGGGGUUGCAGUAGAAAAUAUCAAACUGGGCCAGAGAGCAAAAGAGGAUGAUUUGCUCAAAAUCAACAUCCCCAAGUAAACGCAUUCUCGAAUUCCAGAUGCAAACACUAGGCAGCAAAAUGCAACCUGUGUUGUACCUCUGCCUAUUGCUCAUGCCCUGCCUAUUUCUCGUGGAAGAAGCACACGCGGCGCGCCAUGGAGGGAUCUCACUGAGGUCCCAACACAUUGCCCUCCUCCACUGGAAAGCUACACUUGCAAGCCCACCGGUGCAGAUGAGCUCUUGGCAGGAAAACAACACCCCCUGCAACUGGACGGGCAUCGUGUGCACAGCUGUUCGCCAUGGCCGCCGCAUGCCCAGGGUAGUUACCGACAUCUCCCUGCCGGAUGCUGGCAUCAGGGGCCAGCUUGGUGAGCUCAACUUCUCAGCUCUUCCAUUCCUCACAUAUAUUGACCUCACCAACAACAGUCUCCAUGGUGCACUACCAGCUAGUAUCAGCUGCCUGUCAUCACUUUUGGAACUCUACCUUCCCUACAACCAGCUCACAUGGAAAAUUCCCGAUGAGAUUGGUGGCCUGCAAAGUCUGAGGGUGCUUGAGCUCUCAUUUAACAGACUCACAGGACAUAUUCCUGCGUCUCUGGGCAACCUAACAAUGUUAACUGAUCUCGCCAUUCACCAAACCAUGGUAUCAGGUCCCAUUCCUGAGGAGAUUGGAAGGCUUGUCAACCUGCAAAUUCUACAGCUAAGCAAUAGCAUCUUAAGCGGCAUAAUACCAAAAACCCUUGGAAAUCUGAGCCGGCUAAAUACUUUGUACCUAUAUGGUAAUCAACUUUCAGGUCCUAUACCACAAGAACUAGGCACGCUAGUACGUUUGCAAAUUCUUGAGCUUAGUUCAAAUAAUUUUUCAGGUCCAAUUCCAAUAUCCAUAACCAAUCUCACUAAGAUGAACCAACUUUUUCUCUUUGAAAAUCAAAUCACAGGUUCAAUACCCCCAGAACUAGGCAAACUCGCUAAGCUAAACCAACUUGUUCUCUACAAAAAUCAAAUAACAGGUUCAAUACCCCCAGAACUAGGGAACCUCGCUAUUCUAGACCAACUUGAACUCUAUAGUAAUCAAAUAACUGGUUCAAUACUCCCAGAACUAGGGAAUCUCACUGUGCUUAAUGAACUUUCUCUCUAUGCAAAUCAAAUCACAGGUCCAAUACCUCCAGAACUAGGAAACCUCACUAUGCUCAAUGUACUUUAUCUCUAUACAAACGAAAUCACAGGCGCGAUACCUUUAGAAUUGGGCAUGUUAUUGAAUCUCAGAGAAUUAGACUUGUCCGAUAACCAAAUAUCUGGCUCUAUUCCCCAAGAGAUUGGCAAUCUGAUGAACCUCAAAUAUUUAUACUUGUUUCAGAAUCAAAUUUCGGGCUCAAUACCUAGAACUUUUGGGAAGUUGCAAAGCAUGCAAGAACUGCUAGUCUUUGAUAACAACUUAUCAGGUUCUCUUCCUCAAGAAUUUGAAGAUCUCAUCAGCCUUGUUACACUUGAGUUGUCUAACAACUCAUUUUCAGGACCUUUACCCGCAAAUAUUUGUUCAGGUGGGAAACUUCAAUAUCUCAUUGCCUUCUCUAAUAUGUUCAAUGGCCCCAUUCCAAGGAGUUUAAAGACAUGUACGAGUUUGGUUGAAAUUGACCUUCAAUCGAACCGUCUAACAGGGGAUAUAUCUCAACACUUUGGUGUGUAUCCACAACUCAUAAAGAUGAUCUUGAAAUCGAAUAGACUCUCUGGGCACAUCUCACCAAAUAUAGGUGCAUGUACCCAACUAACGGUGCUACGUCUAGCACAAAAUAUGAUCACGGGUUCCAUACCUCCAGUCAUUUCGAAAUUGUCCAACCUAGAACAACUAAGACUCGAUUCUAAUCAUCUCAGCGGUGAGAUUCCACCAGAAAUCUGCACUUUAGCAAAUCUAUAUAGCCUUAACUUAUCAUCAAACCAAUUAUCUGGAUCCAUACCUACACAGGUAGAAAAGCUAAGCAAUCUAGGAUACCUUGAUAUAUCUGGGAACAUACUGAGUGGAUUAAUACCCGAGGAACUAGGAGCAUGCAUGAAACUACAGUCCCUGAAGAUCAACAACAACAACUUCGGUGGGAGCUUGCCUGGUGCGAUUGGAAAUUUAGCAGGCUUGCAGAUCAUGUUAGAUGUGAGCAACAAUAACCUCAGUGGUGUGUUGCCCCAACAACUUGGGAAGUUGCAGAUGCUAGAAUUUCUGAAUUUAUCACAUAAUCAGUUCAGUGGCAGCAUUCCAUCCUCCUUCACAGGCAUGGUGAGCCUGUCAACACUCGAUGUGUCCUACAACGGCUUGGAAGGACUGGUGCCAACAACACGGCUACUCCAAAAUGCUUCAGCAAGUUGGUUUCUUCCCAAUAAGGGUCUGUGUGGUAACCUCUCUGGCCUGCCACCUUGUUAUUCAACCCAAGUAGCUGCUCACCAAAAAGGGAAGAUACUUUGUUUGCUUUUGCCAAUUGUUCUUGUGAUGGGUUUCAGCAUUGUUGUUACAAUUGCUGUCAUAAAAAUGAUUAGUCGAAACAAGAGUAAACCACAAGAAAAUGUUACCGCUGAAGCAAGGGACCAAUUCUCUGUUUGGAAUUUCAACGGAAGAUUGGCAUUUGACGAUAUUGUAAGGGCAACAGAAGACUUUGACGAUAAGUACAUCAUUGGAACGGGGGGAUACGGCAAAGUCUACAAGGCACAACUCCAAGAUGGGCAGCUGGUUGCUGUGAAGAAGCUUCAUCAGACCGAAGAAGAGUUGGAUGAUGAAAGAAGAUUUCGUAGUGAGAUGGAAAUCUUAUCGCAGAUCCGACAACGAAGCAUCGUCAAAAUGUAUGGAUUUUGCUCCCAUCCAGCGUAUAAAUUUCUUGUCUACGACUACAUUCAGCAGGGCAGCCUCCAUAGGAUACUGGAAAAUGAGGAGCUAGCAAAGGAAUUCGAUUGGCAGAAGAGAAUUGCUCUUCCAAAUGAUGUGGCUCAAGCAAUAUCUUAUUUGCACCACGAAUGCAGUCCACCUAUAAUCCAUCGAGAUAUCACGAGUAACAACAUCUUACUUGAUACAACCUUCAAGGCUUUCCUCUCGGAUUUCGGCACAGCAAGGAUUCUUAAGUCAGAUUCAUCAAACCGGAGUGCACUAGCAGGAACGUAUGGCUACAUAGCUCCUGGUAUGUGCUAGUAUAACCUUUCUUGUCACCACACAAGCAUUCAGCUCUAUCAAUUUGUUCCUAAUCCUAAUGUUCUUCUCGAUGUUGUGCAGAACUGUCGUACACAUUUGUUGUGACAGAGAAAUGUGACGUAUAUAGCUUUGGCAUUGUUGUGCUAGAGCUACUGAUGGGGAAGCAUCCGAGGGAUCUAUUAGAUGGUACUUUCUUAAAUGGAGAACAAACUAUACUGGUGCAAGAUAUUCUGGACCAACGGGUGACAACACCAACAACAACAGAAGAGAACAACUUAUGUCUCCUCAUUAAGCUGGCCUUUUCUUGCUUGGGUUCUUUUCCACAAGCAAGGCCAACCAUGAGGGAGGCAUACCAAACGCUCAUCCAGCGAUCCUCUUCUAGUUCAUGUCCCGUGCCUUUCUACGCAUUUACAUUACAGCAAGCAAGGGAUGCAUAUUAAUAUAUUAUCCAAAAUCUAGUGAGAAACAAGGAUCUAUCAAAGCGGAGGCCGAUUUAGGUUUCCGCUUUUGAGUCGAGUCACUCAUACAUGCUACCUAUAUAUAAUUCGGGAUGAGUUGAUUACUCAUUGUAAGUCUAUUUGUUUUGUAGACACUCUCCUGAUACAGUGAACGAUCACCGUUGUGUGCCCGUGGUUUUCUCCGCAAUGGUUUUCCGAAUAAAAACUGGUGUCCCAUGUUAUUGAUAUUUCUCGGUUUGUUCGCUUGCCGAUAACAAUGCAUAAUAUAAUUUGUUUUCCGGGUUGCUUGUAAAAUGUAUGCGGUGUUUCUGAUUAUAUUUGUUUUAAGACUGUGGACAUGGUAUCCACAUGUGACACUUUCUUUCGGUUGUUGUCUACACUUGAAAUGGUGUGCUAAAAUUUGUCUCUUUUUAUCUAGCUAGUAUUUGCCCCCAAGAACCUAAAGAUGGAAAAAAAAAUGGAUCUGAAACUGGUGUGAUGUCAUGUAGUCCCACUUUAUUGUUCCAUAUAUAUGGGAACCAAGAUAAAAUAUCUUGGACCAAGCAGGAACGAUCAAAUGGUUGACACAUAAAUGGGAACAAAUGAAUGUAAACACACAGAAAUAGGUGCAUCACAAAAGAAAAGUACCACAGUUUGUAGGGCAGGAGUAUGUAGUCCUUGUCCUUAUGAUGGAGAAAUGUACUAAUGCUCAUCUCGUUUUAUCUAUUAUUAUUACUCCCGUGAACCUGAAGAUGAAAAAAAUUGGAAUCCAAAUCUGACGCGAUAUCAUGAUCCCGCUUUAUUGUUCUUUGGGUAUAAAAGUAAAAAUACCUUGUACCAAGCAGGAACAAUCGCAAUGAUCAAGUGUUUGAUGCGUAAACAGGAACAAUGAAUGUAAACACACGGAUAUAGAGGCAUAAAACAAGAAAAGUAGAACGGUACUAACUAAAAGGACCUACAGUUGGUUGUAGGGCACGAGUAUGUAGUCCUUGUCCUUGGGAUGGACCGAUGGAGCAUAUGUUGUCCUUGUCCUUAGGAUGGAGCAAUAAACAAUACUACACUUAAUUUCAAGCACUGGUUGGCGAGAUUUUCAUGGAACAAAGAUACAACCUUCCUUUCUUCAUGCCUAAUACAAACUUAACAAAGGAUGAGAUGAGAUGAGAUGAUAGGAAAAGGCCGUGACUGACAGCACGAGAGCCAGCAAUGUCCCAUAACUUCAUUAUCAGAAAAGCAGAUACCAAUUCAACUCAACAGAGACAUACUAACAACAGGAUGUACAACCGUAUACAUAACACUCACUUUAUUGCUCACUAUUAUUCCAACACAAUGGGGAAAAGACAUCUCAUCGUUCAACGAAUUGCAGUGGUAUAUGAGGAGCGAUGCAAUGAAUUUGUCCGUGCAUAAACAAAGCGUCGACUAUUUACAACGAGAUCAAACCUAUAACGUAGUCAUUUUUGUUACUUUUCAGGUACCAAUUGAUGCAUGCGGCAUUGCAGGCAGUCCCAGUUCAUCCUCCUGCGCCAACAGACAAAAGUAAGGAGAGCAAAUUAGUCUCCUUGUCAUGUGAUAAGAUAAAGGACACCGUUUAUAGCUUCAGGCACUGUGAUUGCAUGGGAAAAUGACACGAGUCAUCGAUUUCUUCCUUGGGAUAUCAGCACCAUAAUCAAUGUGAACAGAAACUAGUCAGUCUCGCAAUUGACAUACCUGCUGCCGGUUUGCCGGGACUGCUGCAUGAUCACUUGGUGCAGCAGGUUAGUUAAGCUCAGAAUAAAGAUCGGUCUCCUUGUCUGGUUGGAGGUACGGUGGGAGUGAGUUUGAUUCGAAGUCCAUAUCAGCUUUCAAAGCAUCAAGCUCUGCAUGCAUUUUUCAACAUAAAAAUGAGAAUAUCAUACAGAGAACUACUGUCUUGUCUCUAAAUUAACAUGUGCGUGACACAAAACUACUGAAGUUUUGCAAAAGUGCCAAAGAAAUUUUCAGAAGAAAUCUAAGACUGAUAUAAAUUGGAGAGUUUGCUGGAUCAGACUCAACUAUGAAAUUCAAAUAGAAGUGGCUCCUCCUCAUAGAUGUCAUCUGGGACAUUGCUCACAUCCAUAAGAUCCAUCAUCUCGUCUUACAUUGUUCACGUCCAUAUAUCUUGAAAACAAUCUACUCCCUCCUUCCGAAAAAGCUUGUCUCUCAAAUGGAUGUAUCUAGCACCAAGUUAGUGCUAGAUACAUCCAUAUGAGGGACAAGCUUUUCCGGACGGAGGGAGUAGUAAACAACAGGAUGCUGCAUACAUCCAUGUCUUCAAUCCUGACAGUCUUCAUCAUCCCUUUCAGCUCUUCAUUUGCAGCCUUCAUGGCAGCUAUCUGUUAAAUGAAGACACUUCAACAUAAGUCUUGGAGCAAGAAUCAGAAUCUAUCAUGAACUUGGUAGGAAACUAAGGCAAUAUACAGAUUAUAUGAGCCUGGUGAGCAACUGGGUCGAGAUUAUAUGGUUGUACAGAAUGUCAAAUUAUCCUUAAUACCUGUAGGGAAAGCAUGUGGACUAAUAGGCUGCUGCCACAGAAAUGAAAUGAAUGGUUAGAUGCUACAGGAUCGUCAGCUCCAUUUAACUACGGCCAGGAGCAUGGAGCAAUAAUAGCACUCCAUUUCUAUCCUGUCCAUGUUAAGAUGACAGAUAACCUAAGCAGAUAAGUACACAACUCCUAUAUGUAAGGAACUUAUGAGACUACACAAAAAUGGCAUAUAUUACUGUACAGAAGGGGGUAAAAUCUAAAGGUGUAUUAGAGCACAUCGACCAGAUUCACGAUACUAUAUCUUCUCGGAUAACCCUUUAGACGGCGACUUUUCAACAUUGAUGGGUCGGCUCCUUGUUGGGCAUUUCAUCGAACAUGUGGUGUGUGGAAACUUGCCCUUAUGGCCCAGCUCGCCUCCCUCCUCUGAAUCCUCUUCCUGCCCCUGAAAUCCGCGUCAAUCACCAGAAGUUGCAGGAUUCAUUAGAUUGGGAGAGCACCUACUGACCUGAGGCACGGUGAGCACUGGUAGUCGACGGAGUUGGCGUUGGCGGUGGCGUGGCUACCCUCGAUCAAUGUACGCGCUUGUCAUAGCAGAGCUCGCGGACGUGGUCAGUGGCGUUGCCGCUGCACUCACUUGAUGGCCCCCCGGAGCGAGGGGAGGAGACUUCGCGUGGGGGAGGAGGACGGCGAGAGGUCGGUCGGUGCGGCUUGGGCUUGGAGUUGCACGCCGACGGGGACGCAUCGGUGGCCGGAGCACGGAGGCCGGCCGGCGGUGGGACUGGAGUACCUGCCUGCCAGGGCCGGACCCCGGCCCAAAAAGAAAUAUUGCUCACUCAUAGGCCGCAGUCCAAUCACGAAAUCACUAAUUGAGGAGUACUCGUUGCAAAGAUCAUUCCAAUUUCCCUAGUUGCGACAAGUGACGCACAUGCAGCGCGCCACAUGUCGCAACCUGAAGUUUUCUCUUUUUUCAUAGAUUCGUUUAUUCAAAACGUUUUAUCUCUUAAACCAUGCGUCCAAAUCUCGAAGCGCUUUCAUCGUUGAAUUCCUCGCGUCGAGAUCUUCAAAAUCAGAUCAUAUGUUGAUAGGUUUUAACGAACCUUUUUUCAUGAAAAAACCGGACGAAAAACCAAACCAGGAGCACGGGUUUUUUUCCCUUUUCGAAAGAGACAUGCCCGUGCCUCUCACGAAAUCACAACCGUGCCUCUCGCGGAAGCAAAACCGUGACUCUCGCGAAAGGAAAAAAAGAGAAAACACGUUUUUUUUCGUUUCCGAGAGGCACGGCUGUGACUCUUGCGAAAGCACACCCAUGCCUCUCGCGGAAGCAAAACCGUGACUCUUGCGAAAGAAAAAAAACAGAAAACACGUUUUUUUUCAUUUUCGAGAGGCACGGCCGUGACUCUCGCAAAAUCAAAACCGUGCCUCUCGCAGAAUCAAAACCGUGACUCUCGCGAAAGGAAAAAAACGUGUUUUUUCGCGUUCAAAUUUUUUUAUUGAAAAGCUAAGGAAGACCGAUGGAAAACCAAAACGCCGAAAAAACCCAAAAAAACCAUUUAAAAGCCGAAAAAGCGUGUAGAAAAAUAAAAAAAUAAAAUCUGGAAGGAGCGCCCAGAGCGCGACACGUGGCGAAUGGCUAUGAGCGCGCCAAGUGACGCUGAUCGUUACGAGGCUCCCGAAGGAGCGCUCGUUAACUAGUUGCUCUCGUCCAAUCAAGCGUUUUCUUCUGUUGGCUAGAGCUGGCCCAAAAAGAAAGCGCUCAAGUCGGCUGGAGUUUUUUUUGUGUGUUUUUUUUUCCUUUUUCUUUGUGUCCGUUCUUUUUUUUUCAUUGUCAAAUGCUCAUAGUGUUUUUUAUUUCAUCAUGUGUUUUAGAAAUCCAUACAUUUCUCAAAAUUGUUUAUCAUGUAUUUAAGAAAUGUUUACCGUUGUAUCUACCAAUUGUUCAUUGUAUAAAAAAAAUAUUCACGGUGUUUCUAAAAAUAUAUUAAUAGGCUGACGUGGGCAGGCUGGUCGGGUGGAUACCUCCUACACAUAGAUCCUGCCCGAUUUGAGAGCAGGUGAGGGGGAGGAAGAUGUGGCACUCGGGAUAUUUGUGAUGUGCUUUCACUUUUGACAAGGCACAAGAAGCGACCACAUGGUCAAGUACAGCACCAUCAUCACCCACAGACACGUACAUACAUCAUAUCACAAUGUUUGAGAUACAUGUUGAAUUCUUCACUUGAACUCUCUCUUGUAAUCAUCAUCUCAGGAUCUUGAUCCUCCAUGGCUUAACUCAUAAGGUAGAGCAACUAAAGUUUGAGUCGCACACGAGGACUCUGUCUUUUAUUUUUCAUCUUCUUUCAACCUUGAAUUCAACAUAUGGUCUCCAAGCAUUGCCUAUGGAUAAACCUUCGAGUAUAAAAAAAGAGAAUGACUCACACAGACCAACAAAUAAUUUACUACUCCCUCCGUUUCAAAAUAUUUAUCAUGGUUUUAAUUCGAAUUUAAACUAAAACCACAGCAAGCAUUUUGGAACAGAGGGAGUAGUACCUUAUGUGGCUUACUUAGUUUCUUUUUCUUUUUCUUUUUUUGCGGGGGACGGCCUACUUAGUUUCAACCAUUGGUUGGCAGGACUGACAUGGAAAGCCUUCUUAUUUCUUCAUGCCUAAUGCAAACUUAUUAACAGAAUGGGUGAGUAGAGAUGGUACGAGAACUAGCAAAUACCCCAAUAAGCUUUUCUUAUCAGAAAAGUAGAUACCAAUUCACCUCAGAACUCAACUAGGCUAGUGGCAAUCACACGCAUGCUAACUACAGGAUGUACAGAGAACACCUUCUUUUAGCACUCACUAUCAUUCGAAAACCAACAAUGUGAAGACACCCUGGAAUGAAAUGAUGGCUGAGCCGAGGAGCAGGUUGAAAGAGAGGAUGCGAGAAGAAGGAAAAUGUCUUGGCAUCCUUAGUUUUACCGUAGCAACGGGCAAAGAGCCAUCGUGGCAAAUAUUGCCGUGCUUGAUAUGACACGGCAAUCCAGCAGACGUACAGGAAGCGCUAGUAGUAGACUUUUACCGGUUCAACCUACGUGAGCUUGCAACUUUUCUUCAGCUUUGAAUUCCACAAGCUGCAGCCAAACACAUGACUUCCAACAAGACUUGCGGUCCAGUAUUUGUCUUAACCUCAACCGAACAUAGAAACCAUCAAUAGAAUUCCAGCACGGAAUUUUCCACUGGUCUCUUUUACUAGUAAGAUCAAGCUAGGAUGAGCUCAAUUCUUCGCACCAACAAUAAAGGUAUCUUUCAUGACACUAAGCCUGAAAUAGACGACUUAAGAGUUCAGAAAUAUGUUCAUAACGAUCUCAACAAUCUAGCCUCUCUCAAUUAGAUCAUGUGACAGGAUAAAAAAAAACCCGACUAGUACAGAGCAUGGUAUAUUAGAAGUUGCAUUCAAAGCGGGCCUCGAGGACACUAUCCACGCGAGUGGGCACUAUCUGAACACGGGCAUCUGCACCCACUUUUAAAAAACUGCAUUUUAAGCAUGUUUUGAAAUGUUAAAAAUUGUAACAGAAAAUUUUAUGCAUACAUGUUCGCAAAUGUGUGUGCGCGGCACAAAGUUUUGUGAAAAAAUGUCUUUUUGGUUUGCCUCCGUAAAAACGACAAAUUUCAGUGCUUCUAAAUAGCGUUUCACGACACAAUUUUUGUCUUUUUUGCACAGGCCUAAAAAAAGUUAAUUUUUUAGUGAAACUUUAUGCACGCCCAUAGAACAUGAAGACGUACCCGUGCAACCUUUUUCAGAUUUUCGUGGCAUUUAGAAAUGUGUUUUUCAAAGUGGGUUCAUAUGUACCCGGGUUCAUCUAUGCACUUCCCCUAUCCGCGCCCCCUACAUUCCGCGUGGCUUCGCGGCUUCCCUACAUUGCCGGAUUCAUCGGUCCGUGGUGCUCCCCACCGCCCACACACUCCUCAAUCUUUCUACCCACCGGAUCCAUACGCCGGUGGUGCUCCACGCCGAAGGGUGCUUCUGUAUAUUGCCUUUACUGGCGCGGAAUUCAUAAUGGGCCGGUUAUUGGCGAAUCCAUAAUGGGUUGGUUACUGGCGUGGCCCAUUAAAAGAUAUACUUUUUCUUGUUAAAUCUCAAAAUUUAUAUUUACUUUAUAAUAAUAUAUUAAAAAUUAUUUCAAAAGAAAAUGUUCACGUGUACAAAAGAAAUGUUCAGGUAUAUUGGAAAAAAAAGGGUUCAUAUAUUAGGAAAAAAUGUUCACAUAUAAUUUGAAUCUAGCUUAGUUUGCUUUUAUCUUUGUCGCAUUCAUACAAGUGUUCGCUGCACUGUUGCAUCUCUAUGCACUACCAUAGUACUGCUGUAAGUAUGGAGGCAGUAGUAAUAAUUUGCACACUUUUGGUUACUUAUAAAUUACCUGUGGGCUGUGGUUGGAAUAGUGUGAUUGACAUGCCAAUAACAGGAUGCACAACGACCGUACAGAGACCAGCUCACAUUACUCCAAGACAAGUCUUCAUCUACCUUGCUGAGAACCUUCUCAUAUGUUUGACGGAAUAGCGGAGGUUGACGGAUUUGUACCCUUUUGAUUACUCAUAAAUUAGAAAGGGGCAUACCUGGGAAUAUUUGUGUGUCGGAUGUUACACGGCAAUCAACAACAUGCACGGGCCCGCAGACCUACCGAAAGCGCCGGUGACCCACUUGAGCUUGGAUUUUUUGCUUCAGCUUGUGUGGUCAUGAUGCUGCCUGGUUGUAUAGGCUAUGAAUUCCACAAGACUUCCAACACAAUAUACACUUGCGUGGUUGUACAGCGCCACUCCGUCAUUUUCCUCGUACACAGGACUUCCAACAAGACUUGGGGUCCAGCAUUUAUAUUAACCACAAUUCAGCACUGAAACCUUUAUUUUUACCACCAGCACGGAAUUUUCCCAAAAUUUGUUGUUGUGUUGCGCCACCAGCCACGAGUCCUUGACCUAAAUCUAAAUCGUUUGUUCUAUGUACCAGCUGAAAAGCGAAAAUGGAAAUUAACAUUGGUACCGUGGAGAAUAGCUUAACUGAAGCAGUUACAGAUUACAUGAUCAAAUAAACAAAUAUACUAUCAAACCAACCACAGGAGAUACAAAAACCUCUACUGCAAUGUUAACUCAAAGUCCAUCAGCACAUAAGUCGUAGACGGAGGAGAUAUGACUAGGCGUAUGCCGCGUGUACCCUUCUAUCCCUUCCUUCAGUUGCUUUCUAGGAAUAAUUACAGUUUCAUUCUUCCACUGGCACGAGCAAAGAAAAGAGGAAUAGAUGGCGACACCAGAAAGCUCUCGUGUAGCUCAGGCUACAUGGAACCUCUUAUCCUCAACCCUCCAGCCUUGCUUUGAGAUCCGUACUCUCCAACUAACUUACAACAAGAAGAUUUCUCUUUUUUGUUUCUCUCAAAUGAAGCAACAUAUGAAUUUCAAAGGGAAAGAAAAAGGGGCAGAGAUGGCGACACAUUGAAGAAUAGUCAUCCAGCAGCAUCUUCCACUCAACUAUUGUGUGUUGAUUGAGGACCUCACAACAACGAAAGACACACUAGUUAAAUACACAUCAAUAGUUUGCGUAGAAUCACAUCCCCCAACCAAACACAGCAUGCAAACACUACGUAGAAAAAUGGCAUCUUGCUCAACACCACUGUUGUACCUCUGCUUACUGCUGGUGCCAUGCCUUCUUCUCUUGGAAGAAGCGCAUGCGGCACGCCAUGGAGGGAUCUUGCUGAGGUCUCAACGUAUGGCCCUCCUCCGCUGGAAAGCUACACUUGCAGGCCCACCGCUGCAGAUGAGCUCUUGGCAGGAAAACACCAGCCCGUGCAACUGGACAGGCAUCAUGUGCACGGCUGUUCGCCAUGGCCGCCGUGUACCCAGGGUGGUGACCAACAUCUCCCUGCCGGAUGCGGGCAUCCAUGGCAAAUUUGGUGAGCUCAACUUCUCGUCUCUUCCAUUCCUCUCAUAUAUUGACCUACGUAACAACAGCCUCCAUGGUGCACUGCCUACUAGUAUCAGCUCUCUGUUAGCACUUUCGGUACUUGGCCUUACCUACAACCAGCUUACAGGGAAAAUUCCUAAUGAGAUUGGUGGUCUACAAAGUCUCAUGCAGCUUGAGCUAUCAUUUAACAGAUUCACAGGACAUAUCCCUGCGUCUCUAGGCAACCUGACAAUGUUAACUUAUCUUGGCAUUCACCAAAACUUGGUAUCAGGUCCCAUUCCUGGGGAGAUUGGAAGGCUCGUCAACCUACAACUUCUACAACUAAGCAACAGUAGCUUAAGCGGCAUGAUACCAAAAACCCUUGGAAAUCUGACCAAACUAAAUACUUUGUACUUGUUUGGUAAUCAACUUUCAGGGCCUAUACCCCAAGAACUUGGCAAGCUAGUCCAUUUGCAAAGUCUUGAGCUCGAUUCAAAUGAUUUUUCAGGUCCAAUUCCAAUCUCCAUAACCAAUCUCACUAAGAUGAACACACUUUUUCUCUUUGAAAAUCAAAUCACAGGUUCAAUACCCCCAGAACUAGGCAACCUCUCUAUGUUAACCCAACUUGAUCUCUACACAAAUCAAAUAACAGGUUCGAUACCACCAGAACUAGGGAACCUCACUAUGCUAACUGAACUUUUUCUUUAUACAAAUCAAAUAACAGGUUCAAUACCCAGAGAACUAGGCAACCUCGCUAUGCUAAACAACCUUGAUCUCUCUACAAAUCAAAUCACAGGUUCAAUACCCAGAGAACUAGGGAACCUCACUAUGCUAACUGAACUUUUUCUUUAUACAAAUCAAAUAACAGGUUCAAUACCCAGAGAACUAGGCAACCUCGCUAUGCUAAACAGCCUUGCUCUCUCUAGAAAUCAAAUCACAGGUUCAAUACCCAGAGAACUAGGCAACCUCACUAUGCUAACUGAACUUUUUCUUUAUAAAAAUCAAAUAACAGGUUCAAUACCCAGAGAACUAGGCAACCUCGCUAUGCUAAACAACCUUGCUCUCUCUAGAAAUCAAAUCACAGGUUCAAUACCCAGAGAACUAGGCAACCUCGCUAUGCUAAACAACCUUGCUCUCUCUAGAAAUCAAAUCACAGGUUCAAUACCCAGAGAACUAGGCAACCUCACUAUGCUGAAUAAACUUUAUCUCUACAGCAAUAAAAUCACGGGUCCUAUACCUUUAGAAUUGGGCAUCCUGUUGAAUCUUCAAGAAUUAUACUUGUCUGACAACCAAAUAACCGGUUCCAUUCCCUAAGAGAUUGGUGAUCUGAUGAAGCUCCAAUAUUUAGGCUUGUAUCAGAACCAAAUUUCAGGGUCAAUACCAAAAACUUUUGGGAAGCUGCAAAGCAUCCAAAAACUUCAAACCUUUUAUAACAACUUAUCAGGUUCUCUUCCUCAAGAAUUUGGAGAUCUAAUAAACCUUGUUCAUCUUGCGUUGUCUAACAACUCACUCUCAGGACCUUUACCAGAAAAUAUAUGUUUAGGUGGCAGACUUCAAACUCUCAGUGUCUUUUCCAAUAUGUUCAAUGGCCCCAUUCCUAGGAGUUUAAAGACAUGUACCAGUUUGGUUCGAAUUGACCUUGAGUCGAAUCAACUAACAGGAGAUCUCUCUCGGGAUUUUGGUGGGUAUCCACAACUCAUAAAGAUGAGCUUAGCAUCGAACAGAUUCUUUGGGCAAAUCUCACCAAAUCUAGGUGGAUGUACCCAGCUAACAGUACUACAUGCAUCUAUCACAUAAUAUGAUCACGGGUUCCAUAUCUCCAAUACUUUCUAAAUUGUCCAACCUAGUAGUACAAAGAUUAGAUUCUAAUAGUCUUAGUGGUGAGAUUCCACCAGAAAUCUGGACUUUAGCUAAUCUAUAUCAACUAAACUUAUCAUCGAACCAAUUAUCUGGAUCCAUACCUACACAUAUAGAAAAGCUAAGCAAUCUAGGAUACCUUGGUAUGUCUAGAAACAGACUGGGUGGAUUAAUACCUGAGGAACUAGGGUCAUGCACAAAACUACAGUCAUUGAAGCUCAAAGACAACAACUUCAGUGGGAGUUUGCCACCCGCGAUUGGAAAUUUAGCAGGCCUGCAGAUCAUGCUAGAUUUGAGCAACAAUAACCUCAGUGGUGUGCUGCCGCAGCAACUUGGGAAGUUGGAGAUGCUGGAAUCUCUGAAUUUAUCACAUAAUCAGUUUGGUGGCAGCAUUCCAUCCUCCUUUGCAAGCAUGGUGAGCCUUUCAACGCUUGAUGUGUCCUACAAUGACUUGGAAGGAUCAGUCCCAACAACACGGCUACUCCAAAAUGCUUCAGCAAGUUGGUUUGUUCCCAAUAAAGGUAUGUGCGGCAACCUCUCUGGCCUGCCACCUUGUUAUUCAACACCAGUAGCUGGCCACCACAAGAAGAAGACACUUGGUUUGCUUUUGCCAAUUGUUCUUGUUGCGGGUCUCAGCAUUAUUGUUGCAAUUGUUGUCAUAAUAAUGCUCAGUCGUAACAAGAAAAAACCCCAAGAAAGUGUCACUAUUGAAGGAAGGGACCUAUUCUAUAUUUGGAAUUUUGAUGGAAGGUUAGCAUUUGAAGAUAUUGUAAGGGCAACAGAAGACUUCGAUGAUAAGUACAUCAUUGGAACAGGAGGAUAUGGCAAAGUGUACAAGGCACAACUCCAAGAUGGGCAGCUAGUUGCUGUGAAGAAGCUUCACCAGACCCAAGAAGAGUUGGAUGACGAAAGAAGAUUUCGUCGUGAAAUGGAAAUCUUAUCACAGAUCAGACAACGAAGCAUUGUCAAAAUGUAUGGAUUCUGUUCCCACCCAGCAUAUAAAUUUCUCAUCUAUGACUACAUUAAGCAGGGAAGCCUCCACAUGACAUUGGAAAAUGAAGAGCUAGCAAAGGAAUUAGAUUGGCAGAAGAGAAUUGCUCUGGCAACUGAUGUGGCUCAGGCAAUAUCUUAUUUGCACCACGAAUGCAGUCCACCAAUAAUCCAUAGAGAUAUCACAAGCAACAACAUCUUACUUGAUACAAUCUUCAAGGCUUUUGUCUCGGAUUUUGGCACUGCAAGGAUUCUUAAGCCCGAUUCAUCAAACUGGAGUGCACUAGCAGGAACAUAUGGCUACAUAGCUCCUGGUAUGUACUAGUAUAACCUUCCUUCUCAUAUCAGAAAUAUUCAUCUCUUAUCCAUUUGUUCAUGAUUCUAAUAUUUUGAUUUUGUGCAGAACUCUCGUACACAUCUGUUGUGACGGAAAAAUGUGAUGUAUAUAGCUUUGGUGUGGUUAUGCUAGAGCUAGUGAUGGGGAAGCAUCCAAGGGAUCUAUUAGACGGUAGUUUGUCAAGCGGGGAACACGCUAUGCUGGUAAAAGAUAUUCUAGACCAACGGCCGACAACACCAACAGCAACAGAAGAGAAUAGCUUAGCUCUGCUCAUCAAGCUGGCCUUUUCUUGCUUGGAAUCUUCUCCACAAGCAAGGGCAACCAUGCGGGAGGCAUACCAAACACUCAUCCAGCGACCCUCUUCUAGCUCCUGCCCCAUGCCUUUCAGCGCACUUACAUUACAGCAAGGGAGUGAUGCAUGUUGAUAUAUGAUCUGAAUUCUAGUGAGAAGCCAAGGUCUAUCAUUGUGGAAGCCGAUUUAGGUUUAUGUUUUGCCUCGAGUCACUCAUAUACCAUCUAUAUAUGUAAAAGUCUGUAAUCAUCUCAUGUCAUCUCGUAGAUUUUAUUUCUAGCAAAAACAAUAACCGGUCCAUGCAGCAUGAGCCUGAUCACGACAUGGCCAGAUCAGUAGUUGCAUGCUAUUAUGAUCGCCUCGUGGGAUGGCACGAGUACCGGCUGUAGCGGCUUAGAACUUGAGGCAUGAUCAAGGGACGUGGGAUGGCAUGUCCGUAAAGCUUGGUCAUGGUGCAAGAUUAGGAUCUUUAUGUUAGCUAGUUGAGCUAAUGAGCUGUUUAAAUAAAGAGGAGAACAAAGCAGAAAGGCUGCAAUGGUUUACACAGAGCAAAUAUCCUGAGUGUCCACUGAUUCUUUUCCCUCCCUGUGCCUCGGGAUGAGUUCAUGACUCAUUGUAAGUGGUCGAUGCUUAAACAAGAACAAAUAAAUAUAAACACACGAAGCUAGGUGCAUAAAAAAGGAAAAUUACCAUAGGACUAAGCAAAAGAACUUAUGCGGGGUUGUAGGGCAAGAGUAUGAAGUCCUUAUCCUUAUGAUGGAGCAUUGUAUCCAGGAGUAUGUAGUCCUCGUCCUUCAGAUGGAACAACAAAUAAUUUACUACUACACUAAAUUUCAAACAUUGAUUGGUGGCGAGAUUGAAAUGGAACAGAGAUACAACCUUACUUUUUAUUCAUGUCUAACAAAUGCUUAACAAAGGAUGAGAUGAUAUGAUAUGCAAAGUCCCAGAUGACAGACAACAGUGAGAGCUAAGCUACUGAAUCAUAGACAUGAAGAGUUUGGUAUGAAUAUAUCCCAUACUCUUUUUACCAGAAAAGUAGGUACCAGUUCACCUUAAAAUUCAAUACAACGAAUUUGUCCAUGCACAAACAAAGCACUGCAGGCAGUCCUAGUUCAUCCUCCUGCACAAGCAGAGGAAAGCAAGCACAGCAAAUUAGUCUACUGGUUGAGACACAAGCAUAGACGUUCACUGAAACUGAAAUGAAGCAGAGUAUGUGUUGUGGUAUGAUAAGACUGAGACAACGGUUAUUGCUCCGAAAGCUCAGGAUCAAAUCCAUCAUAUAGCACAUAUAUGGCGUUAAAGUGGUUUGGAUGUGUUCCCGUGAGUUGUUUUUGCUAGUAAUAUCAAGCUAGGAUAAGCUCAGUGUUGUUCACACCAACUAUUUGAUUCAGUAACUUUAAGGUGAUAAUACCUGGUGUUUGAGUCAUCUAAGAAUAGCCAACUACAAAUAAGUCCCUCCUCAUCAAUGUCAUCUGGGACAUUGUAGUUUCUACCAAGAGUUUCUUGUAUUUCACUGCUCACAUCCAUAACAUCCAUCGUCUCGUCUUGCAUGCUCUGCGGAUUAUGAAUGCAGGUACGGAUUCAGAUGUAAUUCAAACAAAAUAAGCUGAAGAUCUUGAAAAUAUGAACAGUUAUGCUCCAUACAUCUAUAUCUUCAAUCCUGACAGUCUUCAUCAUCCCUUUCAGCUCUGUAUUGGCAGCUUUCAUUGCAGUCAUCUGUUAAAUGAAAAACAAUUCAACAUAAGUUUGGGUGCCAGAAUAAGAAUCUAUCAUGAACUUGACAGGAAACUAAGGCAACAUACAGUGUGUUGAGCAUCUUUAAUUCUGUCUGAUGCGAAAGCAAGUUGGUCAAGAUUAUAGGUUUGGUUGGACAGGAUGUCACGUUGACCUUCAUACCUGUAGGGAAAGGAUGUGGAGUAUAAAUAUUUGAGCCCUAUGAGCUCGGCUGACACAGUGAUCGAAAGCUGCGCAACCAAAACAACUUGAAACCGCAUAGCCUACUGCCACAAGAGGAAUGAUUAAAUGAUACAGGGUAAUCAGCGCCCUUUAACCAAUAGCAUUCCCACGUCUGUCUUGUCCAUGACAAGAACAUGCUAGCAUUCGAAAUCAGCGGCUUCUAUAGCAAGUAACCUAAGGAGAUAAGAACAAAACCUUUUACAUGUAAGGAAAUUUUGAAACAACACAAAAAUGGUUUAUUAUUGUAAAGAAGGGGGAAAAAAUCUAAAGGUGUAUGAGAGCACAUCAACCAGAUUCGGGAUUCAGCUAUAUAUACCUUCUUGGACAACCUUUUAGAUGUUGACUUGUAACAUUGGUGGAUGGCAGCAUGGACCGGCGAGCGACCGCGAAGAGAGGAGAAGAAGACGUCGCUGCAGCGCGUUGUGGGCAUUUCAUCGAACAUGUGGUGUGCGGGAGCAGAUCUUCCGAAUCCUCGUCCUGCCACAGAAAUCGGUGCUCAAACUACCAAAAUCAGCAUCAAGCCAGUUUUGUUCAUCCGUGGCAUGGCAUCAAUCAACGGAAGUUGUAGGAUUUGGUAGAACGAGAGAGCACCUACUGACACCGAUAUGAGCNNNNNNNNNNNNNNNNNNNNNNNNNNNNNNNNNNNNNNNNNNNNNNNNNNNNNNNNNNNNNNNNNNNNNNNNNNNNNNNNNNNNNNNNNNNNNNNNNNNNNNNNNNNNNNNNNNNNNNNNNNNNNNNNNNNNNNNNNNNNNNNNNNNNNNNNNNNNNNNNNNNNNNNNNNNNNNNNNNNNNNNNNNNNNNNNNNNNNNNNNNNNNNNNNNNNNNNNNNNNNNNNNNNNNNNNNNNNNNNNNNNNNNNNNNNNNNNNNNNNNNNNNNNNNNNNNNNNNNNNNNNNNNNNNNNNNNNNNNNNNNNNNNNNNNNNNNNNNNNNNNNNNNNNNNNNNNNNNNNNNNNNNNNNNNNNNNNNNNNNNNNNNNNNNNNNNNNNNNNNNNNNNNNNNNNNNNNNNNNNNNNNNNNNNNNNNNNNNNNNNNNNNNNNNNGAAUGGCGGCGAGAAGAGGUGGCGGACGUGGUCGGUGGCGUUGCCGACGAGUGGACACCGCAGUCGCUCGACGGCGGGGACGGAGCUCGCGGCGGGGACACAUGCAGUACAAUUUGUUUGCAUAAAAUUUAAACAAAUCACACCACUCAAUUAAAUUUUUGUGACAUUUAAAAAUGUUCGCACGUUCAAAAAAAUACGUUAAUGAAAAAUUGGAAAACAAGUUUUUCCAUGCUCAACAUGUAUCAAAAAAAUAUUCGUAUGUAUAUGGAAAAUGUACAACAUGUAUUGAAAAAAAAAAACUUCAGUGUGUAUUUAAAAAAAUAUUCAUCUUGUAUUUAAAAAAUUAUCGAGGUGCAUCAAAAAAAUGUUAAACAUGUACUUGAAAAAUGGUUAACAUGUUCAAAGACGUAUUUUACAAAAUGUCCAUCAUGCAUUUGAAAAAUAUUCAGUGUGUAUAAAAAAGUAGAACCUGUACUAGAAAAAUUCUGUCAUGUAUUUGAAAAAAAUAAAAUGAAAACUGAACGGAAAAGCAAAAGAACCAUACGACACCCGCGAAGGAAAACUUAGUAAAAGACAAAAGAGAAAACUACAUGGAACCUUCCAAAAACCGGUGAAAGGUUCCACGAGCUGGUGUAGAAACUUCACAACACCGCACGUGUACAUGUUAAUUGGACCGGCUCGACCUACUGCUCACCUACUGUGUUAGGUAUUGCAGUAGGCGAGAUAUUGGUCUGGCGCUCCUAUUCAUCGCUUUUAGCGAGCGCUAGGGUACGAGUCCCUCGCCGGUCACCCCUAAAUAGGUCUGACCCGUCAGCGGGAGCAAGCACCUGCGAGCGAGCGCUGUGGCACCAGCGAGCCACGUUGGCCGUUUUUGUUUUGUCCAAAAAUUGCAAUUUUUUAUUGUUUGCAAAUUCAAAAUUCUGAACAUUUUUGGAAACGAUAAAUCCUUCAAGAAAUUUUGAAUAUUUUCUAAAAAGUGAACUCUUUCGAAACACGAACAAAUGUUGAAACACAAAAAAUAUAUCCAAAGCAAAAAACAAUAGAAAUUAUAAAAACUUUUAAAUUACUUUUUAAAAUGCACAAUUAAAAAUUAAUAUGUAUUAUUAUGAACAUUUAUUUAUAUAAGAUGAAUAUUUUUAAUAUAUGGUGAACAACUUUACAAAAUACAUGCUGAAGAAUUAUUGAAUAUGCAAUGAACAUUUUAUUUGUGUACAAUGAACUUUUCUUAAUAUACGGUGAAUAAUUUGUAACUACAUUGAUCAUUUUAUGUUUUGCGGUUAACAAUAUUUGAAAAUCGCAAACAAUUUUUGAUGUCUUGAACAAAUUUUGAGAAAUGUGAAAACUUUUCGAAAAUUUCUUGAAAUUGUGAUCAAAAUUUGAAAUUCCGAACAUAUUUUGGUAAAACAAAAAAAUAUUUCAAAAACUUUUUUUUCAUAAAAACAUGAACAAUCUCGAAAUUCUGAACAUUUACUGAAAAUGUUGAAAUUAAAAAUAAAACAAAUUAACCAUAAAAGGUAAAAAACCUGGAAGGAAAAAAUAAAAAAAAAUAAAACUAUUAUUUUUGUGUCAUGUAUUUAAAAAGGAAAAGGUAAAAGAGGAGAAAGGAAAACGAAAAAAAAAAGAAACCAAAGAAGGAAAAGAAAAGGCAGAAAUAGAAACCUGGUACAAAAAACAAGCAGAAAACACAGAGAAGAAAAAACAUCUGAACUUCCCAAAACCGUUGGGAACGCUUCCGCUCAAUGGACUGGCCCGCUGGACGCGCCUGUAGGCGAUUGACGUCGCAACACUCGCAAAGAACGACAUAUAUCAUUUGUGAUAUAGCUCUCGCGCUUGGUGAAGGCAAUUCCAGUCAACUGUGUGUGCGUGCCAAGCUUUUUGCGAUUUGGUGCCCAUGAUGGACCUCACAAUUACGAUGGGCUCAAGUAUUCCACACCACACAAAAUGAUGGCCCGAAAACGGCCCAAGGUCUAGACUGGAGAGCUGAAACGGCCCAAAGAAACAGAUGUAGGAUGAGUAAAAAAAAAGACCUAUUAAACGGGUCGCCCGUGCCUUGUUAAUGAUUGCCUGGAAGCCCUUCACGCCAGGCAUGGGCCCAAAGUUAUUACAACGGAUCCUUAAAGUUUUUUACAGCGGAAAGCAUGCCCUUGUAUCUCAUGCUAGAACUCCACGCAUCGCCCUGUUACCGGCACAAUUCUCGAGGGACGUGUCGCUGUUUUGCCCUCCACAUAUGCCUUCAUAAGACCAUAGUAGAAAUUGUAUGUUGUGCAACUUCUUCCCUUGAUUCCUCCGCAACUCAUCCAUCGUCGUCGACAGGGAAGCACAGAUCUAGAGUCACACACGACCGUGAUGGCAAGCAGGAGUGACGCAACCGUUGACCUUGAGGGCCGGAACGCCACAACAGAAGAUACUAUGAUUUGACAUUCUUUCUUGCUCCGCUAGAAUGGCUGCAAAGUCCAAAGUCCCUGGGAGCUGGUUAGUCUCCAUGACUUCUUUCGACCACCUACAAGAUAUGGUCGCUCCAAGUUUUCUGCCUGACUGGCGCGUCCUCCUUUGGCUCCAUGUAUUUCUACACGUAAAGAAACACAUGGAAUUACCCCUCAAAAAACACAUGGAAUUUUCCUUAAUCACAACUAUUAGUAUAUUAAUCUUUUUAUAAUAAACACAAUUAAACUUCAAAAUGGAUAGAUAUGUUCUCACUGAUGUUUGUCUCUGAAAUUGGAGAUGUUCUAUUCGCAAUAUAUUAGCAAAUCUUUGGAAGCAUUUGGGCUUGGUGUUGUCGUUGUGAGAUCGGUGUUGUCGUUGUGAGAUCGUGAGGAUCAUCUUGGUGUCGUGGCCCUAGAUUGUAAUCAAUGAAUGGCGAAUGAUGAAAUUUGUGAGUCAUUCCAACAAAUGGGUUUUGUCAACGGAGUACAUAUAGUAUAUUUUUGUAGCCAGGCCAGCCAAUGAUCCCAUGUCUAUAGGUGUUGUAAUAUUAAAAUUAGCCCAAUUUCCCUGCAAUUAACAUGGAAACUCUCUUUAACUUAACUGGUAUAUGGAUUAAAUGGAGGAAGUGUCAAUCAAGUCCAUUAAGAAAAAAAUUGAUGAAAAAUCUAUCUAUAUUCAUAUCCAAACAAUCAUUAGACGUAAAUCAGCUCCACACUUAAGGAACAUUGGCACAACGCCUAUUUUUUCAUAUAAGAAAAUAUAGAUCAUGAGGGCAUGUAUAAUGGUUGAUAAGAUUGUCUUAUUUGUCCCCCAUGUAAUCUAAAGAAGACAACAAAAAAUGAUGUACAAUGUAUUACUCUUAGUCUUAUCUCUAAUAACAAGAUAUUCCUAAUUAUGUGGUGAGAGAAUUGUUGCUAAGAGAUCAUCUCUUAAUGAAGAGAAGGCAAGUCUUUUCUUAUGGUUUCUCUCUCCUCCACCUCUACAAUUAUCCUAUGUGGCACUUCUAAGCUAAGACCAUUGUAUAUGCCCUCAUACAUCCAUUCUUUGGAUGUAAUUAAAUCAAGUCCAUUUUUAAUGAUUAUUGGCAUAAAUUGAUCUAUAUUCAUAUAAAAAGAUAGGCCAUCAAGCAAUCAUUAAUUGGAUGUAAACCAAGUCCAUAUUUAAUGAACAUUAAUUAAACAAUUGAUUUAUACCCACCUCUAGAAAGAUUAUUUCACCGGAUGACUACCCAUUAAAUGUUCAAUGCAUGAUCAGUACAAUGCAAUCUAAAACUUUCUAAAGAAAGAACCUGGCUCAAUUCUAUAUAAGUUGUGUUCUAUAAAGAAGAUACAAGUACGUCAGGAAUCACAUAGUUACUAUUUCAUUGAAAAUAGCACAAUUACCUAUACAAAUGGGAGGUGAUUAUGUUGUCAUAUCGGUCUUACUAUGCUUUUUGUGUAUAACUUUCCACCUCACCUUUGUUGAAUCGAUAGACGUAGAUGUCAAUCUCCAGACGAAUGAGAAGGUAACCAAUAUUUUACUUUUAGAUUUUGAUAUAUACAACUUCUUAUCAAUUGGUUUAUGUAUUAUCCCAUUGUUGUAUCUACUUGACCACUUAAUCUUGAUAAUUAUUAUUGGUGUUUAUCAUUCAUAACUACUUUAUGUUACUUAUAUGCCCAACUAAAAUGUAGGACACACAUGUGAAAUGAAUACUUAUCUUUCAAAGACUUUGUACAUCAAUUAUAUAUGCUAACUACUCAUGAACUAUUAUUUCCCUCUGCAGAACACCACUCUUUUAAGACCUAAGCAUUUCCAUUUUCCUUGGAGAGCUAAUAUCAUGGAUGAAGGAAGCGGCAUUAUUUCCCAUGUACACACACUCUCCCCCAUUCUCUGUAUAUAUCUCUCUUUACCUUUUCAUGUGUUAGAUUUGGGAUGUUUUGUUGAUUUGUUGGUGAGUGUUGAUCACAAGAGGCAAAGCCAAAGUAUUUUCAAUAUAAGCAUCACAUAUUUAAACCACGGAGAAAAAAAGUAGCAAUCUACAUUCAUUAAUGAUGUACCUAAAUCAUAGUUGGUCAAGCUAAAUUCUGGUCAAUGGCCCAAGAGACAUGGUCGUACAUAAAGACCAAAUAAAAGACAUAGACCUAAAUGAACUAAGCUUGAUGCCCUAUAUACCGCGAAAGCUAGGAUCAUUACAUAUAAAGCAUGCUACCAAAAUAACGUGAACAACAGAUUCAGAAAGGCAUUUAAGACAUACUCUAUAUAGGAGACUUAUGCUGACAUACCAACUUUAUUGGCAAUACACUUCACACCUAUCAGAGAGAGAAUCAAAUCUUGUUUCACCCAUGCCACAAGGAGGAUAGAAGAUGUUGUUAGCCCAAGAACCUAAGUAAGACCAUCGAAAAUGCACAUGAACUAAAGCUUUGCAUGCAUCACCACAAAGGGUCUAAUAGCAUUGGAUUGACACCACACCCCGUGGAGUAAGCUAAAUCCAGUAUGAUAUACUCAACAAGGCCUAUGAAAACAAAUCUAGACUAACUCCAAGAUAGCAUGAAAGAUUCCCCAUUGUAAAUGUCUGGUAGGUGAACCUCAUACCAAGGCCAAGAACGCACACCCUCACUUGUUUAUUAUGUCGUUCGCUAUAGAUUUUUCCGGUUAUUUACUAAUUUGCUAUAAUUUUCUAUCACUAGUAUGCAAUGUGGCACACAGAGCCAGGACAAUUCUACGGCCUUCGAGCUGACAUGAGUAUAUGGGCUUCACCAAAUCAAGGAACUUCUCAAGAAUCUGGAGCAUCCUUACAGAUCUAUUGUCAAGAUGGAGGAAACUACAACUUAAUUCAAGUUGGAUUUCAUGUACAAACAUAUCACCCAUUAUGGUAAAGUCAAAUUCUUUUGAAUAAACAACUAUUUCAUAAUUUGCUUCUACUUGCAGAUUUCCCCCUCUUUAUACCAUAACAGAGAUAUUCGCUUCUUUACAUAUUGGACCGUAAGUAUAAUCAAUGCCAUUUUAACAAGUUAUAUAUUAUUGUGGUCCCCAUAUAGUUUUAUGGUAUUUCGUAGGAGUUAGAGGCACUAUUGGACUAAGUAAAGGUCUCUUUACAUCCACAAUAAUACAUGUUUCCUCUUUUUUUGUUGCUCAGAAGGACUUGAAACCGAAGGGGUGCUACAACUUGCAGUGCUCAGGAUUUGUUUCUGCAAGUCGAGCUAAUCUGGUGCCUGGACAAGCCAUGGCUCCUCCAUCAAUUUAUGGCAAACAAGACCACUACGUUAGGCUUAGCCUCAACAAGGUGCACCAUUUGUCCCAUUCUAGAGAUUACUAUAUCGAUAUAAAUUCACAAAUGUGCUCCUAUUUUUUCUAUAACUAGAUGAAACAUGCACGUUCCUGCAGUAACCCCAUUGAAUGAAACAUGUAAAUAGAUGCUAUAAGAGCAACUACAAAAGAGAAAAGGUAGGAUUGUGGUUAACAGAAUGUCAUUUUUCUAUCAAAAAUGUGAAACAUGAACUACAUAAGUAUCCUCAGAGUGUCCAACACAUGAUCCAUUCACGACAACAAAAAAUAAACGCAAAAACAGUAAUUUAUGAGGGGCAUGCAUGACUUGCUGGCGUGUAGGACUGCAUGGAUAGGAAAAACAAGCACAUAUGAAAAAUAUAACUUAUACGAACAUGCAUGACUUGUUGAUGUGGUAUGGCUGCACACAUAGAAAGAAAAGUAAACGUAUAACUAACAUGUAUGACUUGUUGACGUGGCAUGGCUGCUUGAAUAGGAAAAAUAGGUAGUGUAUUGCAACUAUUUAAGAAUAGAGGAUUAAAAUUAACAAAGAUAGAUUUUAUGAAUGUUAAAAUUAGUUAGGCAUAAAUUCACAUGGUUACUAAGUAACAUGCUUUCUAUUUUAUUAAGAAAAUAUGGAACAUUGGAAUCUAGGAAAUUGUACGCCACCCAAGAUUCUUGCUAAUAACAACAUGUUUUCUGGAGUACUCUGCUUGUGCAUGAAAUUUAUUGUUCAUGGAUGUCAUCAAUCCCUUGUUGACUACAGGAUCCAAAUUCCGGAGAUUGGGUGGUGUACCGUCAUGAUUUACAGAAACCAUCAUUCUUGGGACAUUUUCCAAAUAAGCUUUGCCCCGGAACACCACGUAUACAAGCCUUGACUGGAUUCGUGAAUUACUUGAAGAAUGCACAUGGUCCUCCAAUGGGUAGCGGCCACUUCCCCGAUUAUGACGAUAAGAGAUCUGCGUACUUCAAGCACAUUCAGAACUACAAUCCAAAUGGUCAUUCUUCCGACCUCUUUGGCAUUCCCAUGAUCAAGUUAGUUGAUAGGCCAGAUUGUUAUGGAGCGAAUAAUUUAUUUCUUGAAUAUAAGAAGGGUUAUAUGUUCAACUAUUGUGGACCAAGUGGUUGUGUUGGUUGACAACAAAAGUUGUAUUGCCAUUUGGAUUCAAUAAACAAAAAAUAUGUUACUUAAUGGUCAAAGACUAUCACUUAAGCCAUUCCCAACACGUGCGGUUGUGACGGGGAGCUAGGUAAUUCAUGUUUAAGUAAUGGAAAUUGAUUAUAUUCAAACGACUGAUUACUUGCGGGUGUAAACCUCCUCCGACGCCCGCCACGCGUCCCUAUGGACCUACUCAACGUUUAUCCAUCUGCCACCCUUAUCUCUUCUUCUACGCGCCCGAACCACUCUUUUUUUUUNNNNNNNNNNNNNNNNNNNNNNNNNNNNNNNNNNNNNNNNNNNNNNNNNNNNNNNNNNNNNNNNNNNNNNNNNNNNNNNNNNNNNNNNNNNNNNNNNNNNCUUAUCCAACUAAUCAUUUGGUUUGUUGUGUUUGGUGCAACUACUUACUAGCGAGAUUUUGGAUUUUCUUGAUAGUUGCUUUUUGCUGAAAUCAUCUGGUUGUAAGGAAUGUUGGAUAACGACCAAUGACUCAUCUUCUUCACUUUACACUGCAAACAUUGAUCUAGAUUAUGUCCCUUUUUGAAAUUUAGUUUGUGAAGCUCUACAUGUUGUUAGGCUUAUCCAUAUUGGCAUGGCUUGAGUGGAACUAAGUUUGUAAGCUUGUGUGCGUCAUUAUGAUGGAUCACACUAUUAAUGUGAUGAUUGUUCUAGAAAUUAUCUUUCCAAAACUGACUUUAUGUUUUUUUGCCCAAUAUGAUUCUAAGUUGGAUAACUAGACAUGACUCAUCAAAUAACAAGAUAAACCGAGUAGCAAGUUGGGGGUUAUAAGUUAUAACAUGGACUUUUCUCUAAGAUACACCAUCUUGUCUUGCAUGCUAUGUGGAUUUCAAAAGCAUCUACUAAUUUAGAUGCAAUUGAAACAAAAGUAGACCGGAAAGAUAAGCAAUGAAAUGAGAAUACUAUUAUGUGAAGCUCUACAUGUCUGGUAAGCAGUAAGAUACUGGAUACAUCUAUAUCUUCAAUCCUGACAGUUUUUCUCAUCCCCAUCAACUCUUUAUUGGCUGCCUUUACUGUAGUCAUCCCUUAAAUAAAAAUCACUUAAAGAUAAGUUUGGGAGCUAGUACCAGCAUCUAUCAUGUACAAGAUAGAAAACUAAGGCACAUAUAGUAGUCUAUCGACCAUAUUUAAUUUCUUGUGAUGUGAAAGCAUGUGGAGUAUAAGCUCGUUAAAUAUAAAGUUGUCCUUCAUACCAGUAAGGAAAGAAUAUGCAGUAUAAAGAUUAGAGCAUUGGAUUAAUAUGCUAUUAAAUGCUACAGGAUAAUCGACAGUUCAAGUUAAGAACAACAAUAGCAUUCCAACUUUUGUCUUAUGCAAGUUAAGAACAUGCUAACAAAGUAACCUAAGCAAAUAAGUGCCAAACCUUCACCUAUAAGGAAGUUUUGAAACUACACAAAAUGACCUAUUUUAACGAAGGAAAAAAUCUAAAGGUGAAUGAAAGCACGUUAAGUACAUUCAGGAUUCGGUUAUGCCUUCGUGGAUAACCUUUUAGAUGGUGACUUGUCAACCUUGAUGUGUGUCGGCAUGGAACGAGGACAAGAAGACGUCGUUGUGUCGUACUUUGGGAAUUUCAUCAAACUGGUUGUGCGCGGGAACAAAUAUUUGUCGCCUCCCUACUCAAAUCUCUCUUCAUGUCACUGAAUCCGACACUCCACCUACCAAAUCUGCUGCAAGCCAGGGACAAUCAACAGGUUUCUCCGCCCGUAGCAUCUAUCACCAAAAGAAGUUCAGACUAUAGUCUUGUAGUUCAAAAUUUUGUAAUAACAAGCACUACUAGGUUGCUUUUGUUUGUACGUCUUCAUUCUAUACAACCCAUGGAACUAAAAAUGCAUUGGUCAUUCUUCGGUAUAUACAACCAAUGCAACCAAAAAUGCAUUGGGCUUUUCUUUGUACAUCUUCAGGUUCUACAACCAAUGCAACAAAAAAUCCAUUGGGCAGUCUUCCAUUCUAGUCGGGCACCAAUAGUUAAACGAGGAGCUAAACAGUGUUGGAGUCUAAAACUACAUACAAUCAUGAAGCAGAGAGAUGCGACUUGGAAGCUGUGCUCCUGUGAGCUCGUAUUUUUUGAAGAAAAAAGUAAUAUUUGAAUUUUGAAGUGGAAAAAAUCCUAAAAAGGGAUGUUUUGCGGGUUAUAACUUACUAUUUUUGAGUCCUGGGCUGCAGGAAGGUCGUCAAAAAUCAAUGUGUUUUCCCAUUCAUGCAUGUUUCUUGGGUUAUAGGUCACGCUUUUGGUGUCCUAAGGAGAUCACUUCCCUAGUCAGGAACAUUAGGUGAUGAUUUUUAGCAAAACUCAUUGUUUUAGCCUAACUAGUUUCGAGGAUUGGUGGACGAGAUUAUCAUGGAACAAAGUGACAACCUUCCUUUUCUUCAUGCCUAAUAUAAACUUAGCAGUCAGCUAAAAGUAACUAGCGAUAUCAUCGAAUGUUUUUUGUCAAAAGUAGAUACCACUUCAGGAUUCAACUCGGUUAGUUCAAUCACAGACAUGUUAAGAGCAGGAUUUACAACUAACUGCAUAGGCAACAUCUCCUUUUAUCGCCCACUAUAUGUCUUUGCACUUUGGUUUUCCCGUAGCAGCAAACAAAGCACUUUGUUAGUACCAAUAAUGUGCGCCAACUCUACACAUUAAUCAUCUUGAAUUCUUCUACUGAUGUUGAACAAUGUUAUAUCUUGAAUUCUUCUAACGAGUUCGGAUUAGACUACAUGGGCAAUUUAUGUGGUCCCUGAGAUGCAAGGUCGAUGAACAAUCGCUUCGUCUUAUGACGAGGGAUUGUUUUUGCCUAAGAAACCAAUACAUGUAACUUCGACACCAGAUUAAUAAUUGGUAAAACCCAAAUAAAUUAGAUCACGAGCUAAACCAUUUACUUUUGUAUGCAUUUAAACUGUUGAUACAUAUGAGCUUGUUAAGAUGUUCGCAUAAACACCAUGGUGAUUUGAAGCAAGACAAAGUAAACUUGAACCGCUUGAGCCAUUGACUUAAUAAGAACCUCCUUUCCCGUGGCAGAGAUUGUUUUUAAUACAUCCACUCACUUUGGUUCUCUUGUGAAAUCUGAUUCCUUCACCAAGGCUAUUGCUCCAGUAUUGUCACAAAAGAUUUUUAUUGGACCCGAUGCACUAGUUAUGACACCUAGAUCAUAUAUGAACUCCUUCAUCCCGACUCCUUCAUUUGCUGCUUCCGAAGCAGCUAUGUACUCCUCUUCACACGUAGAUCCCUCCACGAUGCUUUGCUUGGAACUGGACCAACUGACAGGUCCACCAUUCAAUAUAAAUACAUAUCCGGUUUGUGACUUAGAGUCAUCCGGAUCAGUGUCAAAGCUUGCAUCGACGUAACUAUUUACGACGAGCUCUUUGUCACCUCCAUAAACGAGAAACAUAUCCUUAGUCCUUUUCAGGUAUUUCAGGAUGUUCUUGACUGCUGUCUGGUGAUCCACUCCUGGAUUACUUUGGUACCUCCCUGCUAAACUAAUAGCAAGGCACAUAUCAGGUCUGGUACACAGCAUUGCAUACAUGAUAGAACCUAUGGCUGAAGCAUAGGGAAUGACUUUCAUUUUCUCUCUAUCUUCUACAGUGGUCGGGCAUUGAGUCUGACUCAACUUCACACCUUGUAACACAGGCAAGAACCCUUUCUUUGCUUGAUCCAUUUUGAACUUCUUCAAAACUUUAUCAAGGUAUGUGCUUUGUGAAAGUCCAAUUAACUGUCUUGAUCUAUCUCUAUAGUUCUUGAUGCCCAAUAUAUAAGCAGCUUCACCGAGGUCUUUCAUUGAAAAAUUCUUAUUCAAGUAUCCUUUUAUGCUAUCCAGAAAUUCCGUAUCAUUUCCGAUCAACAAUAUGUCAUCCACAUAUAAUAUCAGAAAUGCUACAGAGCUCCCACUCACUUUUUUGUAAAUACAGGCUUCUCCAAAAGUCUGUAUAAAACCAUAUGCUUUGAUCACACUAUCAAAGCGUAUAUUCCAACUCCGAGAGGCUUGCACCAGUCCAUAAAUUGAUCGCUGGGGCUUGCACACUUUGUUAGCACCUUUUGGAUCGACAAAACCUUCUGGUUGCAUCAUAUACAACUCUUCUUUAAGAUAUCCAUUAAGAAAUGCAGUUUUGACAUCCAUUCGCCAAAUCUCAUAAUCAUAAAAUGCGGCAAUUGCUAACAUGAUUCGGAAAGACUUAAGCAUCGCUACGGGUGAGAAGGUCUCAUCAUAGUCAACUCCGUGAAUUUGUCGAAAACCUUUCGCAACAAGUUGAGCUUUGUAGACAGUAACAUUACCGUCAGCGUCAGUCUUCUUCUUGAAGAUCCAUUUAUUCUCUAUGGCUUGCCGAUCAUCGGGAAAGUCAACCAAAUCCACACUUUGUUCUCAUACAUUGAUCCCAUCUCAGAUUUUAUGGCCUCAAGCCAUUUUGAGAAAUCUGGGCUCAUCAUUGCUUCCUCAUAGUUCGUAGGUUCGUCAUGGUCGAGUAACAUGACCUCCAGAACAGGAUUACCGUACCACUCUGGUGCGGAUCUUACUCUGGUUGACCUACGAGGUUCAGCGGUAACUUGAUCUGAAGUUUCAUGAUCAUCAUCAUUAGCUUCCUCACUAAUUGGUGUAGGAAUCAUUGGAACUGAUUUCUGUGAUGAACUACUUUCCAAUUUGGGAGCAGGUACAAUUACCUCAUCAAGUUCUACUUUCCUCCCACUCACUUCUUUCGAGAGAAAGUCCUUCUCUAGAAAGGAUCCUUUCUUAGCAACGAAUAUCUUGCCUUCGGAUCUGUGAUAGAAGGUGUGCCCAACAGUCUCCUUUGGGUAUCCUAUGAAGACACAUUUCUCCGAUUUGGGUUCGAGCUUAUCAGGUUGAAGCUUUUUCACAUAAGCAUCGCAGCCCCAAACUUUAAGAAACGACAACUUGGGUUUCUUGCCAAACCACAGUUCAUAUGGUAUCAUCUCAAUGGAUUUAGAUGGUGCCCUAUUUAACGUGAAUGCAGCCGUCUCUAAAGCAUAACCCCAAAAAGAUAGCGGUAAAUCAGUAAGAGACAUCAUAGAUCGCACCAUAUCUAAUAAAGUGCGGUUACGAUGUUCGGACACACCAUUAUGCUGUGGUGUUCCGGGUGGCGUGAGUUGCGAAACUAUUCCGCAUUGUUUCAAAUGAAGACCAAACUCGUAACUCAAAUAUUCACCUCCAUGAUCAAAUCGUACAAACUUUAUUUUCUUGUUACGAUGUUUUUCCAAUUCACUCUGAAAUUCUUUGAAUUUUUCAAAUGUUUCAAACUUAUGUUUCAUCAAGUAGAUAUACCCUGCUCAAAUCAUCUGUGAAGGUCAGAAAAUAACGAUACCCGCCGCGAGCCUCAACACUCAUCGGACCGCAUACAUCAGUAUGUAUUAUUUCCAACAAGUCUGUUACUCGCUCCAUUAUUCCAGAGAACGGAGUCUUAGUCAUCUUGCCCAUGAGGCAUGGUUCGCAAGCAUCAAGUGAUUCCAAAAGUCCAUCAUGAUGGAGUUUCUUCAUGCGCUUUACACCAAUAUGACCUAAACGGCAGUGCCACAAUAAGUUGCACUAUCAUUAUUAACCUUGCAUCUUUUGGCUUCAAUAUUAUGAAUAUGUGUGUCACUACUAUCGAGAUUCAACAAAAAUAGACCACUCAUUAAGGGUGCAUGACCAUAAAAGAUAUUACUCAUAUAAAUAGAACAACCAUUAUUCUCUGAUUUAGAUGAAUAACCGCCUCGCAUCAAACAAGAUCCAGAUAUAAUGUUCAUGCUUAACGCUGGCACCAAAUAACAAUUAUUCAGGUCUAAAACUAAUCCCAACGGUAGAUGUAGAGGUAGCGUGCCGACGGCGAUCACAUCGACUUUGGAACCAUUUCCCACGCGCAUCGUCACCUCGUCCUUAGCCAAUCUUCGCUUAAUCCGUAGCCCCUGUUUCGAGUUGCAAAUAUGAGCAACAGAACCAGUAUCAAAUACCCAGGCGCUACUACGAGCAUUAAUAAGGUACACAUCAAUAACAUGUAUAUCAAAUAUACCUUUCACUUUGCCAUCCUUCUUAUCCGCCAAAUACUUGGGGCAGUUCCGCUUCCAGUGACCAGUCCCUUUGUAGUAGAAGCACUCAGUCUCAGGCUUAGGUCCAGACUUGGGCUUCUUCACUUGAACAACAACUUGCUUGUCGUUCUUCUUGAAGUCCCCUUCUUCCCUUUGCCCUUUUUCUUGAAACUAGUGGUCUUGUUAACCAUCAACACUUGAUGCUCCUUCUUGAUUUCUACCUCUACAGCCUUUAGCAUUGCGAAGAGCUCGGGAAUUGUCUUAUCCAUCCCUUGCAUAUUAUAGUUCAUCAUGAAGCUUUUGUAGCUUGGUGGCAGUGAUUGAAGAACUCUGUCAAUGACACUAUCAUCAGGAAGAUUAACUCCCAGUUGAGUCAAGUGGUUGUGGUACCCAGACAUUCUGAGUAUAUGUUCACUGGUAGAACUAUUCUCCUCCAUCUUGCAGCUGUAGAACUUAUUGGAGACUUCAUAUCUCUCAAUCCGGGCAUUUGCUUGAAAUAUUAACUUCAACUCCUGGAACAUCUCAUAUGCUCCAUGACGUUCAAAACGUCGUUGAAGUCCCGAUUCUAAGCUGUAAAGCAUGGCACACUGAACUAUCGAGUAGUCAUCGGCUUUGCUUUGCCAGACGUUCAUAACGUCCGGUGUUGCUCCUGCAGCGGGUCUUGCACCUAGCGGUGCUUCCAGGACGUAAUUCUUCUGUGUGACAAUGAGGAUAAUCCUCAAGUUACGGACCCAGUCCGUGUAGUUCCUACCAUCAUCUUUCAAGUUAGCUUUCUCUAGGAACGCAUUAAAAUUCAAAGGAACAGUAGCACGGCCAUUGAUCUACAACAACAUAGACAUGCAAAAUACUAUCAGGUACUAAGUUCAUGAUAAAUUAAAGUUCAAUUAAUCAUAUUAAUUAAGAACUCCCACUUAGAUAGACAUCCCUCUAGUCAUCUAAAUGAUCACGUGAUCCAUAUCAACUAAACCAUGUCUGAUCAUCACGUGAGAUGGAGUAGUUUCAAUGGUGAACAUCACUAUGUUGAUCAUAUCUACUAUAUGAUUCACGCUCGACCUUUCGGUCUCAGUGUUCCGAGGCCAUAUCUGCAUAUGCUAGGCUCUUCAAGUUUAACCCAAGUAUUCUGCGUGUGCAAAACUGGCUUGCACCCGUUGUAUGUGAACGUAGAGCUUAUCACACCCGAUCAUCACGUGGUGUCUCGGCACGACGAACUGUAGCAACGGUGCAUACUCAGGGAGAACACUUGUACCUUGAAAUUUAGUGAGAGAUCAUCUUAUAAUGCUACCGCCGUACUAAGCAAAAUAAGAUGCAUAAAGGAUAAACAUCACAUGCAAUCAAAAUAAGUGAUAUGAUAUGGCCAUCAUCAUCUUGUGCCUUUGAUAUCCAUCUCCAAAGCACCGUUAUGAUCACCAUCGUCACCGGCUUGACACCUUGAUCUCCAUCGUAGCAUCAUUGUCAUCUCGCCAACUAUUAUUUCUACGACUAUCGCUACCGCUUAGUGAUAAAGUAAAGCAAUUAGAUGGCGAUUGCAUUUCAUACAAUAAAGCGACAACCAUAAGGCUCCUGCCAGUUGCCGAUAACUUUUACAAAACAUGAUCAUCUCAUACAACAAUUUAUAUAUCAUCACGUCUUGACCAUAUCACAUCACAGCAAGCCCUGCAAAAACAAGUUAGACGUCCUCUACUUUGUUGUUGCAAGUUUUACGUGGCUGCUACGGGCUUCUAGCAAGAACCGUUCUUACCUACGCAUCAAAACCACAACGAUUUUUCGUCAAGUGUGUUGUUUUAACCUUCAACAAGGACCGGGCAUAGUCAAACUCGAUUCAACUAAAGUUGGAGAAACAGACACCCACUAGCCACAUGUGUGUGAAGCACGUCGGUAGAACCAGUCUCAUGAACGCGGUCAUGUAAUGUCGGUCUGAGCCGCUGCAUCCAACAAUACCGCCGAAUCAAAGUAAGACGUUGUUGGUAAGUAGUAUGACUAUUAUCGUCCACAACUCAUUGUGUUCUACUCGUGCAUAUAACAUCUACACAUAGACCUGGCUCGGAUGCCACUGUUGGGGAACGUCGUAUUUCAAAAAAAAUCCUACGAUCACGCAAGAUCUAUCUAGGAGAAGCAUAGCAACGAGCGGGGAGAGUGUGUCCACGUACCCUCGUACACUGAAAGCGGAAGCGUUUAGUAACGUGGUUGAUGUAGUCGAACGUAUUCGCGAUCCAACCGAUCCAAGCACCGAACGUACGCACCUCCGCGUUCAGCACACGUUCAGCUCGAUGACGUCCCUCGAGCUCUUGAUCCAGUUGAGGCCGAGGGAUAGUUCCGUCAGCACGAUGGCGUGGCGACGGUGAUGAUGAAGUUACCGGCACAGGGCUUCGCCUAAGCACUACGACGAUAUGACCGAGGUGUGUAACUGUGGAGGGGGGGCACUGCACACGGCUAAGAGAAACUUGUGUGUCUUUGGGGUGCCCCCCUCCCACGUAUAUAAAGGGGGAGGAGGAGGAGGCCGGCCCAAGGGGGGCGCGCCACAUGUGGGGAGUCCUAUCUUCUCUCCCAUGGCCCAUAAGGCCCAUGACUUCCCCCGGGGGGUUCCGGUAACCUCCCGGUACUCCGGAAAAAUGCCUGAAUCACUCGGAACCAUUCCGAUGUCCGAAUGCAACCUUCCAAUAUAUGAAUCUUUACCUCUCGACCAUUUCGAGACUCCUCGUCAUGUCUGUGAUCUCAUUCGGGACUCCAAACAAACUUCGGUCAUCAAAUCACAUAACUCAUAAUACAAAUCGUCAUCGAACGUUAAGCGUGCGGACCCUACGGGUUCGAGAACUAUGUAGACAUGACCGAGACACAUCUCCGGUCAAUAACCAAUAGCAGAACCUGCAUGCUCAUAUUGGCUCCUACAUAUUCUACGAAGAUCUUUAUCGGUCAAACCGCAUAACAACAUACGUUGUUCCCUUUGUCAUAUGUAUGUUAUUUGCCCGAGAUUCGAUCGUCGGUAUCCUCAUACCUAGUUCAAUCUCGUUACCGGUAAGUCUCUUUAAUCGUUCCGUAAUUCAUCAUCUCGUAACUAAAUCAUUAGUCACAUUGCUUGCAAGGCUUAUAGUGAUGUGCAUUACUGAGAGGGCCCGGAGAUACCUCUCCGAUACACGGAGUGACAAAUCCUAAUCUCGAUCUAUGCCAACUUAACAAACACCAUCGGAGACACCUGUAGAGCAUCUUUAUAAUCACCCAGUUACGUUGUGACGUUUGAUAGCACACUAAGUGUUCCUCCGGUAUUCGGGAGUUGCAUAAACUCAUAGUCAUAGGAACAUGUAUAAGUCAUGAAGAAAGCAAUAGCAAUAAACCUAAACGAUCAUUAUGCUAAGAUAACGGAUGGGUCUUAUCCAUCACAUCAUUCUCUAAUGAUGUGAUCCCGUUCAUCAAAUGACAACACAUGUCUAUGGUUAGGAAACUUAACCAUCUAGUAGAGGCAUACUAGGGACACUCUGUUUGUCUAUGUAUUCACACAUGUACUAAGUUUCUAGUUAAUACAAUUCUAGCAUGAAUAAUAAAGAUUUAUCAUGAUAUAAGGAAAUAUAAAUAACAACUUUAUUAUUGCCUCUAGGGCAUAUUUCCUUCAGGAAGGGCAUAGCGGGUGGGAGGGAGAAGGGGAAUUAAGAGAGUGUGGGUUUGAGUUUGGGCCUCCGCACGCUAUGUGUACACAUGUGUUGGUGGCUCGAUAGUAGUGGUUGUUGGAUAACGUAGUAAUUUCAAAAAAAUUCCUACGAACACGCAAGAUCAUGGUGAUGCACAGCAACGAGAGGGGAGAGUGUUUUCCACGUACCCUAGACCGAAAGAGGAAGCGUUAACACAACGUGGUUGAUGUAGUCGUACGUCUUCAUGAUCUGACCGAUCAAGUACCAAACGCACGGCACCUCGGAGUUCAGCACACGUUCAGCUCGAUGACGUCCCUCAAACUCCGAUCCAGCCGAGUGUUGAGGGAGAGUUUCGUCAGCACGACGGCGUGGUGACGAUGCUGAUGCUCUACCGACGCAGGGCUUCGCCUAAGCUCCGCUACGAUAUUAUCGAGGUGUAAUAUGGUGGAGGGGGCACCGCACACGGCUAAAAGAUCGUUGAUCAAUUGUGUGUCCAGAGGUGCCCCCUACCCCCGUAUAUAAAGGUGCAAGGGGGAGGCCGCCGGCCUAGGAGGUAGAGGCGCGCCAGGAGGAGUCCUACUCCUACCGGGAGUAGGACUCCCCCCCUUUCCAUGUUGGACUAGGAGUGGAAGGGGGAAGAGGUGGAGGGGAGGAAGGAAGGGGGGGCGCCGCCCCCUUCUCCUUGUCCUAUUCGGACUGGGGGGAAGGGGGGUGCGGCCCUGCCCUAGCCUCCUCUCCUCUCUUCCACCUAGGCCCAAUAAGGCCCAUUAAGUUACCGGGGGGGUCCGGUAACCUCCCGGUACUCCGGAAAAAUCCCGAUUUCACCCGAAACACUUCUGAUGUCCAAACAUAGGCUUCCAAUAUAUCAAUCUUUAUGUCUCGACCAUUUCGAGACUCCUCGUCAUGUCCGUGAUCACAUCCGGGACUCCGAACAACCUUCGGUACAUCAAAACAUAUAAACUCAUAAUAUAACUGUCAUCGUAACGUUAAGCGUGCGGACCCUACGGGUUCGAGAACUAUGUAGACAUGACCGAGACACCUCUCCGGUCAAUAACCAAUAGCGGAACCUGGAUGCUCAUAUUGGUUCCCACAUAUUCUACGAAGAUCUUUAUCGGUCAGACCGCAUAACAACAUACGUUGUUCCCUUUGUCAUCGGUAUGUUACUUGCCCGAGAUUCGAUCGUCGGUAUCUCGAUACCUAGUUCAAUCUCGUUACCGGCAAGUCUCUUUACUCGUUCCGUAAUACAUCAUCCCGCAACUAACUCAUUAGUCACAAUGCUUGCAAGGCUUAAAGUGAUGUGUAUUACUGAGUGGGCCCAGAGAUACCUCUCCGACAAUCGGAGUGACAAAUCCUAAUCUCGAAAUACGCCAACCCAACAAGUACCUUUGGAGACACCUGUAGAGCACCUUUAUAAUCACCCAGUUACGUUGUGACGUUUGGUAGCACACAAAGUGUUCCUCCGGUAAACGGGAGUUGCAUAAUCUCAUAGUCAUAGGAACAUGUAUAAGUCAUGAAGAAAGCAAUAGCAACAUACUAAACGAUCGAGUGCUAAGCUAACGGAAUGGGUCAAGCCAAUCACGUCAUUCUCCUAAUGAAGUGAUCCCGUUAAUCAAAUGACAACUCAUGUCUAUGGCUAGGAAACAUAACCAUCUUUGAUUAACGAGCUAGUCAAGUAGAGGCAUACUAGUGACACUCUGUUUGUCUAUGUAUUCACACAUGUAUUAUGUUUCCGGUUAAUACAAUUCUAGCAUGAAUAAUAAACAUUUAUCAUGAUAUAAGGAAAUAAAUAAUACUUUAUUAUUUCCUCUAGGGCAUAUUUCCUUCAGUCUCCCACUUGCACUAGAGUCAAUAAUCUAGAUUACACAGUAAUGAUUCUUACACCCAUGGAGUCUUGGUGCCGAUCAUGUUUUGCUCGUGGAAGAGGCUUAGUCAACGGGUCUGCAACAUUCAGAUCCGUAUGUAUCUUGCAAAUUUCUAUGUCUCCCACCUGGACUAAAUCCCGGAUGGAAUUGAAGCGUCUUUUGAUGUGCUUGGUUCUCUUGUGAAAUAUGGAUUCCUUUGCUAAGGCAAUUGCACCAGUAUUGUCACAAAAGAUUUUCAUUGGUCCCGAUGCACUAGGUAUGACACCUAGAUCGGAUAUGAACUCCUUCAUCCAGACUCCUUCAUUUGCUGCUUCCAAAGCAGCUAUGUACUCCGCUUCACACGUAGAUCCCGCCAUGACACUUUGCUUAGAACUGCACCAACUGACAGCUCCACCGUUCAAUGUAAAUACGUAUCCGGUUUGCGAUUUACAAUCGUCCGGAUCAGUGUCAAAGCUUGCAUCAACGUAACCAUUUACGAUGAGCUCUUUGUCACCUCCAUAAACGAGAAACAUAUCCUUAGUCCUUUUCAGGUAUUUCAGGAUGUUCUUGACCGCUGUCCAGUGAUCCGCUCCUGGAUUACUUUGGUACCUCCCUGCUAAACUUAUAGCAAGGCACACAUCAGGUCUGGUACACAGCAUUGCAUACAUGAUAGAGCCUAUGGCUGAAGCAUAGGGAACAUCUUUCAUCUUCUCUCUAUCUUCUGCAGUGGUCGGGCAUUGAGUCUUACUCAAUCUCACACCUUGUAGUACAGGCAAGAACCCUUUUUUGCUUGAUCCAUUUUGAACUUCUUCAAAACUUUGUCAAGGUAUGUGCUUUGUGAAAGUCCAAUUAAGCGUCUUGAUCUAUCUCUAUAGAUCUUGAUGCCUAAUAUAUAUGCAGCUUCACCGAGGUCUUUCAUUGAAAAGCUCUUAUUCAAGUAUCCCUUUAUGCUAUCCAGAAAUUCUAUAUCAUUUCCAAUCAGCAAUAUGUCAUCCACAUAUAAUAUUAGAAAUGCUACUGAGCUCCCACUCACUUUCUUGUAAAUACAGGCUUCUCCAAAAGUCUGUAUAAAACCAAAUGCUUUGAUCACACUAUCAAAGCGUUUAUUCCAACUCCGAGAGGCUUGCACCAGUCCAUAAAUGGAUCACUGGAGCUUGCACACUUUGUUAGCUCCCUUUGGAUUUACAAAACCUUCCGGUUGCAUCAUAUACAACUCUUCUUCCAGAAAUCCAUUCAGGAAUGCAGUUUUGACAUCCAUUUGCCAAAUUUCAUAAUCAUAAAAUGCGGCAAUUGCUAACAUGCAUGAUUCGGACAGAGUUAAGCAUCGCUACGGGUGAGAAGGUAUCAUCGUAGUCAAUCCCUUGAACUUGUCGAAAACCUUUCGCAACAAGUCGAGCUUUAUAGACAGUAACAUUACCGUCAGCGUCAGUCUUCUUCUUGAAGAUCCAUUUAUUUUCAAUGGCUUGCCGAUCAUCGGGCAAGUCAACCAAAGUCCAUACUUUGUUCUCAUACAUGGAUCCCAUCUCGGAUUUCAUGGCUUCAAGCCAUUUUGCGGAAUCUGGGCUCACCAUCGCUUCUUCAUAGUUCGUAGGUUCGUCAUGGUCUAGUAACAUAACCUCCAGAACAGGAUUACCGUACCACUCUGGUGCGGAUCUUAAUCUGGUUGAUCUACGAGGUUCAGUAAUAACUUGAUCUGAAGUUUCAUGAUCAUUAUCAUUAACUUCCCCACUAAUUGGUGUAGGUGUCGCAGAAACUGGUUUCUGUGAUGAUCUACUUUCCAAUAAGGGAGCAGGUACAGUUACCUCAUCAAGUUCUACUUUCCUCCCACUCACUUCUUUCGAGAGAAACUCCUUCUCUAGAAAGGAUCCAUUCUUAGCAACGAAUGUCUUGCCUUCGGAUCUGUGAUAGAAGGUGUACCCAACAGUCUCCUUUGGGUAUCCUAUGAAGACACAUUUCUCCGAUUUAGGUUCGAGAUUAUCAGGUUGAAGUUUCUUCACAUAAGCAUCGCAACCCCAAACUUUAAGAUACGACAACUUUGGUUUCUUGCCAAACCAUAGUUCAUAAGGUGUCGUUUCAACGGAUUUUGAUGGUGCCCUAUUUAGAGUGAAUGUAGCCGUCUCUAAAGCAUAACCCCAAAACGACAGCGGUAAAUCAGUAAGAGACAUCAUAGAUCGCACCAUAUCUAGUAAAGUACGAUUACGACGUUCGGACACACCGUUACGCUGUGGUGUUCCGGGUGGCGUGAGUUGCGAAACUAUUCUGCAUUGUUUCAAAUGUAGGCCAAACUCGUAACUCAAAUAUUCUCCUCCACGAUCUGAUCGUAGAAACUUUAUUUUCUUGUUACGAUGAUUUCCAACUUCGCUCUGAAAUUCUUUGAACUUUUCAAAUGUUUCAGACUUAUGUUUCAUUAAGUAGAUAUACCCAUAUCUGCUCAAAUCAUCUGUGAAGGUGAGAAAAUAACGAUAUCCGCCACGAGCCUCAAUAUUCAUCGGACCACAUACAUCUGUAUGUAUGAUUUCCAAUAAAUUUGUUGCUCUCUCCAUAGUUCCGGAGAACGGUGUUUUAGUCAUCUUGCCCAUGAGGCACGGUUCGCAAGUACCAAGUGAUUCCAAAAGUCCAUCGGUAUGGAGUUUCUUCAUGCGCUUUACACCGAUAUGACCUAAACGGCAGUGCCACAAAUAAGUUGCACUGUCAUUAUCAACUCUGCAUCUUUUGGCUUCGACAUUAUGAAUAUGUGUGUCACUACUAUCGAGAUUCAUUAAAAAUAGACCACUCUUCAAGGGUGCAUGACCAUAAAAGAUAUUAUUCAUAUAAAUAGAACAACCAUUAUUCUCUGAUUUAAAUGAAUAACCGUCUCGCAUUAAACAAGAUCCAGAUAUAAUGUUCAUGCUCAACGCUGGCACCAAAUAACAAUUAUUUAGGUCUAAAACUAAUCCCGAAGGUAGAUGUAGAGGUAGCGUGCCGACCGCGAUCACAUCGACUUUGGAACCAUUUCCCACGCGCAUCGUCACCUCGUCCUUAGCCAAUCUUCGCUUAAUCCGUAGCCCCUGUUUCGAGUUGCAAAUAUUAGCAACAGAACCAGUAUCAAAUACCCAGGUGCUACUGCGAGCAUUAGUAAGGUACACAUCAAUAACAUGUAUAUCACAUAUACCUUUGUUAACCUUGCCAUCCUUCUUAUCCGCCAAAUACUUGGGGCAGUUCCGCUUCCAGUGACCAGUCUGCUUGCAGUAGAAGCACUUAGUUUUAGGCUUAGGUCCAGACUUGGGUUUCUUCUCCUGAACAGCAACUUGCUUGCUGUUCUUCUUGAAGUUCCCCUUCUUCUUCCCUUUGCCCUUUUUCUUGAAACUAGUGGUCUUACUGACCAUCAACACUUGAUGCUCCUUUUUGAUUUCUACCUCUGCUGCCUUUAGCAUUGCGAAGAGCUCGGGAAUUGUCUUAUUCAUCCCUUGCAUGUUAUAGUUCAUCACGAAGCUCUUGUAGCUUGGUGGCAGUGAUUGAAGAAUUCUGUCAAUGACGCUAUCAUCCGGAAGAUUAACUCCCAGUUGAAUCAAGUGAUUAUUAUACCCCAGACAUUUUGAGUAUAUGCUCACUGACAGAACUAUUCUCUUCCAUCUUGCAGCUGUAGAACUUAUUGGAGACUUCAUAUCUCUCAAUCCGGGCAUUUGCUUGAAAUAUUAACUUCAACUCCUGGAACAUCUCAUAUGCUCCAUGACGUUCAAAACGUCGUUGAAGACCCGGUUCUAAGCCGUAAAGCAUGGCACACUGAACUAUCGAGUAGUCAUCAGCUUUGCUCUGCCAGACGUUCAUAACUUCUGGUGUUGCUCUUGCAGGAGGCCUGGCACCUAGCGGUGCUUCCAGGACGUAAUUCUUCUAUGCAGCAAUGAGGAUAAUCCUCAAGUUACGGACCCAGUCCGUGUAAUUGAUACCAUCAUCUUUCAACUUUGCUUUCUCAAGGAACGCAUUAAAAUUCAACGGAACAACAGCACGGGCCAUUUAUCUACAAUUAACAUAGACAAGCAAGAUACUAUCAGGUACUAAGUUCAUGAUAAAUUUAAGUUCUAUUAAUCAUAUUUCUUAAGAACUCCCACUUAGAUAGACAUCCCUCUAAUCAUCUAAGUGAUUACGUGAUCCAAAUCAACUAAACCAUGUCCGAUAAUCACGUGAGUUGGAGUAGUUUCAAUGGUGAACAUCACUAUGUUGAUCAUAUCUACUAUAUGAUUCACGCUCGACCUUUCGGUCUCCGUGUUCCGAGGCCAUAUCUGCAUAUGCUAGGCUCGUCAAGUUUAACCUGAGUAUUCCGCGUGUGCAACUGUUUUGCACCCGUUGUAUUUGAACGUAGAGCCUAUCACACCCGAUCAUCACGUGGUGUCUCAGCACAAAGAACUUUCGCAACGGUGCAUACUCAGGUAGAACACUUUUAUCUUGAAAUUUUAGUGAGAGGUCAUCUUAUAAUGCUACCGUCAAUCAAAGCAAGAUAAGAUGCAUAAAAGAUAAACAUCACAUGCAAUCAAUAUCAGUGAUAUGAUAUGGCCAUCAUCAUCUUGUGCUUGUGAUCUCCAUCUCCGAAGCACCGUCAUGAUCACCAUCGUCACCGGCUCGACACCUUGAUCUCCAUCGUAGCAUCGUUGUCGUCUCGCCAACUAUUGCUUUUACGACUAUCGCUACCGCUUAGUGAUAAAGUAAAACAAUUACAUGGCGAUUGCAUUGCAUACAAUAAGCGACAGCCAUAUGGCUCCUGCCAGUUGCCGAUAACUCGGUUACAAAAAAUGAUCAUCUCAUACAAUAAAAUAUAGCAUCAUGUCUUGACCAUAUCACAUCACAACAUGCCCUGCAAAAACAAGUUACACGUCCUCUACUUCGUUGUUGCAAGUUUUACGUGGCUGCUACGGGCUUAGCAACAACCGUUCUUACCUACGCAUCAAAACCACAAUGAUGGUUUGUCAAGUUGGUGCUGUUUUAACCUUCGCAAGGACCGGGCGUAGCCACACUCGGUUCAACUAAACUGAGAGAGACAGACACCCGCCAGUCACCUUUAAGCAACGAGUGCACGCAACGGUGAAACCAGUCUCGCGUAAGCGUACGCGUAAUGUCGGUCCGGGCCGCUUCAUCUCACAAUACCGCCGAACCAAAGUAUGACAUGCUGGUAAGCAGUAUGACUUAUAUCGCCCACAACUCACUUGUGUUCUACUCAUGCAUAGCAUCAACGCAUAAAACCAGGCUCGGAUGCCACUGUUGGGUAACGUAGUAAUUUCAAAAAAAAUCCUACGAACACGCAAGAUCAUGGUGAUGCACAGCAACGAGAGGGGAGAGUGUUGUCCAUGUACCCUCAUAGACCGAAAGCGGAAGCGUUAACACAACGCGGUUGAUGUAGUCGUACGUCUUCACGAUCUGACCGAUCAAGUACCGAACGCACGGCACCUCCGAGUUCAGCACACGUUCAGCUCGAUGACGUCCCUCGAACUCCGAUCCAGCCGAGUGUUGAGGGAGAUUUUUGUCAGCAUGACGGUGUGGUGACGAUGAUGAUGUUCUACCGACGCAGGGCUUCGCCUAAGCUCCGGUACGAUAUUAUCGAGGUGUAAUAUGGUGGAGGGGGGCACCGCACACGGCUAAAAGAUCGUUGAUCAAUUGUGUGUCCAGAGGUGCCCCCUGCCCCCGUAUAUAAAGGUGCAAGGGGGAGGCCGCCGGCCUAGGAGGUAGAGGCGCGCCAAGAGGAGUCCUACUCCUACCGGGAGUAGGACUCCCCCCCUUUCCAUGUUGGACUAGGAGUGGAAGGGGGAAGAGGUGGAGGGGAGGAAGGAAGGGGGGCGCCGCCCCCUUCUCCUUGUCCUAUUCGGACUGGGGGGGAAGCGGGGCGCGGCCCUGCCCUAGCCUCCUCUCCUCUCUUCCACCUAGGCCCAAUAAGGCCCAUUAAGUUACCGGGGGGGUCCGGUAACCUCCCGGUACUCCGGAAAAAUCCCGAUUUCACCCGGAACACUUCCGAUGUCCAAACAUAGGCUUCCAAUAUAUCAAUCUUUAUGUCUCGACCAUUUCGAGACUCCUUGUCAUGUCCGUGAUCACAUCCGGGACUCCGAACAACCUUCGGUACAUCAAAACAUAUAAACUCAUAAUAUAACUGUCAUCGUAACGUUAAGCGUGCGGACCCUACGGGUUCGAGAACUAUGUAGACAUGACCGAGACACCUCUCCGGUCAAUAACCAAUAGCGGAACCUGGAUGCUCAUAUUGGUUCCCACAUAUUCUACGAAGAUCUUUAUUGGUCAGACCGCAUAACAACAUACGUUGUUCCCUUUGUCAUCGGUAUGUUACUUGCCCGAGAUUCGAUCGUCGGUAUCUCGAUACCUAGUUCAAUCUCGUUACCGGCAAGUCUCUUUACUCGUUCCGUAAUACAUCAUCCCGCAACUAACUCAUUAGUUACAAUGCUUGCAAGGCUUAUAGUGAUGUGCAUUACCGAGUGGGCCCAGAGAUACCUCCCGACAAUCGGAGUGACAAAUCCUAAUCUCGAAAUACGCCAACCCAACAAGUACCUUUGGAGACACCUGUAGAGCACCUUUAUAAUCACCCAGUUACGUUGUGACGUUUGGUAGCACACAAAGUGUUCCUCCGGUAAACGGGAGUUGCAUAAUCUCAUAGUCAUAGGAACAUGUAUAAGUCAUGAAGAAAGCAAUAGCAACAUACUAAACGAUCGAGUGCUAAGCUAACGGAAUGGGUCAAGCCAAUCACGUCAUUCUCCUAAUGAAGUGAUCCCGUUAAUCAAAUGACAACUCAUGUCUAUGGCUAGGAAACAUAACCAUCUUUGAUUAACGAGCUAGUCAAGUAGAGGCAUACUAGUGACACUCUGUUUGUCUAUGUAUUCACACAUGUAUUAUGUUUCCGGUUAAUACAAUUCUAGCAUGAAUAAUAAACAUUUAGCAUGAUAUAAGGAAAUAAAUAAUACUUUAUUAUUGCCUCUAGGGCAUAUUUCCUUCAGUGGCGCCGGGUUAAGACCCCACGCUACUACUAUGGCCUAUCCCGAGGGGGUACGGUAGAGACCACUUAGUAGUGGCGAGGGGUUUAUACCCCUCGCUAAUACUAUCAACUUAGUAGUAGUGAGGGAUUUAUACCCCUCCAUACUACUAUGGCCAGUCCCGGGGGGCACGGUGGAGACCACUUAGUAGUAGUGUGGGGUUUAUACCCCUCGCUACUACUAUCAACUUAGUAGUAGCGUGGGUUCUAUACCCCUCGCUACUAAUAAUUAGCAGCAGUGUGGCCCAUAUACCCCUCAAUACUGUUAAGCAUCUAUCUAUAAGGUAUUUUCUAGUAGUGCAUGGAUGGCGGCGAAAUCAGUCGUUCUGCUUGUUUUCCCUACUAGCUCUCUGACGUCCAGAACAAGUUUACGGUCAUAAGGUGCAAUGCCCUUGCCUUCGUGAGUGACACGAUGACACGGGAAUGGGCUUCCAAGCCUAUGGUGUCGCAUCGUCUCAUGGUCUGCUAGACUUAGUGGACGGAUGCUACUCCAGUAUCGGUUGAUCCCAUACUAUGAUACCAAGGAAGACACGUAACUACUAUAUAUAUAUUUCUUCAAGUCAGUCAACACAAGUAAAAUCUGGGAGUUCAACCGGUGCAGCUAUGCAAUGCUAAUGGAGACAACACAAUUCAACUUUAGCACUUCACACAUAAGCAACACCACGUUCAAUGGCACACACCUUAGAGUGUACCAAUGGUGGUUGAUUGGGCUAUAAGAAAUGUGAGUCCAUGUGAAGAUGCCAAACAUAAUAACACGGCUAAUUACACAUGCAGUGGCAGCAGCAACAAGUGCGUGAAUUCCACAAAUGAUCUAGGGUACACAUGCAACUGUGUCCUUGAGUAUGACAACAACCCUUAUCUUCUAGACAAAUGCAUGGUAUGCUACUAAUUUAUUUGCUACAAAAUCCAAUGAAUUGUGUCCUUUACUUUGUACAUACCCAAUUAUGAUAUUUGAUUUUGCUAAUACAAUGUAGCUUUCAAUUUAAACCAAGUUUUGCAUCAAUUAAUUAUGUUAGGUUCAUAUGACUUCACUACAUAAAUAGGUAGAUAAUGCAUAAGACUGAGAUUGUAGCUAGGGAUGAAAAACUAAAUAUGGCAUGAAUCUAACAAUUAUGAGUGAUGUCUUUGUGACAAGAACUUCCUUUGUCUUUUAUUCCCAUGUUUGAACUAGUAUAGGUCGGGGUUACACAUUAUGGUGCACAUCACUUUAUUUAUCAUCAUUACAUUGAACACUCAUUGACUAAACAACGAUGAUCCAUCCGUCUUGUAUUACAGGUCUUCAUUUCAUUGGCCAUCGAUGCUUGUAAGACUACUCCCAUAUGGUUGUUGUUGUGGAUAUGGUUGUUGAGGUUGGUGUGGUUGCUGGGGGAAUGGUUGUUGGGGUUGCUGGGAAAUUGUUUGUUCUAGUUGCUGGGAUAAUUGUUGUUGGGGCUGCAGAAAUGGUUGUUGUGGUUGCAGGAUGGAUGGUUGUUGGGGUUGCUGGGGUUGGGGCUGGGGAAAUGAUUGUUGUGAUUGUUGGGGUUGCUGGGAAAAUGGUUGUUGCGGUCGUAGGGGGAAUGGUUGUUGUGGUUNNNNNNNNNNNNNNNNNNNNNNNNNNNNNNNNNNNNNNNNNNNNNNNNNNNNNNNNNNNNNNNNNNNNNNNNNNNNNNNNNNNNNNNNNNNNNNNNNNNNNNNNNNNNNNNNNNNNNNNNNNNNNNNNNNNNNNNNNNNNNNNNNNNNNNNNNNNNNNNNNNNNNNNNNNNNNNNNNNNNNNNNNNNNNNNNNNNNNNNNNNNNNNNNNNNNNNNNNNNNNNNNNNNNNNNNNNNNNNNNNNNNNNNNNNNNNNNNNNNNNNNNNNNNNNNNNNNNNNNNNNNNNNNNNNNNNNNNNNNNNNNNNNNNNNNNNNNNNNNNNNNNNNNNNNNNNNNNNNNNNNNNNNNNNNNNNNNNNNNNNNNNNNNNNNNNNNNNNNNNNNNNNNNNNNNNNNNNNNNNNNNNNNNNNNNNNNNNNNNNNNNNNNNNNNNNNNNNNNNNNNNNNNNNNNNNNNNNNGCCAGGGAAAUGGUUGUUGCGGCUGUGGAAAAGGUUGUUGUGGUUGUUGGGGUUGCUGGGGGAAUGGUUGUUGUGGUUGUAGGGGGGUCGGUUGUUGGGGCUGGGUAAAUGGUUGUUGUGAUUGCUGGGGAAAUUGUGGUUGGGGUGUGGGAAAUGGUUGUUGCGAUGGAUAUGGUUGCUGUGAUGGAUAUGGUUGUUGUGGAUAUGGUUGCUGUGGAAAUGGUUGUUGUUGAUGGGAAAAUGAUUGUUGAGGUGAUUGUAGCUCUUUGUUGCUAGGGUUUAGCUGCCUAGCAGCAGUGGCGAUGUUCAUCGCCAUGGCAAGGAGGACAAAGAUGAGGAAGGUCUUCAUGUUUGAUUUGUGGUUACUACUGCUUGCUUGCCUUUGAUGCUUGUGGUCUAGGUGUGUGAAGUUUGGAUGAUGGAAGGUGUCCUUGGUGGUGCAUGUGUAUUUAUAGUUUUCAUGGCAUGGCUUGCUUUCAUCUUUGCACUCGCUUUUUGAAAAAGUG
rnacentral:lncRNA from 1 species